rnacentral:lncRNA from 1 species
AACCUGAAAAAUUCAUGUUAUAAAACUUAAUCACAAAUACACAUAUUAAAAUAAGAAUUAUAAAUGACAUUUAUUUGAAAAUGGAUGGCCUAUGUAUAAACCUGCGCAAGGAGUUCCCAUAAUCUUCAAAUCAGGAAGGCAAACGAUUUCUGCUGGCUUCGACUGAACCGUAUUCAAAACUCAAAAGGUAAGUAGUUGUGCUUGAGCGAGUUCUUAUUUCUGGUUUGAUCUGAUAUAUAUAGAUCAAGUAGCCGACACUACGGUGCCAACGUGGCAAAGUAACAAGUUGUGCAUGGUAAAGAUAAUGGAUCAAUGGUUCUAAUUUAAUCGUACAAUAAGUAGGGAAGGUCAACAGCUCUAUAUGGUUAAGUUAGUGCAUGUGUGAUACAUGAUUCAAAAAAUAAAUAAUUCUAAAUACGAAGGACACGAGCAAAUAAAGUAAUAAAUGCAAUUACCAAAUAAUAGUGCGUGGUAUACUAUAGAUAAUGGAUCAACCAUUCAGAUUUCAUCAUACAAUAAGUAGGUAAGAUUAACGGUUAGUGUUAAAUCAUUGCAUGUGCGAAACAUGGUCCACAAAAUAAAUAGUAGUAAACAAGAAAGACGAAUAAAGUAAUCAAAUACCAUGUCAUCAGAUAAAAAGAAAAAAAGAAAGGUAUACAUACCAUUACGAAACAAUUGCUUGGUAAAGAUAACAGAUUUACCGCUGAAGUCUGAUAAUUGUAAGAUUAACGGCUAUAUAUGGUUCAACUGCAUGUGUAAAUAAAGUAUGAAUGAAUGGGUCCAGGAAAUAAAUAAGAAGACCACAAGCAUAGUGGUCUAAAAAAUAAAUAAGAAGCGAACUGACGAUACAUAUAGAUCAAGUAGAUCAAGUAGCCGACACUACGGUGCCACGUAUCAAAUAAACAAGUCGUGCAUGGUAAAGAUAAUGGAUCAACGGUUCUAAUUUAAUCGUACAAUAAGUAGGUAAGAUUAAGGGCUCUAUAUUGUUAAAUUAUUGCACGGGCGAAAUAUGGUCCAAAAAAUAAAUAGUUGUAAAUAAGAAAGACGAACAAAUUAAGUAAUUAGUACCACUACCGAACACAGUGCAUUGGAAGGACUGGCUUUCUUCCUUUUUAUGAGAGCAAAGAACGAAAUUUUGUAAUAGUUUUACUUAACAGCUGAAAGUUAAUUUCAUUUUUAUAUCUUUCUUUUCCUUCUUUAUUUUUUAUAUUUUUCUGUUAUUAUUAUAAUUUUUCUUUUAUGUCAGUACGAGAGGCGUGUAAUGUUUUUGGUUUACUAAACCCUUAAUUCUCUUUCUAUUCAACAUCAAAUCUAACUAUCCUUGUAAAGCUUUAAAAUAGUCGAUUAUAGUUAAUUAUUUGAAAAAUAAUAACUAAAGUAAAUAAGUAUUUUUUUUUUUUUGGUGUAUUAAACUAUCUGGUAUCUAAAGACUACAUUGGGCCCCGACUAAUUUAGAUUCGAGACAGGCAGGACCAUUGAGGCGCCAAAGCUCUCCCAACAAGUAUUUAACACAACUGUACUCCCAAGUCUCGAACUGAGGACUUUGGUUAAGUUAAAACAACUCUAUGCCAACUGAUUUACGCGCUUGUCAGAUGUAAAUAAGCAUUUUAGUUAUCACAAUUAAACUCUUCUUUAGCAUUUAAUAGAAGUAGUUCUAUGAGCAUGGGUUUCGAGAGAGCAUGGCGGUGCGAAAAUGUUCGUGCGUUUACAGUCCCUAUGUUUUUAGUCAUAAUUUAUUUAGAUAUAGACAAAGACCCCUAAUGUUUAAAAAAUAGACACACAAAUGGCCCUUUUGAUUAUUUCACUCUUUGGUUCUAUUUAGCCAACGAAAAUUAAUUUCAAUCUAUUGUUCUAUAAUAAAUAUAAAUAUAGUAUUUAAAUCAGUGUAAUAAAUAAAUACAUUUUACAAUACAUAAACGUUAUUUGAGUUCUUUGCAAGAAUUAGCUAACCACUAUGCGGAGUUUGUUUAAGAAAAAUAUUGAAGAAGAGACAGCAUAAUUAAGCUGAUAGUAGAUAUAUAGCUAGACAAAGUUAAUCGACGUUAACAAACUGAUACACAAUACUUUUUUUAUUUAUUUUCUUAAACCUCGUUCACAAACAGAAUAUGUUUUUACUUUCAAUGGUACAUCAAUUUCUUGGAAGUCUACAAAACAGACUCUCGUUGCAACAUCCUCCAACCAUUCUGAAAUUCUUGCACUACAUGAAGCAAGUCGAGAAUGCAUAUGGUUGCGAUCUGUAAUCCAUCAUAUUCAAAGUACCUGUAGAAUAUCUUCAAGUUCAGAUAUCCCAACAGUGAUAUAUGAAGAUAAUGCUGCAUGUAUAGCUCAACUCAGAGGAGGAUACAUUAAAGAGGACAGAACAAAACAUAUUUCGCCGAAAUUCUUCUACACUCAUGAGCUCCAAUAGAACAAGAAGAUUGAUAUCAAACAGAUACGCUCCACGGAAAAUUUAGCUGAUAUGUUUACAAAAGCUCUACCUACAUCUACAUUCGAAAAAAUCGUAUAUGGUAUCGGCAUGCGUCGUUUUAACAAACUGAUAAAUUAAUGCAUGUUGCCUUUAGGAAGAGCACUCAACAAAAGGAGCGUGAUCUUACAAGAGAAGAAUCAUAGUAAUAUUGGACACAUAUGUACCAUACUCUUUUUUCUUUUUGACCAGGUUUUUCCACUGGAUUUUUACUGGCAAAGGUUUUUAAUGAGGCAGUAUCCAAUGUCAUCAGGGGGAGCACAUCUAAUAAAUAAUUGGUGAAUUCAAGGGGGAGUGUUGUAAAUCAUGGUGGAUUCCACCAAAAUAAUGCCCUCCCACCAAAAUAAGGCUCUCACAUUAUCAUCUUAUUGCUCUUCCCAUUAUCCUUUUUUAUAAUUAAUAAUUAUGAAUAACUCCACCUUGUAAUGCCUAUAUAAACCCUUUCUUUGUUAAUGAAUAAAGACAAUUUCAAUUCCUCGCUCAAGGCAUUUUACUUGUUUUCUUCAAUCUUUAUUUGAGUAUUCCUUACUUACAUAUUCCCAAUUAAAUAAUUACUUACAUACAAUCCCUUUAAAUUAUAACAUCCAUUAUCUCCAAAUUUAUAACAAAAACUUUAUUUUAAGUAGUGGAAAAGAACAGUAUAUUUAAAUUGUUCUCGGAGAAUGGUAGGUGAACGAGGCCAAAUUAAAUUUCCAAGAGCAUGUGAGACUUGCUCAAUUAUUGUAUUGUGUCCUACGCUAUAAUUAAAGCAAAUGAAAUCCGCGACAAUAUACGACAAUAUAUAUAUAUAAUCAAGUAGCCGGUCCAAAGCGCAUCAAAAAAGAAAAAGGGUAGCUGGUCUAAGGGCAAGUUGUGAAUUAUUCCAAUAAAAAAAAGUUGGAUUGUGACAGACAGUACGUAUACUGAGAGGAUGGAUUAGGUCUUUUAACUGUUAUAAAAUUAUUUGAUUGUUAAUGACGUCUUUUAUUUAAAAUUAUAAAAUUAUUUUAAUAAAUAAAUAUACUAAAAAUAUAUUAUUAAAGAAAUGAAAUAAAUAAGAGCAUUUUAAAAAAAUUAAUUAAAAAAAACUCUACAACCUUAAAAGUCUAAAAAUUUAAACUUUUGUUAAUAAAAGUAAAAUAAUUUAUUUAGUCUCUAAAAACUCAACUCAAAAUACGAUCUAACAAUACCAAAAUUUUUGAAAAGAUCUUUAGAAACGAAAUAAAUAUUUUUAGGUAUUAGAUAAGUUAUAUCAAACAUGCACGUAUUACAUAUAUAGAUGGAUUAUAAUUUAAUAUCAACUCCCAUAAUUAUUAGAGUUAAGUCUUCUCUUAUACUAGUAACAUUACCCACCCCUUGGGGACUUGGAACUCAUAUCCUAAAUGUUGAGGGCAUGCGUUCUCACCUAUACCCUUAGAGGGAAGUCACCAUAAAUAUCUGUUUGCGGAAGAGCAAUAUUCACCAUACAAAGCCUCUAGUUGGAUAAGCCCUGUCCUUUUUAAGUUUUUCGUUUUUUUGAUUACCCACACACACACACAAAUCAUAAUUGAAGCGCCAUAGAUAUAACUAGGAGAACUUGCAACGAGAAGCUGCUGGCAUCUCCCACACAAGCUUGAAAAAGUAGCCAGUAAGAGUUGUGCACGGAGGGCAAAAAAAAAAAAAAGCAUGGGAAAUAAUAAUGUGAUGGGAUUGAGAGGUGGUGUCUUAGCAGCGAUCAUAGUUAUGAUGAUACUCUUCUUCUCCGCGAAUCAAUCUUGUGCUGCAGGCAACAUUACUAAUUUCCAUAUUGAUCCUGAUGUGUUGUUCUUUCAUGAUGAUCCAGAAUUGGAAUUGGCUGCUGCUCCGACUUCUAAUAAAGCAUUGGAUCCCAGUCAAGCAUUCGGUUGCGGAAGACCCGGAAGCAUUCGCUCUUGUCCCCCUCAUCCCAAUGCCCCCAAAAAGCCCGAUCAUUGCGCACCUCCCCCCGGCAGCACGUAUGCCCCAGCCAAACGAGAUUGCUAGCUAGUUUAUGAUACAUCUUUAAUCUGCAAUCUUCAUCUUUAUCCUCAACUAUGCCAUGAUGUGGGUUUAUUCUGCAUAUGCAUGUUGUAUUUAAUUUAUAUAAGUAGCUAUAAUUAAUUAAUAAUCUCUCUUUCCCAUCCCUUCUUAAUUCUAUCUGUCUAUAUAUUAUUAAUAAUUAAGCCUUAAGCUUGUACUGCUGCAUCCAUGCAUAAUUGCAUAUGCAUUAAUAAAUAAAUUAAUUGAAACUUGUAAUUUGUUUAGCACUAAUUAAUUCGUUGUUAAAUUAGCUAAGGUUACUCCAUCUUGAUGCCAUCGUUCAUGUUCACUCAUUUCAAUUCUACCAUACUCGUCCUGAAUUUAUUAACUUUCCAUGUGCGUGCGUGUUAACAGCCUGGAGAUGUAAUUAAUUAAUUGAUUAACCAUUGAUGGCAUUUUGCAUCGAGCUGGACCUACUCUUAAUUACCGGCCUCUCGAAGGGAAACCCGCUACGAUAUAAAUCAAACAACUGAACGUACACCUUCAUUAGAUUUCCUGCAAUAAUCCCUAACAUUCAAUGAUUUAUCUGCUCCCUCCCAUCAUGCCUUAAUUAAUUGUUACCACAACAUCAUCCCGAAUUUUGUAAUUACAAUUAAUUAUAUAUGUUAGCUAUUUUUCUUUUUAAUAAAUAAUUUUACAGACACAGACACAAUUAGCGUGGCAUAUGGGAGGAUGUUUAGUUGAAACUUGGAAGCGAUAUCAAUUAAUCCAUCAUGCUUUUGUCCAACUUCUACAGAUCUUCACGAUUAUGAAAUCUAUUAUUUCUUUUCCAUUCACUUCUUGUGAUACAUUGUCCGCCCCACGUGUUAGCCUUUAAUUAUGCCAUCUUGCAACAUAAAGCCCAUUGUUUGAGAAUUAAUCUCAGUUAAAGGGGCAGCUGAGACUUGAGCCAUGAACUUUGAUGGUCACGUAGGUGGUGUCGUCCAUGUGCCAAGUAUAAAUCAAUCAAGCUUUUAAGUAAUUAUUGGUUGGGCGAAAAUGAAAGCAAAGUGCAUAUUUAUGACUAGCUGUAGAAGAGAGCGAAAGGGCAGAACGAGCGUAUAUAGGGAGCUUUUGAUGACUUGGCUCAAAUAAAGGCAGUUUUAUAUUUAUACACGGAGAAAUUAUAAAAGUACAAGUCGUUUUGGGUCAUCUUGAUUUUUGCCCCAGAUCAACUUUUUUUCAAAUAGUUUUAUUUAAGUGGUCAUUCAAAUUCAAAUUCAUGGGGAGAUUAGUAAUAAGAAAAGAAAUUUAGACUUUACCCACCCCUUUAUUUUUAUCAGAAUGAGACUAAGUACAUUAAAACUUAUCAGAUAGAACAAAUUCAGAAUAUUUUGAAGAAUGGCAAUUACAAAGACCGCCAGACUUAUAUUUUUCCAUGAGAAUUAUGUGUUAUGUGGAACUAAUUUUAAUUUACUUUCGUGAUCUUGUUACAAUGUUAGCUCUUUGUUCAUGAAUUGAUUAAUACGUGUUUCUUUUUACUCAAAAGUCUUCAUCUUAUUAACUUGCAUCAUCUUUUUCUUCUUCUUUUUCUCCGCGUGGUCUUCAAUCACCUAGUUUCUCUCCUAUAGGAUGAGCAUUAAUACCCAUCCGAAAAUGCAUUGGUUUGUCGCUGUUUGAUAAAUGACAAGCGGAUUUCUCGUCCCACAAUUUUUUUGGUCCAAAUGAGAAAUAAUAUGGUAUCAACUACUGUAUCUUGACUGGUAUUAUUUUAAGAAAUAGCAUUUGCUUACUAUUUGACUUAACAAAACAAUAUCCAGUGCGCUUGUAUUAACCCUGCUGCGUUUUUUUCACAAUAUCUAUUUCUAUUCUUUGCUGAGGACUUUUGUGAAUCUGUGAUAUAAGCUGGCGGAAUCGCUGCAUCCAAAUUUAAUAUGAGAAAACAUAUCCUCAAGCUAGCCCGCUUAACGCGUAGCGGAUAUUAGUAAUAAGAAUGACCAUAGCACAGCCACAGAAACGGCGCAGCCCCAUUCUAUCAUUUUUGUGCCCCCUCCUCAAACUUUUUUGAUAAUAAUUUUUUAUAUCACUCUUUAUUUCACCAUACUCUAUUUUGAUUAAUUCGAUUUAUUUCUCAAAUUACUCCCAUUAAAAAUAUUUUAUCUCUGUUGUUUCUCACUUGCUCUUCUCAUUAUAUUUCAACUAAUGGUACAACAAUCGAAAUGGAAAAUUUGGAAUCAAAAUCAAUGACAUGUUUACUUGCAAAAUUAAGGUUUGGGAUUGGAACUGAAGUAGUGCCGGACCCACAAAUUUGAUAAUCACUACCAUAGUUCUGAUUCCAAAGCGAGGUGUUUGGAAUCUGAAUUCGAUUUCUAUAACUACCCAUUUUACUCCCAUUAAACUUUUAUAAUCUCUAAAUUACUCUCAAUUAAGUUCUAUCAUUUUUUUCUUUUUGGUUCCCAUGGAAUUUAUCAAAAAAAACUCAAAUUUUUUGAAUUAUUUGCAAAUAGGUCCUUUAUUGUUUAUAAUAAUGUAAUAAUAAUAUUAUAUUAUUAUCAUUAUUAUAUUUAAAAUUUAUUUAUUUUAUUAUUUUAAUUAUUAUUAUUGUCAUUAAUUUCAUCAUCAUCAUUAUUAUUAAAUUUUUUUAUUUAUUUUUCUUUUAGAAUAACAUGGUACACAUAAAUAGCUAGACAAAGAGAAUCUCUUGUAUAUAUCAAGAGAUCUUACAAAUUAAACUGAACCAAACUGAGACCAUCAUACAAUUGACGGGUAAUAACAAUACCCAUACUUUUAUUUUCUUAAACAUAACAUAAGAGACUAAUACUGCAUAUUCUUAACCAGUGUGAUCAAGAUUUCUUCCAUAUUGCGGGACCACAAGAAGAUCAAUAUUUCCAUUAAUUUCAUCAUCAGCAAUAAGUGAAAAAAAUGGGGGACCUACACCCUCCGACCAAUCGGUAUAACCUGAAAAAUUCAUUUUUUUUUUUUGGUUUUGACCAUGAGGUAUCCUGGGGAGGGCCCCAACUGUGGGAGGCACCUUUAAGCCUGUACCACAACCCAGACUAGAAGUCCCCGCUCGAACCGAGAGGCACAGGUUCUCCCAACAAAGGCGACUUCCCUGCUACUCGAACUGAAAAAUUCAUGUUAUAAAACUUAAUCACAAAUACACAUAUUAAAAUAAGAAUUAUAAAUGACAUAAGAAUUAUUUGAAAAUGCAUGGCCUAUGUAUAAACCUGCGCAAGGAGUUCCCAUAAUCUUCAAAUCAGGAAGGCAAAAGAUUUCUGCUGGCUUCGACUGAACCGUAUUCAAAACUCAAAAGGUAAGUAGUUGUGCUUGAGCGAGUUCUUAUUUCUGGUUUGAUCUGAUAUAUAUAGAUCAAGUAGCCGACACUACGGUGCCAACGUGGCAAAGUAACAAGUUGUGCAUGGUAAAGAUAAUGGAUCAGUGGUUCUAAUUUAAUCGUACAAUAAGUAGGGAAGGUCAACAGCUCUAUAUGGUUAAGUUAGUGCAUGUGUGAUACAUGAUUCAAAAAAUAAAUAAUUCUAAAUACGAAGGACGAGCAAAUUAAGUAAUAAAUGCCAUUACCAAAUAAUAGUGUGUGCUAUACUAUAGAUAACGGAUCAACGAUUCAAAUUUCAUCCUAAAAUAGUAGGUAAGAUUAGUGGCUAGUGUUAAAAAUCAUUGCAUGUGCGAAACAUGGUCCACAAAAUAAAUAAUAGUAAACAAGAAAGACGAACAAUGUAAUCAAAUACCAUGUCAUCAGAUAAAAAAAAAAAAAGGUAUAAAUAACAUUACCAAACAAUUGCUUGUUAAAGAUAACAGAUUUACCGCUGAAGUCUGAUAAUUGUAAGAUUAACCGCUGUAUAUGGCUCAACUGCGUGUGUAAAUAAAGUAUGAAUCAAUGGGUCCACGAAAUAAAUAAGAAGACCACAAGCAUAGUGGUCCAAAAAAUAAAUAAGAAGCGAAUAGACGAGCAAAUUAAGUAAUAAAUGCCUUGAUCUAUUAUGUAGAUGUUUAAUCUUUUGCUUUUGAUAUCGUUAUGCAUUCAAUGGCUAUACAUUUGGUGCCUGAAAUGUUUCGAAUAAAGAAGUUUCCUCAUAUAAAUAUAUUGUCUUAUUUAUUUAUUUAGUUUUUGGUCAAGUUUUCUAUUUUUAUGCAUAACGUUUUUAUGGUUCGUUUCCUUAAUUUGAAAUUUUUGUACCAUUCAUUGAAAAAAGAAAUGUAACUUAAGAUGAUCGACUUAAAUUUUCAUCCGUUUCAUUUCAUUUAAUCUAAAAGUGUAUAUUUUUUUGUCAAAAAGCUGCAAUGAGUCACCUUUAUUCUUCUAUUAUUGAAAUGAAUAGAUCAACCGAAUGAAAGUUUAAUUAAAAUAUUGAAUAGAUUAAAUGGAUGAAAAUUGAAGUAAAAUGUUGAAGUUAAGGAGCCCUAAAAAUAAUAGAAGAAACUCGAUAAGAGUAACGUUGAAAAUAUGUUAUCUCGUUUUUUAAUAAUUUAAGGAUUUUUAUAUUAGAAAAUUGCUUUAUAUAUAUAUAUAUGUGUGUGUGUGUUGAAAAUAUAUUAUUCCUUACUUAACAACUUAAGAGAUUUUUUAGAAAAUUACACACCCACUCCUUCUAAUAAGAGAAUUACUUAAUUUCAUGCAAAGUAAAGGAUAAAUUAAAAGUAAAAAACACAUAUUUUAAUAUACCAAAAAAUAAAAUAUACUGUUUUGGAGUGUGUUUUGUAAACUUUCAAUUUGUCUUUUACUUGAUUGAAGUAAGUGAUCCCUCAGUGUAAAAUUACUUCAUAUAUAUAAUAUAAUACACUAUAUUAGAGUGUGUAUUUUAAUUCUCUUUUAAUUUAUCCCUUAUCUUAAUGAUUUAAGAGAUCGUUUACUAGCUAAUGACUCGUAUAUUUUAUUUUGACUUAAAUUUUUUACAUAAAUAUUGAGUGAUUGGUUUUUCACAAUUUAAUCGUAGGUAAAUUGGUAUAAUUAGUGGUAGUUUAUAUGUGUGUUCAGUUUUUUUUUAAUGCGGGUGUCUUUAUUUUUCUUACUUAGACAUAUUUUUAAAUCAUGGGGUUUAAAAUCAUAUAGUUUAACCGCACUUGAAAAUAAUUAAAUAAAAGAGUAUGCAUGGAGUGGAAGGAUAAAAUUAUCAUAUCCUGAUUGAACAAACCACCAGGCCAGCUUGAUUCUUUCUGCUAACACUAAAUAAUUAAUUAAUCAUGUUUCAUUUUUAUUACGAUAAUUCCCAGUUUAUAAUCAAGCCGUUAAAUAAGAAAAAGUAUAUGGCGUGGCCUCAUAAAAAAAAAAAACUUUAUUUUAAGUAGUGGAAAAGAACAGUAUAUUUAAAUUGGUCACGGAGAAUGGUAGGUGAAUGAGGCCAAAUUAAAUUUGCGCGAAAAAUCCAAAAGCAUGUGAGACUUGCUCAAUUAUUGUAUUGUGUGUCCUACGCUAUAAUUAAAGCAAAUGAAAUCCGCGACAAUAUAUAUUGAAUUAUUCCAAUAAAAAAAAGUUGGAUUGUGACAGACACCACAUAUACUAAGAGGAUGGAUUAGGCCUUUUUAACUGUUAUAAAAUUAUUUGAUUGUUAAUGACGUCUUUUAUUUAAAAUUAUAAAAUUAUUUUAAUAAAUAAAUAUAUUAAAAAUAUAUUAUUAAAGAAAUGAAAUAAAUAAGAGUAUUUAAAAAAAAUCUAAUUUUUUUAAAAAACCUCUACAACCUUAAUGGCCUAAAAACUUAAACUUUCCUUAAUAAAAAUAAAAUAAUUUAUUUAAUUUCUAAAAAUUCAACUCAAAAUACCAUCUAACAAUACCAAAGUUUUUGAAAAGAUCUUUAAAAACGAAAUAAAUAUUUUUAGGCAUCAAACAUGCACUUAUUACAUAUAUAUAGAUGGAUUAUAAUUUAAUAUCAACUCCCAUAAUUAUUAAGGUUAAAUCUUCUCUUAUACUAGGAACAUUACCCACCAUAAAUAUCUGUUUGCGGAAGAGCAAUAUUCACCAUACAAAGCCUCUAGUUGGACAAGCCCUCUUCUUUUAAUUUUUUUUCGUUUUUUUUGAAUAUAUAUAUACAUACACGCACACACACAAAAAUCACAAUUGAAGCGCCAUAGAUAUAAUUAGGAGAACUUGCAACAAGAAGCUGCCGGCAUCUCCCACACAAGCUUGAAAAAGUAGCCAGUAAGAGUUGUGCACGGGGGAAAGAAAAAAAGGGAAAUAAUAAUGUGAUGGGAUUGGCAGGUGGUGUCUUAGCAGCGAUCAUAGUUAUGAUGAUACUCUUCUUCACCGCGGAUCAAUCUUGUGCAGCAGGCAACGGCACCACCAUUACUAAUUUCGAUAUUGAUCCUGAUGUGUUGUUCUUUUAUGAUGAUCCGGAAUCGGAAUUGGCUGCUGCUGCUGCAACAAACGUAUUGAAUAUGAAAUCCUUGAAGCGGCCUCCGGUGUUCAAUUGCGGAAGAGGCCGAAGCAAUCGCAAGUGUACCCCUCCUCCCCAGGGUUCCAAAAAGGGUGAACAUUGCCCACCUACGGUUUUGUACAAUCGAGGGUGCCAACAUUAAGCCUUAAGUUUGUACUGCUGCAUCCGUGCAUAUGCAUUAAUAAAUAAAUUAAUUGAAACUUGUAAUUUGAUUAGCACUAAUUAAUUCGUUGUUAAAUUAGCUAAGGUUACUCCAUCUUGAUGCUAUCGUUCAUGUUCACUCAUUUCAAUUCUACCAUACUCGUCCUGAAUUUAUUAACUUUCCAUGUGCGUGCGUGUUAACAGCCUGGAGAUGUAAUUAAUUAAUUGAUUAACCAUUGAUGGCGUUUUACAUCGAGCUGGACCUACUCUUAAUUACCGGCCUCUCGAAGGGAAACCCGCUACGAUAUAAAUCUAAAUUUCAAUGAUUUAUCUGCUCCCUCCCAUCAUGCCUUAAUUAAUUGUUACCACAACAUCAUCCCAAAUGUUGUAAUUACAAUUAAUUAUAUAUGUUAGCUAUUUUUCUUUUUAAUAAAUAAUUUUACAGACACAGAUACAAUUAGUGUGGCGCAUGGGAGGAUGUAAAAAAUAUAAGUUAUUUUCUCGAUUUAUAUUCAAACAUGUUUAAAUUUUAUAAAAAUAAAUUAAUGUCUUAGUUAAGCUUUCUAAUUUUUUUCCUGCUCGACGAAUUUAUAAAGACGUCGUUUUUAAGAAGGAAAUUAUUUCUCUUUAUCUUUUUACUGCUUGAUUGGAACUCUGGCAAUUUGAAAAAAAGGAAAGGAUUGAUGUUGAAGGAAAGAAUUGGGUAUGGAAAUAAAAUUGUGUGCCUUUAUAAUAAACUCAUUAAAAAUCAAAUUGAAUGAAUUUAAUUAUUAAUAAUUAGGUUACGAUAUAAAAUGAAAUCUUAACCAUUCAAUUUUUUUUUCUAGAAAUUAAUUUUAUGAUUAGAUUAUUGAAAGCUAAAGAAAAAUUAGGAGGGGGAAAACUAGUAGGGAAUCCAAAUCCUAUUCUUAUUAAUUAAUUAUAAGCUCUAUUUUUUUUUAAUCAAGUCCAAAAUUUUCCUUGUUUUUUUUUUCUUUUUAAAUACCCAAAACUAAAAACCAGGGCAUGCACUCUGUGUAUAUAUCUAUGAAAUCGUUGUUCAUUAAGCAAAUUUCUUCCUCUAAGUUCAGAUAAUUUCAUGAUUUGUCACUUUCUGCACCCAAUAAAAAGAUAAAGAAUCAAAAGGACAUCUUUUAUGUGUAAAUACACAUCAAAUCUCUUUUAUUAAUCAAUUAUUAUUAUUAUUAAUAAAAUAGGCUACGUAGCAUAUUCUAUUUUUUCUCCCUCAGCUAAAAUACUAAUAUAUUACCAAAUUAAAAAAAAGUUGGAACUAAUUUUAAUUUACUUCCGUCGUCUUGUUACAGUGUUAGCUCUUUGUUCAUGAAUCGAUUAAUACGUGCAUUUUUUUUACUCAAAAGUUUUCAUCUUAUUAGCUUGGAUCAUCUUUUUCCUUUUCUUUUUCUCCUCGUUGUCUUCUAUUACCUACUCUCUGUCCUCUAGGAUGAGCAAUAAUGCUAUCUGAAAAUUCAUUCAUUUGUCCGUGUUUGAUUUACGACAAGCGGAUUUCUCAUCCUACAACUUUUUUGGGAUGGGUCCAUCUCAUUGGGUGGCCCAACCCCAAGUUUCACUAAUUUUAAAAUUUAAAUAAUUAAAGAAAAUAAGUGGGGCUAAGUGAAAUUAGUCAACAGAAAUCAUUAGAUAAAGAAGGGCAAAAGCAAGGGACUGUUAGGGAUGGUAAUGGGUACAGUUUGCAACGGGUUUGUUAUUACUAAAUUCAUAUUCACUUAAAAUUUAAAUUAUUAAAUCAAACCCGCACUUUAUUAUAGGUUCUAAUUUUUUUAAAAAAAAUUCACCCCCUGCAGGUUUUGACAAUUACUAAACCUGUAAUGAUGUCCUACAAUAAUGAUUAAAAUUUAGGUUUUCACAUUUAAAAUUAUAAAUAUUCAAUAUGAAAAUUUAUAAUAAUAACGUAAAAUUCUACAUAAUAUACUCAGGGGUGGAUGCAGCAUGUAACCAGUGGGGGCUUGGGCCCCCAUUGGCCAAAAAAAAUUAUAAAAAUAAAAGAGAAAAAUAAUUUUAUUUUCUAAUUAGCCCUCAUUAAAUUUAUUAAAAUAGUCACUAUAAAUUAUAAACCCCAUAAAAUUUAAACUUUAACUUUUAAGAAUUAUAAAAACCUACAUUUUAAUUAAAAAUAAUGAUAGUCCACCACCCAAAAUAUUUUAUAUUCUCAAAAAUAUGAUUAAUUCUUCCAUUUUUUAUAAUAAUAGUAAAGAGAAUGUUUUCAGUAAUGAAAUUCAUGAAGAAUCAUCUUUGGAAUUGGAUGAGAUAAAUGAUAGUUUGGUUGUUUAUAUAGGAAAUAAUAAAUUUAAUAAUAUUGAUGGCGAGUCUAUCGCAUAACAUUUUUAAAAUAUGAAAUCCCGUAGAGAAUAAUUAUAAAUGUAUUAACAAAUAUUUUAUAUAUUCAAAAUUUUAGUUUUUUUUUAUAUUUUACUAUUAUCUAAUUUAGCCCCCGGUAAAUUAUUCUUAUAGAUCCGCCACUGAAUAUACUCAAUUCUAAAUUUAACCAAUGUAAAUUGAAAAUUAAAAUUUCAACAUCAAUCCAACAUAAAUUCUCAAUUUUAAGUAUGAAAUACACAAAUCAAUUAAAAAAAACCACAAAUCAGUAUCUAAAUAUAACAAUUAUCAUUUUAUAUUAUCAUUCAAGACAUGCUCCUAGAGAAGUUCUUCAUUUCAUUCACCACUAUUAGCACCCAUCGAACAUGAUUCCUACAAUAAUGAUUAAAAUUAAUAUUUUCUAAAAAAUAAUACAUUUUAGAUACUAAUCUAGAAAACAAAAUUGUUGUAAUGAAGUAAUCUAUUCAUCGAAUUGAAGAAUAAUAGUUCAUACAAAAUUAUAAUAAGUAGAAUUUAAAUAUGUAUAGAAUAAUUCAUGCAUUAAGUUUAAGAAAAUUCAAUCAAAAUUACAAUAAGUAUAAUUUUAGAUUUAAAUAUUUCUCUAUUAAAAUUAAAUUAAAAAAAUAAUGAAAAAAUCUGAGUGUUGGCGAAUAUCCAUGCGGGUAUUUGUUGGAUAUUUGACUAAUGCCAAACUCAGCCACAACCUACUGCGGGUUUCAAUUUAUAAUACCAAAUUGGCCCGCAACUCACAAAAUUACCCACAACAGAUGGGUUUAGGCGGGCGAGUUUAGGCGGAUUUGUGGGUUUUUGGGUACCAUUGCCAUCCCUAGUGUCAACCCUAGUUAGAAAACUAAAAAGGAAUAGAGGGGGAGUGAGAGAGAGAGAAGAGACAAUGGGGUGAGCUUGGACUGGGGUUAAGGGUUUCAAUCUUUGAUUGGACAAUCGGAAGAUGAUUUUAACUAUGUUUUCUCCCAAAUUUGAAAGGUAAGUUCCUGGUAUCAGCUUCUAUAAUCCUACUAGUUUUUAUUUUUAUUUUAUCCAAUCGUUAGUUAUUAUUUGAGAUACCUACUUAUUAGAGAGACAAUUAAUAGGAUGUUACGUUAACCAAGAUCAUUGAGAUUCUUGAUGUCAUUAAUCUCUAGUGUUAUUGAGAUAAGAAUUUUAUGCUGUAAUCCCAUCAAUAUAGUGAAAUAUUAUAUCAUACUGUAAUCCUAUGAUUUUUUCCACUUUGAGUUUUCCAUGUAAAAAUUUAUGUUUCUUGUGGUUAAUUUAUUACUUUAAAUUUUGUUGCUUUAUUUUUUUACCUAUUUAUUUUACAUACACACCCUAUUUUAAUCACACCUUAUUUUAAUCACACAAAAAAGAAAAAAAGUUUAUUUCUGAUCAAUUUGCAAUUAUUUGUUUGUGUCUCUUUCCCAGCAGGACCGAAUGAAAAAUGAUAUGGAAUUGACUACUCUAUCUUAACUGGUUGUGUUUUAAGAAAUUGCAUUUGCUAAUGAUUGGACUUAACAAAACAAUAUUCAGGGCGCUUGUAUUAACCCUGCUGUGUUUUUUCACAAUAUCCGUUUCUAUUAUUUAUUAAGGACUUUUGUGAAAUAUGUGAUAUAAGCUGAGAGAAUCGUUGCAUAUCCAAAUUUAAUAUGAGAAAACAGAUCCUCUAGCUAGUCCGCUUCACGCGUCGCGAAUAUUAAAAAUAAGAAUGAUUUUCCUUUUUAAACUUUUAUGUCAAAUUACACAUGCAAAAUACAUAAUAAGAAUAUCUUUUUUUUUUCCCAUAUGUACGCAUUUCGGAGCAGACACGUCAACCACAUUCUAUCAUUUUUGUACCCCCUUCUCAAACUUUUUGAUAAUAAUUUUUUAUAUCACUCUUUAUUUCACCAUACUCUAUUUUAAUUAAUUCGAUUUAUUUCUCAAAUUACUUCUAUUAAAACUAUUUUAUCUCUAUUGUCUCUUACUUGCUUUUCUCAACAUAUUUGAACACUAGUGGUGUGUUUACUUACUAUCAAUUGAAAUGAGAAUUUUCGAAUCGAAAUCAAUGACGCGUUUACUUGCAAAAUUUAAGGCUUAAAAUCGGAAUCGAAAUAGUAUCGGACCGACAAAUUUGAAAAUCACUACCAUAAUUCUAAUUCCCAAGCGAGGAGUUUGGAAUCAGAAUUUGAUUUCUCUAACUACCCUUUUUACUCAUUAAAUUUUCAUAAUCUCUAACUUACUCCCAGUUCUAUUAUUUAUUCUUUUUGGUUCCCAUGAUUUAUCAAAAAACUCAAAAUUUUAAAUUAUUUACAAAUAGGUCCUUUAUUGUUUAUAAUAAUAAUAAUAAUAAUUGCUUGGUAAAGAUAUCAAAGUUUCAUAAUCGCAAGAUUAACGGCUGUAUAUGGUUCAACUGCGUGUGUAAAUAAACGCAUGUGGGAGUAUGAAUCAAUGGGUCCACGAACUAAACAAGAAGACCACAAGCAUAGUGAGUCCCAUGAAUUUCUUUAUAAAAAUAAAAUACUGUGUCCCGUUAUACAUAUUAUUAAUUUUUCUUUUAUCUCUUCAUUUUAAACACCUAUCUCGUUUUAGUUGUCACAAUUAAACUCUUCUUUAGCACUUAAUAGAAGUACUUCUAUGAGUAUGGAUUUAGAGAGAGAGCGCGGCAGUAUUAACAGGUGGCAUAUUGUAAUAGGCUAAGAGCAAUAUCUGUAUAAAUAUUCUGAGUUCAUUCAUUAACUAAUAAGAUUCUUCUAGAUCCAUAAUCAAUUUUUCUCUCGUUUUCUCUUUAACCAAACAAGUCCUUCAAAUCUAAUAUCGUACAAUAAGUUGGCAGGUUUAAGGGCCAUGACUAAAUUAAUGCAUGUGCGAAGGGUGGCCCGAAAAGUAAAUAACUGUAGAUAAUAAGAAGACGAACUGACGAUCAAAGCAAUAAUACCAACCAGGCAAUAAUGCAUGGUGAGGAUAAGAUAACAUGUCUACGGCUGAAGUUUGAUUGUGAGAUUAUGGGCUAUAUAUAUAUUUCAAUGAUGGGUCCACGAAAUAAAUAAUUGUACAUAAUAAGUUAAGCAAAGUAAAUAUUCUUUCCGUGUCAACUGGUAAAAUGUGUUCCUAUGGACAAAAUUAAUGACUGAGAGUAAUUUGGUAGUAAUUAUGGGGGGAUAAGGAUAAUUACACUCCAUGGUUAAAACAUAAUCACAUAGAUGGCCCUUUUCACUAUUUUACUCUUUGACUCUAUUUAUCCAACAAAAAAUAGUACAUUUCAAUCCAAUAUUUUAUAACAAAUAAAAGUAUAAUAUUUAAAUCAAUGCAAAAAAAUAAAUAAAUGCAUUUUAAGUUAAAUUUAAUAUAAAUAACCUGUUAAACAUAUUUAUGCAAAUUCCUAUCCUAUUAGAGAUUCAUGGUACCCAAAAGCAAAAAAAAAAUAUAUUGAAAAAAGGGUUGGGGAUAUUUACACUCUAAUAUAUGUUUUGGACACUCUAAUUUUAAUAAAAUUUUAUACUACUAAAAUACUAUUUAGGACAUUAAUAUAUUUUAAGACAAUUUUAGCACUCUUAAAACUCACUAUUUUAGAAGAACUAAAUCUCAAUUGAUACACAAUACUUUUUUUUUCUUAAAAGGAAAAUAUGGUACACGUAAAUAGCUAGACAAAGAGAAUCUCUUGUAUAUAUAGAGAGAUCUUACGAGUUAAAUUGAACUUAACUGAGACCAUCAUACAAUUAACGAGUAAUAACAACAGUACCCAUACUUUUAUUUUCUUAAACAUAGCACAAGAGACUAAUAUUGCAUAUUCUUAACCAGUGUGAUCAGGGUUUCUUAACUUUCUUUCAUAUCGAGGGACUACAAAAAGAUCAAGAUUGUCGUUAGUUUCAUCAUUAGCAAUACCCAUUUCGGGAAUCGGAAUUCAUUUCGACCAAUCGUUAUGACCUGAAAAGUUCAUAUUACAAAACUUAAUUACAGAUACAUAUUAAAAUAAGAAUUAUAAUGAUAUUUAAUUGAAAAUGCAUGGCCUAUAUAUAAGCCUGCGCAAGGAGUUCCCGUAAUCUUCAAAUCAGAAAGGCAAAAGAUUUCUGCUGGCUUCGAUUGAACCGUAUUCAAAACUCAAAAGGUAAGUAGUUGCGCUUGAGCGAGUUCUUAUUUCUGGUUUGAUCUGAUAGAUAUAGAUCAAGUAGCCGACACUACAGUGAGAAUAUAGCAAAUAAGCAAGUCAUCACGCUAAAGAUGAUGGAUCAACAGUUCAAGUUUAAUCGUACUAUAAAUCGGUAAGAUUAACGGCACUGUAUGGUUAGAUUAUUGCGUGGUUGAAACAUUGUCUAAAAAAUAAAUAAUUCUAAAUAAGAAGAUGAACUGACGAUCAAAGCAAUAAUACCAACCAAUAAUGCAUGGUAGGGAUAAGAUAACGUAUAUAUAUCUACCGCUGAAGUUUCAUGGUAAGAUUAACGGCUAUAGAUGUUUCAAUUAAUGGGUCCACGAAAUAAAUAAUUGUAAAUAAGAAGUCAUGCAAAAUAAAUAUUCUUUCAACUGCAAUUCGAGUCCGUCCAAUUUUAAAUAAGAUUUGGGUGGAAAGUAGAUGUCCUUCUCGUUAAUUGGGUGGAAAGUAGACGAUUAUUAUUAUGGUCUUCUUAUUUAUUUCGCUGACCCAUUGAUUCCUACUUCCACAUGCAGUUGAAACGUAUAUAGCCAUUAAUCUUACAAUUAUCAAACUUCAGCCUUACGUGUGUUAUCUUUAUACUUUUUUUUUUUUUUGAUGAGAUGGUAUUUAUUACUUUGUUCCCCUAUCUUAUUCACAAUUAUUUAUUAUGUAGACGUUUCGCACAUGCAAUAAUUUACUUAUUGUACGAUCAAACAUUACCCAGUUAUUGUAGGAUGAAACCUGAGUUGAUCCAUUAUCAUGCAUUAUUUCUUUUUGUUUUUGCUUUGUUUUUUUUUUCUUUUUUUGGUGGCUACGUUGGCGCUGUAGUGUCGGCUACUUGAUGUAUAACCAGAAAUGAAGUUAAAGGCUGAAGUUAAGAUAAGAUCACAUUUCUACGGCUGAAGUUAAGAUAAGAAAACGAACUGACUAUCAAAGCAAUAAUACCAACCAAUAAUGCAUAGUAAGGAUAUAUAAGAUAACAUAUGUUUCAUUUUGUUUUUGCUUUGUUUUUUUUUCUUUUUUUGGUGACUACGUUGGCGCUGUAGUGUCGGCUACUUGAUGUAUAACCAGAAAUGAAGUUAAAGGCUGAAGUUAAGAUAAGAUCACAUUUCUACGGCUGAAGUUAAGAUAAGAAAACGAACUGACUAUCAAAGCAAUAAUACCAACCAAUAAUGCAUAGUAAGGAUAUAUAAGAUAACAUAUGUUUCAUUGUAAGCUUAUCGGCUGCAUAUGUUUCAAUUGAUGAGUCCACGAAAUAAAUAAUUGUAAAUAAUAAGUCGAGCAAAGUAAAUAUUCUUUCCUUAUCAUCUGGUAAAAUGUGUUUCUAUGGCCAAAAUUAUUGUGCGUGGAGACUGAGAGUAAUUAAUUUGGUGGUAACUAAGAGGGAAAAGGAUUGUUACACUCGAUAGUUUAUUUCAAUAUACACAUAGACCCUUAAUGUUCAAAACAUAAUCACACAGAUGGCCCUUUGACUAUUUUACUCUUGGACUCUAUUUACCCAACAAAAAUUGAUUUCAAUCGCAUGUUUUAUAAUAAAUAAAACUAUAAUAUUUAAAUCAAUGUAAUAAAUAAAUACACUUUCAGUUAAAUUUAAUAUUAAAAUUUCGUAUAAACAAGGUUAAAAAAAUUAAUAAUUUGUUGAAUAUAUUUAUGCAAAUUCCUACCCUAUUAAGGAUUUCAUGAUACGCAAAAGGAAAAAAAAGUAACAUUUAGAAAAAUGAUGGGGCAAAUUUGCACUCCAAUAUAUAUUUUGGACACUCUAAAAUUUUACAUUACUAAAAUAACCGUAAUCUAAUCUAUUAUUCAGGACAUUAAUAUAUUUUAAGAAAAUUUGAGUACCCUUAAAACUCACUAUUAUAUGUAGAAGAAUAAAAUUUCAAUUUUUUUUCCUCGUCAUCAUCCAAUUUAGUGCCUGCUUGGGAUUGCUUUUGGAAAGUUUAAAAGUUAUUUUAAAAAACUAAAUGCUAAUUUUGAUGAAGUUCAUGUUAUCUAAUGCUUGUAAUAGUUUUCCCGUUUUUUAAAGAUGUUAUUCUUUUGGAAUAUACCAAUAUCAAUGAGCCAGAAAUGUUCUUGCAGCAUUGAAUUAGUUUAUAAAUUUGAAAAAUGCAAGACCUAAAAUCCUAUGCCUUGCUUAUCUAAUUUGAACUUGCAUAGUGCUCAUAGAUUACAUUCAUAAGCUCUUAUCAAAAUUUAGUUGUUGUUUGGUUGUUUUUUAGUAAAGUUUUUGAAUAUUAAAUAAGUUAUUUUUCCUCUACUAGCAAAAGCUAUAAUUUUGGGCAUUUGGGAGUAGACGUAGAAAAGUUUUUUUUUAAAUAUUAAAAUGUCUAAAAUAUUCUUUACUUAUUUGACAAUUUUAUUACAUUUAUUUUAUAACAUCACUUUCAAAAGCUUAUUUAUUAAAGUAGUUUUACAAUUCUAAUAAAAGCUCUUAUUGACAACCAAACAACUAAAUUUUUUUUAGCACAAGCUCUAUUUAUAAGAGCUCUACUAACAAAAGUUCUACUUCAAUAAGCUCUAUUUGAAAACUCUGCCAAACUAAGCCUUAUUUUUGAACUCAUCUCCUAAUGCUCGAUCGAAAACAAUUCUAUUGCAAAAUUAAGGCAAUGCAUGUUCAAUAAUUUUGUCUAGAUUUCCCAGGGUUGAACAUUCGUUAAGCACCCGCAGUAAUAGCAAUUUCAAAUUCGCGCAAUGCAUCUGUUCAAAUUAUCAUUAUAAUUCAGUUGAAAUUUUUUUUAGAACUUAUGUCAAGUCAAGGUCCCAAGUGUUACGGUGAAUUCAGCUCCGGCUAUGCCUAUACCCUUCCUGAGUUUAUUACUUUUCCGUGUGCGUACGUAUUAACAGCCUGGAGAAGUAAUUAAUUGUGUCUAAAAUAUUAACCUAAUUUUUUAUUUUUUAUUUUUUCUUUUUUUUGGGGAUUUUGAUGAAUGAUGGGCUCCGGAAACGAACGAUUCCGGGUUCAUUGUUUGAUAUGAUGUUCGGGAUUUUUAUUUAGGCGGAGUGGAAGCGCUGUAAAAUGACGAACUUGCCCAUGUAAUUUUUUUUCUUUUUUUCUUUAUUUGGGUGCAAUUUUUUAAUUGGUGCAGCUUUUGGAUUGCAUUUCGGCGGCCACUAUUCAAUUUUAUUUUUACGAAGUGUUUAUUGCUUUUUCAUGCAGAAUAAGUAUUAGAAAAUUUUUUAAUUAUGAAUAAUAAUGUUUUUGAAAAUUCAGUGAUUUUUUUGUAUCAUAUAAUGCCACCGUGCAACCUAAAUUAGUAUUUUUUUGCAAUUAUUCAAUUUGAUUUUUAAUGAGUUUAUAAAAUUGUUACUACACAACACGUUGUAAUCUUAAAUUGGUAUUUAAAAACGUAUGGAUGUGUGCGUAUGAGAAUUGUUAUUCUUGUUUACUAUUGAAAUUUAAUUUAUUAGAUGGGAAGAGAAUAUUUACACUCAAAAAUUUAUUCUAAAAACUCAUAUUUUAAUAAAAUUUUUAUAAUUACUUAAUAAUCUUUAUUUUAAAACUAUUUACACCCUCAUCAAAUACACCCAUGAGCUGAGAGCUGUCUUAUACCCUAACCCUCAUCAAAAUCAAAUCUAACCUAGUGUAAAAUUUUAAUAUAAAAUUGUGUAGUAACAAUUUUAUAUUUUAAAAAUCAAAUUGUUAACCUGCAUUGUUUAUAAAAUUGUUACUAAUUUUAUUGUUUCCCUUUAUAAACUCAUUAAAAAUCAAAUUGAAUGAAUUUAAUUAUUAAUAAUUAGGUUACGAUAUAAAAUGAAAUCCUAAGCUUUCAAUUUUUUUUCUAGAAAUUAAUUUUAUAAUUAGAUUAUUGAAAGCUAAAGAAAAAUUAGGAGGGGGGAAAACUAGUUGGGAAUCCGCAUCCUAUUCUUAUUAAUUAAUUAUAAUCUGUAUUUUUUUGAAUCAAGUCCAAAAUUUUCCUUGUUUUUUUUUCUUUUUAAAUACCCAAAACUAAAAAACGGGGCAUGCACUCUGUUUAUAUUUCUAUGAAAUCGUUGUUCAUUAAGCAAAUUUCUUCCUCUAAGUUCAGAUAAUUUCAUGAUUUGUCACUGACUGCACCCAAUAAAAAGAUAAAGAAUCAAAAGGACAUCUUUUAUGUGUAAAUACACAUCAAAUCUCUUUUAUUAAUCAAAUUUUUUAUUAUUAUUAAUAAAAUAGGCUACAUAGCAUAUUCUAUUUUCUCCCUCAGCUAAAAUACUAAUAUAUUACUAAAUUAAGAAAGUUAGAUCUCCAGUGAUUGUCCGUGCAAUCUUUGGCUUGGCGGCACUGGAUUUUAUCAGUGCUGCUUUGUUAAAAUUUCCCGUGAAGGACAAAUAAAUUGCUGCCAUGGUGAUCUUUGCAAAGGAUGUGAACAUUGCUGUGUUGGGUAUAAAAUGCAAGGGAUAUGAAUGUGAACGGAGAUCGUUUUCAUUUUUGUUUAUCGUUUUUGCUUUUUCAAGGUUGGUAAAUGGAGAGUAAAGAAACAGCAGAUCACCAAGGAGGAUACACUAACAUCGGCGAAUUUAGGCAUAGGCAAUUAAGUUGUAUUAAAUAUUGAAUAUAGAAAAUUUUGUUGGGCAUCGGACGGACGAAUGAAAAACCAUUUGUUCUUGAACAUCUUUUCGUACUUUCAUCUUAUUAACUUGGAUCAUCUUUUUCCUUUUCUUUUUCUCCUCGUUGUCUUCUAUUACCUACUCUCUCUCAUCUAGGAUGAGCAAUAAUACUAUCUGAAAAUUCAUUCAUUUGUCGGUGUUUGAUUUCCGACAAGCGGAUUUCUCAUCCUACAACUUCUUUUUGAGCCUGAUGGGUCUAUCUCAUUGGGUGGCCCAAGCUCAAGCUUCACUAAUUUGAAAAUUUAAAUAAUUAAAGAAAAUAAGUGGGGCUAAGUGAAAUUAGUCAAUAGAAAUCAUUAGAUAAAGAAGAGCAAAAGCAAGGGACUGGUAGGGAUGGUAACGGGUACAGUUUGCAACGGGUUUGUUAUUACCAAAUUCAUAUCCACACAAAAUUUAAAUUAUCAAACCCAACCCGUAAUUUAUUGCAGGUUCUAAUUUUAAAAAAAAAAAAUACACCCGCUACGAGUUUUGGCAAUUACCAAACCUGUAAUGGUAUCCAAUAGAUUUUUUUGCAGGUUUGCACAUUUUAAAUUACAAAUAUUCGAUAUGAAAAUUUAUAAUAAUAAUGUAAACUUCCACAUAAUACACUUAAUUCUAAAUUUAACCAAUGUAAAUGAAAAAUUAAAAUUUCAACAUUAAUCCAACACAAAUUCUCAAAUUUAAGUAUGAAAUACACAAAUCAAUAAAAAAAACCACAAAUCAGUAUCUAAAUAUAACAAUUAUCAUUUUAUAUUAUCAUUCAACACAUGCUCUUAGAGAAGUUCUUCAUUUCAUUCACCAUUAUUAGCACUCAUCCAACGUGAUUCCUACAAUAAUGAUUAAAAUUAAUAUUUUAUUAAGAAUAAUACAUUUUAGAUACUAAUUUGAAAAACAAAAUUGUUGUAAUGAAAUAAUCUAUUCAUCGAAUUGAAGAAUAAUAGUUCAUACAAAAUUAUAAUAAGUAGAAUUUAAAUAUGUAUAUAAUAAUUCAUGCAUUAAAUUAAAGAAAAUUCAAUCAAAAUUACAAUAAGUAUAAUUUUAGAUUUAAAUAUUUUUCUAUUAAAAUUAAAUUAAAAAAGCUGCGGGUUGGCAAAUAUCCAUGCGGGUAUUUGUUGGAUAUUUGACUAAUGCCAAACCCACCCCCAACCUAGUGCGGAUUUCAAUUUAUAAUACCAAACCGGCCCGCAACUCACAAAAUUACCCACAGCAUGUGGGUUUUGGCGGGCGAUUUUAGGCGGAUUUGUGGGUUUUUGGGUACCAUUACCAUCCCUAGCGGCAACCCUAGUUAGAAAACUAAAAAGGAAGAGGGGGGGGGGGGGGGAAGAGAGAGAGAGAGAGAGAGAGAGAGAGAGGAGAUAGUGGCAUGAGCUUGGAUUGGAGGUAAGGGUUUCAAUCUUUGAUUGGACAGUCGGAAGAUGAUUUUAACUCUGUUUUCUCCCAAAUUUGGAAGGUAAGUUCCUGGCAUUGCCUUCUAUAAUCCUACUGAUUUUGAUUUGAUUUUAUCCUCUCAUUAGUUAUUAUCCGAGAUACCUACUUGUUAGAGAGACAAUUAAUAGAUUAUUACGUUAACCCAAGAUUAUUGAGAUUCUUAAUGUCAUUAACCUCUAGUGUUAUUUAGAUAAGAAUUUUGUGCUAUAAUCCCAUCAAUAUAGUGAAAUAUUGAUUUAUUAUUUUAAAUUUUGUUGCUUUAUUUUUUUUUUACCUAUUUAUUUUGCAUACACACUCUAUUUUAAUCACACAAAAAAGACAAAAAGUUUAUUUCUGUACAAUUUGCAAUUAUUUGUGUGUGUCUCUUUCCUAGCGGGACCGAAUGAAAAAUGAUAAGGUAUUGACUACUCUAUCUUAACUAACUAUGGCCUUUCCACGGCACGGCCCACUAACUGUCGGCCCACAAGGGCUCGUGGACCGGCACGGCACGGUCCACCAAAUUGGUGGGCUGUGCCGUGCCUACAUUUUUUUCAGUUGAGCCUGGCACGGCCCACGGCACGAGCGGGCUCGUGCCGUGCCGUGGGCCUUGCCCAAAAAAAGCCCACCAACUUUUUUUUUUAGCAUGCUUAAAAAAGCCUACGUGCCUAGCAUGCUUUAUUCAAGCCCACGUGUCUGACGUCCUUUUUUAAGCCCACCAACAUAAUAAUAAUAAUAAUAAUAAUAAUAAUAAUAAUAAUAAUAAUAAUAAUAAUAAUAAUAAUAAUAAUAAUAAUAAUAUUCACAAUCAUAAUCAUAUUAAUUUUUAUUAAGAGAGCAAUUAACAUUUUAUUAUUAGUUUAACACAAUUUCACAACUAUAUAUUUUAUUUCACAAUAAUCAAUUAUAAUUCAUAACACAACAAUACAUAAAUUUAAUUAAAAUUAAAAAUACAAUCCUCGAAUAAUCAUUACAAUAAGUCAUAACUACAAUUGCAAAAUUUUGAUAUUUUAGAUUUUUGGAUGGGUAAGACAUCUUUUUUCCCUAUAUUAUCCAUUAUGGCCCGUGAUCUACUAACCCCUCCAGCUUCAACUGUAGCAUCAGAAUCAACUUUUAGUACAGGUGGCAGAAUUCUAGAUGACCAUUGGUCAAGAUUGUCAUAAGAGACAUUAGACUCUUUGUUGUGUUUGAAAGAUUGGGAAGAUGCUGAACGCUGAGUGCAACAAGAUUGGCAAAAUGCUUUAAUUAAACAAAUUGAGAGUUUGAAUGUUGAUCAAGAUGAAGUGGAUCCAGAUUAUGCAGAGUACUGAACAUUGAAGUCACUUCCAAAGACUAGAGAUUUUUUUUUCUUGUAACUUUUUGAAACAAUUUUUAUUAGUGAGAAUGUUGUACAUUUGCAAAUGAUAGAUGGUUCAGUAGGUGUCAACCUAGUUGGGAUGUACUGUUAACUGUAGUGAUGCAAAUUACACCUAAUUUUAUUUGAAUUACUAAUAUUAGAAUUGUACUUUAACUUCAUUUAAUGAAAAUGUAAUUUUUAAUUUAUCAUAAUUUUUCUUGUGUAUAAAAUGGAAAAUAUUUCAUUCACAAAUGAAACGUAUCUCUAUUAAAUAUUAACUAAGUUAUGAUUUAAUAUUAAUAUGAAAAAUAUUUCAUAUGAAAAAUUUUUUAUUAUUAAUUUUGUAAAAAAAUUUAUUUAUAAUUUAUAAUUUAUAAAUUUAUGAUAUUUAUAAUCUUAUUUAUUAAAAUCAUGAUAUUUACUUAUUUACUUAUUCAUUUAAUAAAUUAUAAACAUAAAUAAAUAAUUAGAUAAAUAUCAUAAAUAAAAUUAAAUAUCAUAAAUAACAUUAUUCAUUUAAUAAAUAUCAUAAAUAAAAUUAUGAUAUUUAUAAUUUUAUUUAUUAAAAUCAUGAUAUUUACUUAUUCAUUUAAUAAAUUAUAAACAUAAAAGAUUAGAAUAUUUAUUUAAACUAAGAUUUAAUGAUUUAAACUAAUAUUAAUUUUUAAAAGUCUAUGCUAAAAAAUAUAUUAAAACAUUUAGUUUCAAGAUAUUGUACUUUAAUUUCAUAACAUUUUAUAUUUACUUUUUGUUAAAAAAAAUUACUUAAAUAUAUUUUGGCCCACGUGCUAUUAAUGGUUCACUGGCCGCGUGCUAGCCCACUAAUGAACCAUGCUUUUUCGCGUGCCGUGCUUUAAGGCCCGCGUGCCUAAAAUUCUAGGCCCGGCACGGCCCACGUGCGUGCCGUGCCGUGCCGUGCCUCGUGCCUCACCGAAACGUGCUCGUACCGUGAUGUGCCGUACGGACACAUGCCAUGCCACAUGCCGCCCGGCCCAUUGGCCAUCUUUAAUGUUAACUGAUUGUGUUUUAAGAAAUCGCAUUUGCUCAUGAUUGGACUUAACAAAACAAUAUCCAGGGCGCUUGUAUUAACCCUGCUGUGUUUUUUCACAGUAUCCGUUUCUAUUCUUUAUUAAGGACCUUUGUGAAUAUGUGAUAUAAGCUGAGAGAAUCGUUGCAUCCAAAUUUAAUAUGAGAAAACAGAUCCUCUAGCUAGUCCACUUAAUGCGUAGCGAAUAUUAAAAAUAAAAAUGAUUUUCCUUUUUAAGCUUUUAUGUCAAAUUACACAUGCAAAAUACAUAAUAAGAAUCUUUUUUUUUUUUUUCCAUAUGUAUGCAUUUUAGAGCAGAUACGUCGAGAGUCCAUCUCUAAAAUCGAAAUGGGGUGUGGAAAGUGUAUACAAGUAUUUGCCCAUAGCACAGCUACAGAAACGGCGUAACCACAUUCUAUCAUUUUUGUACCCCCUUCUCAAACUUUUUGAUAAUAAUUUUUUAUAUCACUUUUAUUUCACCGUUAUUAAUUCGAUUUAUUUCUCAAAUUAACAAUUGAAAUGAGAAUUUUCGAAUCGGAAUCAAUAACGCGUUUACUUACAAAAUUUAAGGCUUAAAAUUGGAAUCAAAAUAGUAUUGGACCCACAAAUUUGAGAAUCACUACCAUAAUUCUAAUUCCCAAGCGAGGAGUUUGGAAUCAGAAUUUGAUUUCUAUAAAUACCCUUUUUACUCUUUAAAUUUUCAUAAUCUCUAAAUUACUCCCAGUUCUGUUAUUUUUUCUUUUUGGUUCUCAUGAUUUAUAAAAAAACUCAAAAUUUUAAAUUAUUUACAAAUAGGUCAUUUAUUGUUUAUAAUAAUAAUAAUAACAACAAUUGCUUGGUAAAGAUAUCAAAGUUUCAUAAUCGCAAGAUUAACGGCUGUAAAUAUUCUUUCCGUAAAUUGUACAUAAUAAGUUAAGUAAAAUGUGUUCCUAUGGACAAAACUAAUGACUGAGAGUAAUUUGGUAGUAAUUAUGGGGGGAUAAGGAUAAUUACACUCCGUGGUUAAAACAUAAUCACAUAGAUGGCCCUUUUCACUAUUUUACUCUUUGACUCUAUUUAUCCAACAAAAAAUAGUACAUUUCAAUCCAAUAUUUUAUAACAAAUAAAAGUAUAAUAUUUAAAUCAAUGCAAAAAAAUAAAAUAAAUGCAUUUUAAGUUAAAUUUAAUAUAAAUAAUCUGUUAAACAUAUUUAUGCAAAUUCCUAUCCUAUUAGAGAUUCAUGGUACCCAAAAGCAAAAAAAAAAUAUAUUGAAAAAAGGGUUGGGGAUAUUUACACUCUAAUAUAUAUUUUGGACACUCUAAUUUUAAUAAAAUUUUAUACUACUAAAAUAUUAUUUAGGACAUUAAUAUAUUUUAAGAAAAUUUUAGCACUCUUAAAACUCACUAUUAUAGAAGAACUAAAUCUCAAUUUUUUUUCCAUUAUCAUCCAACUUAGGGCCCGUUUGGAAUUAUUUCUAGAAAGUUCAAAAGUGAUUUUGAAAAGCUAAAGCUAAUUUUGAUGUUUGAACAUUUAAUCAAUUCUCUUCACAACUAAUUAUUUCUACAGUACAUAUAACAACAAUUAUUUUAAAAACUAUAACAUUAAUGAAGUGGGUCUUAAUCCAUUGUAAAAAACAAAAUACGUAGUUCUACAUGAUCAAGUCAUCAAGCGGCCGCACACUCUUUACUUCAAUGUGACAAAAUAAUUAAAAAAAACCUGAAUAAAUGAAGUUUCAUAGGGGAAGAUCAAAUUUCAAUACGAUUAACAAAUUGCAACAUUUAUAUAGAGGGACAUGAAAUGCAAAGUAAAGUUGAGUCAAUUGAUUAUAGCAUUCUUGGGCAUUAUGAGUUAUGACUUAGAGAAUGAUGAGAUGAGAUAUUUUGUGGGUAUAAAAUGAAAUCAAUAAUUAUUGGUGCGAGUUUAAUAAGAGACUAGUUUUGUGUUGGAAAGAGUGUGCGAGUAAAAAUUAUUUUUAAAAUUUUUUCAAUGAGUGUGCAGAGUAAUAAAGUAUUCAAAAUAAUUUUUAAAUAGCAAAUAGUCCACCCUUAAAAGGUAAAGUUAUGUAUGCAGUGCUUUACACACGUUCAUUACACAUUUUAGUGAGAUCAUUCAAUCUUCAAUGAAAUCAUACUUGUUAAUCACUGUCAUGAUUGGUUAAUUCAAAAUUGAAUUUAUUUAUGGAAAGGUUUUAUUACUUUUACAAUUACACAAAUGAUGUGGUGGACAUCCUCCAUUUUGCACACCAUACAGCCAGUGGAAUAUGAGCCUCCCUUCUUUAGUGCCGCCUAUAAGGAUGAAAGCUUACAAUCGAUGGACGAAACAUCCUUAUUAAGCGGAUGUAAGAUAUUUUGUUUGGUUAAAUUAAAAUAUGUUGAUGAGUUAAUACUUACAAGAAUGAGUUAAUAUAGAUAAAAAUAUAUCUAAAACGAUGUCAUUUUGAUUAUGUUUUUGUCAGACUUUAGUUUAAAUGUCAGCACUCCAGUACUUAAUUAAUAUUUUUGUUUCAAAAAUUUAAUUCAUCUCUAUUUCUUUUAAACUUUAUUUUAUGGUGAUCAUUUAUAGAUAUAAAAAUAGGCGUUAUAUUUGUGAAGAGAAAAAUGAUAACAUUAAUAUCAGUACAUCUACGAAAAAGAAAACAAUUAGCAGGGUAAUUAACUAGUUAAGCUCCUUGUUAUCUUACAACAGAAAAUUAAUCAUCAUAUGGUGUUAUUUUUUCUUUUUAAUUAAUAGCUUAUUAUUUGUGGAUUAAUAUAAUAUUAUUGUGUUUUAUUUUCAGGAAAAUGAGAAGCUCUCAUGGCUGUGCUCUUCGGCUCUUUCCUCUGGGCCCUCUUCUGGGCUCGCGCGAGGUGGAGGCCCGUCAUUCUAUACAAAUGACCGAUUCUUAAAUAAAAAGAAAUAAAUGUUUUAGUUCAGCUUUUUAACCUUUUUUACUGCUUGUCAAACUUAUUUGGGCCUCCUUUUUGAGAUAGAAUUAAUUUCUCCUUCUUUUUCUGAAGUUUGUCAUUUUUUUUUUGGUUGUUGAAUGUAAAUAAACAUACACUUAUUAUUAAAAAACAAACAACUUUAUUUUUGAAGCAGUGCUAUAGAGUAAUAUGAAAUAUUUAACUUGUUUCAGUAUUUUGGUGAUGAGUGUAGGGUCCAUUUCACUUUGGUAGACCAAAAAGCCCAAAGUCCAAAAUAAUUUACAUGAUGUGUAAUUAUUGUAAAAUUUUAGACUUGGAUGAAAUUAACUAUAAAAUAUAUAAAGGAAAUAACUGAAGAAUCGCGAGAGCUGUAGCCAUUUCACAAAUUGGGAAGACACCCCGAGACAGAAAGAGGUAUUUUUUGGGUUCAAUUUGUAAUUAAACGAUCAGAAGGUGAUUUUAACUCUGAUUUCUCCCAAAUUUGGAAGGUAAGUUCCUAAAAUUGCUCUCUACAUUUCUAUUGGUAUUGAUUUGUAUUUUAUUCUCUCGGUGAUUGUUAUUUGAGAUACUCACUUAUUGGAGAAAUAGAUUUUAGAUCUAUUAUUGUAAGCCAAGAUUGUUGAGAAUCUUGAUGUUGUUAGUCUCGAGUGUUAUCUGGAGAAAAAUUCGUGCUGUAAUCCUAUUAAUAUAGUGGAAGUUUAUAUUGUACUACGGUCCCGUAGUUUUUUCCAAUUUGGGUUUUCCACAUAAAAAUCUGUGUCUCUUGUGGUUGAUUUAUUGGUUUUUUUUUCUACUUUAUUUGUUUGUGGUGCACAUCAUAUUUUAAUCACACAAAAAGGAUAAGAGUUUUGUUUCCGCUUAAUUUACAGCUGCUCUUGUAAGUCCCUUUCCCAAUAGAGUGGUAUCAAAGUGAGGUUGUGUUGUUUUUAUUACUUGUGUGGUUGAGAUGGAGGAGUCUUCAGUGUUCAUGAUUAAAUUAAAGUCAUGGAAUUAUAGUAUUUGGAAGUCUAGAAUGCAAGAUCUACUCUACAUGAAAGACUUACAUGAACCUAUUAAAGGCGACGAAGCGAAACUCACUGAUUUAAAUGAUAAGAAAUGGACUCAAUUGAACCAGAAGACCAUAAGUACUAUUAGAUCAUGGAUUGAUCAGAGUGUGUACCAUCAUGUCGCGAAGGAAUCCAAGACUGAUGUUCUUUGGAGAAAACUAGAAACAAUUUAUGAGCAACCGGCAACACAAAAUAGAGUCAAUAUGAUGAAAAUGUUGUUAACUUGAAAUAUAAGGAGGGCCGCAGUAUAACUGAACGCACUAGUGAGUUUCAGGGUUUGGGUUAAUCAGUUGACUACUAUGAAGAUCAUUCUAGAUGAUGAGUUACAAGCACUGUUGUUGCUUAGUUAUUUGCCUGAUAAUUGGGAGAUAUUAGUGGUGUCAGACAAUAAUUCAGAGCCGAAUGGCAAAUUAACCUUGGAUAUGGCUACAGAUAAACUGCGGAAUGAAGAAUCUCGAAGAAAGAAUGCUGAAAUAGUUCCUUCUGAGUCGGCUGCACUUGUUUCAGAAAACCAAGAAAGAUGAGGAGAAGUCAAAGUAGAAAUUUUCGUCAACAGAAUAACAAUAACCUUAGAGGGAGAUCUAAGUCCCAGAGGAGAAGUAUCAAGUGCUUUCAUUGUCGGAAAAUGGGCCAUGUAAAAAUAAAGUGUAGAUUGUGGAAAAGAGAACAGGCAAAAGAAAAAGGCGAUGGUUAGAAAAAUGACAAAGAGAAUACCGCAGUUGUAGUUGAUGGUGAUAUAGGUAUUGUUUUAUGAUGAUAGUUCUAUAAAUCCCACUUGCCAUACAAAUGAUUGGGUAAUUGAUUCGGGUGCUUCAUUUCAUGUUAUUGCACAUUGUGAUUACUUCAAAUCCUAUGUUAAUGGUGGUUAUGGUUAUGUUCGGAUGGGAAAUGAGGGAGCAUCCAAGAUUGUGGGCAUUAGAGAUAUUUUCUUAAAAACCAAUGUUGGUUGUAAGCUACUUCUUAAAAAUGUCAGACAUAUACCAGAUAUUCGCCUUAAUUUGAUCUUUACAGGAAAACUUGAUGAUGAUGGUUAUACUAAUCAAUUUGGUGAAGGAAAAUAGAUGCUCACCAAAGGCUGUCUAGUGUUGGCUAAAGGAAAGAAAAUGAACACUUUGCAUGUAAUAGAAGCCAAGAUCAAGAAAGAAGAUGUGAAUGUGGCUGUAAAAAAUCCUGACAUUGAGAUAUGACAUAAAAGGCUUGGUCACAUUGGUGCGAAAGUGUUAGAAACUCUUGCCAGAAAAGAAUUUCUACCAAGUUUUGCAGAUACAUCCCUCAAGACUUGUGUUUAUUGUUUAGCUGAAAAAACACACAGAGUAACUUUUAAAAGUUUUUCUCCAUCUAAAAAGUCACAAAUCCUUGAUUUGAUUCAUACUGAUGUUUGAAUAAUGCAAAAUAGAUUAGUAGAAUGUACACUUUACUUUGUGACUUUUAUUGAUAACUGUUUUAGAAAAUGUGGGCUUUUGCUUUGAAAUCUAAAGAUCAAGUGCUUGAUAUAUUUAAAUUCUUUCAUACUUAUAUUGAGAGAGAGACAAGAAGAAAAUUAAAAUGUGUUAAAGUAUAUAAUGGUAGUGAGUACAGAGGACCAUUUAAGCAGUAUUGCAGAUCCCAUGGAAUUAGACUUGAGAAGAUUGUACCAAAAACCCAUCAGCAAAAUGGUAUUGCAGAAAGGAUGAAUAGAACAAUUGGAGAAAAGAUCAGGUGUAUGCUUUCUGAUGUCAAACUUCCUAAAUCAUUCUGGGUAAAUGCUAUACGUACUGCAGUUGAUUUGAUUAACCUUUCUCCUUCAGCUCCAUUAGAUAAUGAUAUAUUAGAAAGAGUUUGGACUGGGAAAUAUACUUCUUAUAAACAUUUGAGAGUGUUUGAGUACAAAGUAUAUGUUUACAUCCCUAAAAAUGAGAGAUCGAAGCUUGAUGAUAAAGCCAAGGAAUACAUUUUUUUAGUCUAUUAACAUGAAGAAUUUGGGUACAGAUUUGGGAUCCAGUAGCAAGAAAAUUGAUCAGAGUAGAGAUGUUGUGUUCCUUAAAGAUCAUAUAGUUGGUGAUACAAAGAAUAGUGAUGAGUCACAAUCAUCUCCAGAGAUUCCUAUUAUUCUAACUUCAGUUUCUCCACCUGUUGUUCAGGAUGAUCAUGGGGGAGUUGGAAAGGAUAAUAAUGAUGGUUUAGCAGAACCAAUUAAGCAAGCACCUCUAGAACCACCAGCACUACCAGUUGGGCUAGAAUUGAGAAUAUCCACUAGAGAAUGACGACUUUUCACUCAAUAUCCUCCAAAUGAGUAUGUGAUGCUUGCAAAUGGAGGGGAACCAGAAUGUUUUGGAGAAUUCAUGUCUCACUAGCCUAAAAAUGAGUGGAUGAAAGCCAUGCAAGAGGAGAUGAAAUCCUUGAGUGAGAACCACACUUAUAACUUAGUAAAGCUUCCUAAAGGGAAGAGGGAACUGAAGAACAAAUAGGUUUAUGGGUUGAAGAUUGAAAAUUACUCACAACAGUGGACAAGACUAGAUUGGUUAUGAAGGGUUUCGGUUAAAAAAAAGGUGUUGAUUUUGAAGAAAUAUUUUCUCCUGUAGUGAAGAUGUCUUCUAUCCGAGUUGUUCUAGGAUUAGCAGCUUGCUUGGAUUUAGAGAUUGAACAACUUGAUGUAAAUACAACUUUCUUGCACGGUGACUUAGAGGAGAAAAUAUACAUGAAGCAACAUGAAAGGUUGAAUGUCAAAGGCAAAAAAGAACUUGUGUGCAAAUUGAAGAAAAAGUUGUAUGGACUGAAACAGGCACCAAGAUGGUAGUAUAAGAAGUUUGAUUCUUUUAUGGAGAAUCAUGAUUUCAAUAAGAUUAUGUCUAACCAUUGUGUUUUUGUGAAGAAGUUUGGUGAUAAUGAUUUUAUUAUUCUUUUGCUUUAUGUGGAUAACAUAUUGAUUGUUGGCAAAGAUGCUAGUAAGAUUGACAAUCUGAAGAGAGGGCUUGGCAAGUCUUUUGCAAUGAAGGACUUAGGAUCAACGAAACAAAUUCUCGGCAUGAACAUUUCUUGUGACAGAAAAAUAAGGAAGUUAUGGUUAUCUCAGGAAGCAUAUGUUGAAAAGGUUCUUGAAAGAUUUAACAUGGAUAAGUUAAAAUUUGUUUGUUCUCCACUUGCAGGCCAUUUCAAGCUUAGUUCCGAACAUUAUCCUACAAGUGAGAAAGAGAAGCAAGAGAUGAGAAAAGUUCCUUAUGCUUUAGUAUUUGGUAGUUUGAUGUACGCCAUGGUUUUUACAAGACCAAAUAUUGCUCAUGCAGUUGGUGUAGUCAGCCAAUUUCUCUCCAAUCCCAACAAAGAACACUAGACAACAGUAAGGUGGAUUCUAAGAUAUCUCAUAGCCACUUCCAAAACAUGUUUAUGUUUUGGUGGUGACAAACAUGUGUUACAUGUGUACACGGAUGCAGAUAUGACAGGAGAUAUUGAUUCCAGAAAAUCUCAAUCAGGAUAUUUACUCACCUUUGCAGGGGGAACAGUCUCAUGGCAAUCUAGACUUCAGCAGUGUGUUGCUUUAUCUACCACAAAAGCAGAGUAUAUUGCAGUCAUCGAAAGCUGCAAAGAAACCUUUUGGAUGAAGAUUUUUCUACAAAAGAUGGGUAUUAAACAAAACAGCUAUGAUGUGUAUUGUGACAGUCAAAAUGCCAUCCACUUGGUAAAGAAUUCAACAUAUCAUUCAAAAUCAAAGUAUAUUGAUGUGAGAUAUAAGUGGAUAGAGACGUACUUGAGCAGAAACAGUUGCAGUUUGAGAAAAUUCACACAACGAAAAAUAAGUCAGAUAUGAUGACAAAAUCAUUACCUAAGGACAAGCUGGAAAGUUGUAAGCAUAUAGUAGGGUUGGUGGUGCCUCUUAGAUGAGAUGGAGGGGGAGAUUUGUAAGGUCCAUCUCACUUCAGUGGACCAAAAAGUCUAAAGUCUAAAAUAAUUUACUUGAUGUGUAAUUAUUACAAAAUAUUGGACUUGGAUGAAAUUAAUCAUGAAAUAUAUAAAGGAAAUAACUGAAGAAUCGCGAGGGUUGUAGCCAUUUCACGAACGGGGAAGACGCGAAAGAAAAAUGUAUUUUUUGGGUUCAAUCUUUGAUUAAACAAUCGGAAGGUGAUUUUAACUUUGAUUUCUCUUAAAUUUGGAGGGUAAGUUCAUGACAUCGCCCUCUACAUUUCUACUGGUGUUAACCUGUAUUUUAUUCUCUCAGUGACUGUUAUUUGAGAUACUCACUUAUUGGAGAAAUGAAUUUUAGAUUUAUUAUUGUAAGCCAAGAUUGUUGAGAAUCUUGAUGUUUUUAACCUCUAAUGUUAUCUGAAGAAGAAUUUGUGCUGUAAUUCCAUUAAUAUAGUGGAAGUUUAUAUCAGACUAUGGUCUUGUGGUUUUUCCUGAUUUGGGUUUUCCACGUAAAAAUCAGUGUCUCUUGUAAUUGAUUUAUUGCUUUGGAUUUAUUGGUUUAUUUUUCUACUUAUUUGUUUGUGAUGCACAUCCUAUUUUAAUCACACAAAGAGGGAAAUAGUUUUGUUUCUGCUUAAUUUACAACUACUCUUGUAAGUCUCUUUCCCAACAAUGAGACAUUUGUAGGGCCUUGGAGUAACAGAAGAAAGGAAAGGAUAGAUAUAUUUUGAAGAAAAGGAGUUGCGAAGGGAAAUAAAAUUGUGUGUUUUGAGAAAGUAUAUUAAAUGCCAAAUGGAAUGAAUUUAUUAAUUUAUUGAUUCAUAAUUGAUCAAAUCUCUUUUAUUUUAUUAAUCAACUAUUUUUUUAGUGCAUUAAAUUAUUUGGUAUUUGAAAACCACAUUAAACCCCGACUAAUUAAUCAACUAUUUUUUAUUAUUAUAAUAGACUAUUAAAUAUACGUAGCACACUUAUAUUUUAUCGAUCCCUCAGCCAAAAUACUGUUAAUUACCGAACUAAUUUGUUAAAAUUUCCUGUAAAGGACGUAUAAAUUGCUGCCGUGGAGAUCUUUUCAAAGGAUAUGAACAUUGCUGUGUUGGAUAUAAAAUGCAAAGGAUAUGAAUGUAAAUGGAGAUUAUCGUUUAUCGUUUUUGCUUUUUCAAGGUUGGUAAAUGGAGAUAAAAGAAGCAGCAGAUCACCGAGGAGGAUUCACUAACAUUGGUGAUUUUAGGGGUUUCCUUGAGAUUACAUCUUUUGUUGAGCUGGAUGUAUAGAGUUGUUAUUGUUCAGCUAGUUGGGGUUGCACUAAAGAAGCGGCUGCCGCCGUAUUGGGUAGCAGAACCAGAAGCAGCAUUAGUCUCCUUAAUGAGCUGCGUGAAUUCAAUCAACGCUCGCCGCUGGAUGUAAUUGUAUUUUUCCAACUCUUUACAAUGAUCUUCUGUAGAAUAUAUUAAUUCUGUUUCACAGGCCUUGUUAAGAACGUCAAUGAAUGUCUCCACCUUUGAUGUCUCCUCAGGGGCCUCUUUCACUAAAACUCCAUCAUGAGAAUAUUAAUUUAACUAGCGUUGUAUCAGAAAGCUUUAGUAUUGAGCUUAAUGUUUUUCUGUGCCUAGUUUGAUAGUCUUAUAUAGAGAAGAUUUCCUAUUUCCGUUUUGACACCGGUUUAAGGACAUACGAUUCCUAAUUCAAGUAGUAGUCUCCUGAGAAUUUUGAUAAUAGCAAACCGAAAGCCAAGGUAUAAAAGCAAGGAUGCGGCCCUUCAAAUUGGAUCAAAACUCUUUUGCAUUAAAUUUUCAUCUAUAAAGCCUUCAGAUUUUAAUUAUGUUUAAUUAUAAUAUAAAAUUAGGGUAAUUUUUAAAAACAUCCCCUGAGGUUUAAGGCUGUUGCAAGUAGAUGGUGAAAAUCAUUUUAUUUGUAAAAGACCCCCUACCGUUAGUUAAAAUUUUCAUUGACUAACUGUUGACUUAAAGACAAUAUUAUCCUCAAUAAUAGUUUACCCCCAAUAAUAGUUUACGUCAGUUAAAAUUUCUUUAAAAUCUUAAAAAAAAUAAAAUUACAAACUUAAAAAAAAUUAUAUUUUUAUAUCAAAUAAUUAAGAUUUGUAAUUUUAUUACAAACUUUAAAAAAUUACAUUUUUAUAUCAAAUAAUUAAGAUUUAUAAUUUUAUUACAAACUUAAAAAAAAUUAUUUUAAGAUUUGUAAUUUUAUUUUUUUAAGAUUUUAAGGAAAUAUCAUUAACUUGAUCAUGGUGAAAAUAAUUGUUUNNNNNNNNNNNNNNNNNNNNNNNNNNNNNNNNNNNNNNNNNNNNNNNNNNNNNNNNNNNNNNNNNNNNNNNNNNNNNNNNNNNNNNNNNNNNNNNNNNNNCCUAGGAAAUGGCAAGUUCCUCUAGUUCUUUUCCUAUCGCCUUGUAACCGGCAAAUCGGCAUCCGAAUAACAGGUUACAUCUAUAAGAGUUCCUCUAGAAUAACAUAGACAAGAUCUAUAUUUAGAAUUAUAAAUAUUAGAUCUUUUUACAGCAAGCAAAUGAACAGUUAGUCAAUGAAAAUUUUAACUAACGGUAGGGGGCCUUUUACAAAUAAAAUGAUUUUCACCAUCUACUUGCAACAGCCUCAAACCUCAAGGGAGGUUUUUAAAAAUUACCCUAUAAAAUUAUAAUUGCAUUGAUAUUUUGUUAAAUAUGCUUAAUCGAGUUAUUAUGGAUAAAGCAAUGCACCUCAUAGUAAGCAACCUAGAGAAAGUCCUAAGAACCAGCCCAACGGAGGAGAGGAUAGAUCAUAGAAGUUGGAUCUUGGGUGAGAGAAAAUUGAGGGAGGGAUAGGAAGUAAAAAGAACAACAUAUCUCUUCGUAAAUAUCAAGCCUUCUACAUCAAAUAAAAACAGGGGGCCUAUUUAUAAGCAAGUUACAAGUAUAGCCCAAAACAGCAAAUAAGAGGGGGGAAAAAACAAGGUCCCUUAAUAAAAACAUGAACAAACUAGCAACAAGAUAACUCCUAAACCCUGUGAAAAAUUAAAGAAAUUGCAUCACAUUAGAAUCAAAAUAUUUGAACAAACCCUUACUCACACUUGAUUGACUUGUAUAUAUGUCGAACAAAGAGCAGUGAAGCACGGAAACCCACUGUGCCCAGCAUAAGGAAGAAGCCAUAACAGACGCAAGCCAUGUACCCAAAGAAAAAUGAGGUCUGCAUAAAACCUGACAUAUCUGAUCGUGCAUAGUAGUAGUACAAGCAGUAGGCAUAGAUGAAAACACCAGUAGAUCCACCACAAAGAAAAGACCUGUGAAAAAUUCAAGACCCAAAAUUAGUCCAAAAAGUAAACAUGAAGGUAGCAAUUGACAAUUGAUCCAAGUUAAAUUAAUUUGGAAAGCCAACCAACCACAUAAAUUUGUAAUGUAUUAAAUAUACACUAGUUUUAUACCCAAAAACACCUCAUUCUCUCAAACCAGUUCAUCCACUUCUACAGCUAUGGGCUCUUGUCAAACACUGGAACUUGAUAGCCCAGAAACUUGUGGGAUGUGGUAUGUCUCAACUAGACUGCCCAAACUGAUCCCUGAACACUUGGUUGAGAACCAAAUAUCUUAACCACUAAAAAUUAAUUAAUAUGCUCACAGUAUAACAUAAUAUACAGAGGUAAGUGAUCGUCUGUAUAUAAAGAGGAUAUACAAGUGCAAACCUAAUAAAAAAUUGAGAUAGCAACCAAAAGAAGGCUUAAUUAUAGAGUCUGCAGGCAACAUUAAAUUCACGGCUAAUAGAAAGAUACCUGGUGAUAGCUAUUUAUUCCACACAAAAGAAAUUUAAUUAUGUGAACAUCCAGCAGCUCAAGGCACAGUAGCCUAUUUAUGUCAAAAUAAUCCCAAAAUGGUCCUCAGAAGUCUAACAUCCAGGAGAGACAAAAUGUAACCUUUUCACACACUGCUGCCACCUAAGAUAUUCUAGAACAUGAGGUCUUAGAACUGAAUGUCACCCAUUCAUAGUAAAGAUAGCGUCUGGUUUACCUUCAAGGAAGGGAGGGAGAAAAGGUAAAGCAGAAAGAUGUUCAAGUACAAAAAUAAUUGUAGUUUUUGAUAUUUUUGCCAAAAGUCUAUUUUUAAGCAGUAAAUGCAAUACAUAUUGCAUUGGAAGCUUACUUAAUACGUUUUCGGCAUCAAGUAUCAACCUAAAAUGAUAAUAGCUAAAAUCCACACAACACAACAAAAUAUGCGUCCCUCCCAAAUACAAAUAGUUAACGAAUAAGACCAAUGUGGAAAACAAAACCAAACAAUAAGAACAAUAAGUUGCUAAUGUUUAAACCAUAAAAAAUUAAGAAGCUUAAGUGCGCCAAACAGCAAAAGCGGGCUGCGUAUAACCACUAAAGUUACAUCUAAACUUCAAUGAACAUACAGCAAUUAGAAAGCACCUUAUAUAGUAAGUAGGCUCAGUACGGGUGAAUGAAUGAACCAGAAUAAAAUUCGGUAAUCUCCUGGUUGAACACAACAGUCUAAAACCCAAAACAAGUAAUAAGCUAAGCCAUAGAAGAAAGUAGAUGUGUCCCAAGGGGCAGUCUAGCUAACCACAAUCUUAUUCUUAUUGGAAUAUGAAUUUGCUCAACGCUAUGCAGUGGGAUGAUAUUUUAUAAUAAACUCCAACUUUGGUGAAGUCAAAACAAAAUUGAUCUAACAUUCAAUCACCAAUUAUGAGACACCACAUUUUGAUUAAAAGAGGGAAAAGCUUGCCGAGAGAAAUAAACUACCUCAAGUUAUCAAACCAAAAACAGAAACAAACAUUCAAAAAGAGACCCCAAAAAAAAAAAAAACUACAAGAAAUAACCAGUUCAAAAUUUCACAUUGUGAUUAUUAAAGAGAUGAAAAGGAAAAAAAAAAUCAAAAUAGACAAGAGAGUUUACAUACCUCCACCACCAUUCAUGAUCUUCAGCAGCAAGUUGGAAGUAAGUCAAAGCCACAGUUAUGAAAGCAGUAACAAUCAACAGAAUGAUAAAGACAAUAAAGAGGAUGCUGUAUAUUGUGUAAAUCCUGUGGCCCCAAACACUGGCAAAAAUAUAGUAAAGCUCAAUGUAGAUGGCACUAAAUGGCAGGAAACCUGCCAUUGCCAUCUGAGGAAUAGCACUCCUAUACCAAGGUAGUGGUGGGAUCUCUCGAGGGUACUUGGUCGUACGACAAGGAGCUUGGAACUCUGCCUUGCUGUUUUUACCAGCAAUACCUCCCAACACAAGUAGAGGUGAUGUGACUAAUGUCCAUAUGAGGACUAUCACCACAAUUGUGCCAAAUGGCAGUGCUGCUGUCGCAUUGUAAGCAAUGGCAACGGUGUUCAGGAAGCAGAAUGUCAGAAACAGAGGACCACAGAAAAGGCAUCCAGUCAGCAACAGAUUCCUCACCUGUCAAACCAACAAUUUGAAAAUAAAUUAUUUCACAACAUCCAGUUUUUACAAAGAUCAUGCCUAGAAGUUAUAAUAGCCCAAGACAUAGUUAAUUCAAGCAUACCCAGUUUGUUCCUUCUAGCUGACAGUAGAAAGAGGCAGCUGUAUAUCCCGCAAUCCCAGAAGUGAGUGCAUAUAUGACCACCAGUGCCGUAAAUAAAGCUCCUCGGUUGUAUGGAUAAAAUACACCCACUAGCGCAAGCAUAAAAAUAAAUACAGUGCUGGAAAUGAAUGCAAUUCAAUCAAAAAUCAAUGGUUGGCAUAAAAUGGCAUCAUAACAAACUGAAUGAAAUUUGAACAAACAACAGUGUAACAUCCUUACAGAGUAAACAACUGGCUGCCAGAACCAAGGGCUGCAGCAAACAAAGAUUUGUAUUUGGGGAACCGGAACACAUCACCAUGGAUGUACUUCCAUCCUGUCUCUUCCUGGUCAUCAGCAGCUUCCUCAUCUUGGGCAUACCUAUCAAUAAAUUAAACAUACGUGGUAGAACACUUAAGGAAGAAAAGAUAUAUCAGUAGAUAAGCAAAUGAAGGUAAGAAAUUUAAAAUACAAAACUCACUUCACAAAAUCAUUCUUCAGAACUCGCAUGAGAAUCGUGGCAAGAAAACCAGUCAAAAGCAAAACCGUCACACAAGAAUUUAUAAUUGAAAACCAAUGAAUUUCCAAAUGAUGUGGCAACGAAGAAGAGAGUGAGUACUUCUCCAUCCUCUUCUCAAAAGGGGUGUCAGUUUCCUUCCAUUUCACACUGUACAUGAACUCCACAUCAACCUCCUUAUCCUCUGUCAAGUCCACCAAAGAAUGAGGAUCCAUUCGAGCACUGAUCUCAAUAACACGGUCUUUGUUAUAAAGAAUGUCAAACUGGAUAUGCUUGUAAAGGAAAUACUUAUACUCGCUCGGAUGAGUCUUUCCUUCCUUGUCAACUUUACCAAUGAACCCCCAGAUGGGUAAGUCAUCAUAGUACAUUUGGAAAUAGAAGUCUUUUUCCACUGCACUUCGGAACUGAGCAACAUCUUGCUCGGACAACUUCUUUCUACACGCAAGAGCAGAGUCCUUCUCGUCUCUGAAGUUGAGUUUAUAAGGAGCACUAACAAGUCGGUCCCCAUUCAACACCUCACCAAGUGCUUCCCUUUUCUCUUUUAUUAUUGCAUCUGCCAUAAAAAAAUAAACCCGAAAAUCAUUCUAACACCUACAUAACGCAGUAUCGGAAUAAUUCCAUUGACCCUUCCCCGAGGUUUUACUAAUACACAAAAAUUAGAGCAAAAGGGGCAAGAGGAAGAACCUGGGGAGCAGAAUGGUAGAUCAAAAUAUCGAUAAGUUUCACUGAAAUCACAAAUUAUAAUAAACAAGAAUUAGAAUCAGAGCAUAGAAUUCUUGAGGGCGUGUUUAGCAGGAUUGAUGAUAAUCUACUGUAAACACCCGAAUGCAUGAAUCGCAUUUGCAUCCUUGGCAAAGAAGGAUCUCACGGAUCCAAUUCCAGAUCUUAAAACCAAAAGAAUAAAAAAUGAUAAGAGUUACCUGGGGUUGUGGAAAGGGCCAACCUUAUUGGCGUAUAGAGGGACAGGGUCACCGACCUUGAAGCGGUGAUCGGAAGAAUCAGAUCUCACAUGGGUCAAGCAACAGGCGAUCAGAACCCCAACAACAAGAAGUGUGAUAGGGGAAUCGCUCAUUGUUUGACUAAUUUUCUGAGAACGUGAAGACAAGUGCAAGUUUCAAGUGACAAUGAACCAGACACAGGCCUCUUAGAGGGAGCUGGAGGUCGUGCAGGUUAUAUAUAUAUCUAUUAAGCGAGGCCCCGGAGAUCUGAGUAAUUUUUUUUUCUUCUUUUACUCUACUUUUCGUUUGACUUUCGAUGUUUCUUCUUCUUAUAAGUUCGUCUUUUGGGGUAAAUAAAUUCAUCCCUUCAUUAAUGUUUGAUCCGGCUUGAUCUGGUUCGAUAGUUUAAGAACCGACUAGGUUUUUAUUUUUUUAAUUUUUUUUAAUUCGGCUCGGUUUUGGACAAACUGACAGUACCCGCAUGCCCGCAUCUAAUUUGACCAUACAAUUUUGCGAGUCCAUGUGAUCUUAUUAUCAUGACAUUGACACCCCAAGUGUAGGGAGCUGGCUAAGUUACGGAUUCUGUAACUUACAGAUCCAGCUUUAGCCAACUCCCGUACACACCUAUUUGCUGGCUUUUCUCUCCCCUUAAGACAUGUGUGCUCCUCUCAUUGGGUGCGUAUGUUACAGAUUCUGUAACAUAGCAACCUCCCAAUUGUAGAUGGGACGACAGAUCUACUCAACCUCAUAUUUAAAUUCAUAAUAAAAAUUUAAAUUUGUAGUUACUCCAUAUCCAUCGUGAAUUUAUGUUUUUCGCUCUAUAUCCGAAACUAAGCAUUUUUAUUUCGGAUCUAGAUAUGAAGCGAUUAAAUAAAUAAGCCAUUAACUAAGCACUAAGGUUGCAUUUAUUUUUUUAUCUAAAAUAUGAAUAGGUCUGAAUGAAAAUAUCUUAAUGACAUGUUUAUUUUUUCUUUUUCAACAUCUGAAAAAAAAAAUUUAAAAAUUAGUAAUUUGACAUAAAUAUCCUUUUAAAUGAUUCAAUAUUUGUUCUUAACAAUUUAUAAUUUUCACAGGUUAAUUAGUUUGGUAGCAUUAAAAAAAACUAUCAUUAUUGAUCUUAAUUUAAUUUUGUAAUAAAAGAUGUAAUUACAAUAUCAACUCUUAUUAUAAAGUCAACACUUUUUUUUUUUUAUUCAUCAUAAUGGACAUAAUUUGAUUUAUUCAAUAUUUCAGUUUAGUUAAUGUUAUCAUGUGAAUAAAAUUUUAAAACAAUUAAAAAAAUAAUUUCAAGAAUAAUACAAAAAUAUUAGGUUUAUAUAUAAUAUUGGAAAUACAUGAAUUGUUAAGGGUAUUUUUGAGAUUUGAAAUUAAAAUUUUUCAUUUUCACUUCAGACUUCAGAUAAAAGUGAAUUUUUUUUUUACUUUUUCUAUUUAGAUAAAAUUGUCUGACAAUAAGUGAUAAGUUAAAAAAAACAACCUAAAAUAAAUAAAUAUCUAAAAAUAAAGUUAAAUUCAAAUUUCAGACUAAAAAAUAUACAUCACCUAAAUAUUGUAACUUCUACUUUUACACCAAAACAAACAAAUAAGAAAGAUAAUAAAAUAUUCAUCAAAAGUAAUUGCAGGAAUAAGAUCAUUGUAAUUUAGCAAGUAAAUGGGUUUUUGAUUUCGAUUCUCGUUGCAGAAAUGUAAACACACCAUUAAUGUGUUAGAUUCUUUGUAUGUUACUCAGUUUAUCCAAGGGCAGUAAAGUACGCAAACUAAUCUUUUUUGGAUUAUAGUUUAAAUAAAACAAUUCAUGGUGCCAAAGUCAUAAGCAUGACUUCAGGAUUUAAUAUAUCUCAAAGAACUGCAGUCAAAUUGCGGAUACUUUAGCUAAGUUUAAUUUGCACUUCAUUUUAGUAAUUCUUUUGUAUUAAUAGAAGAUUUCCCUCUGGAACUAUCUUGUUAUCUUUGAGGUUUUUGGAUCCUGAUUUUAUGAGAAUUUCUUUUUCCAAAAAAGGAAAAUAUUUAUGUGAAAUCUCAAAAUUGUGUAAUCUAUUAUUCGAGUUAUUGUAUUCAUUCAUCUUAAUAUAAAUUCCAAUUUAAGAAAAAAAAGUAAAGAAAAAUAAACAACCCUACAAUACCAUUUGGGGUCUGGUACAAAAAAUCUGGCACUUCUUUAAGCUUGAGUUUAAGAAGUUUAUAGCAACUAAUAAAGAGUGAAGAUAAGAGCAUAGUUUAACAUGGAUAACGACUGUUACUGACGGGGGUGAGGAUAAGAGCACUAUCUAUUGCUGCAAGGCUUUGAUGUAGCUCUUAAGUACAUUUUGAUGGCUAGUUAUGCCUUGUUUUGUUCUGAGAUAUUAUUACUUUUAAAAUAUAAUUGCUGUGAAAAAAUUAUAGUUAAAAAGUAAAGGUUUAUAAUAUGUGAAAAUAUGUUAAUAAUUUUAAUUAAAAAUAAAAAUAUUAUAAAUUUUUCAUCACACAAUCAUAAAAUCAAAUCAAUCUAACUUAUAAAUCACAAUAGUAAGUGUUUGCCUAAUUAUAAUUUAAAACUUAAAUUAUCCUAUCACACUAUCAAAUAGGGUCUAAAAAUACUUGAAAGAAAAUGAAUCGAAAGAUCGUACGGGCAAUUAUGGACCCAAAAGCAACUAAAUCCUUGGACAAUUUAUGCAAUUGCUCAAUGCCUCUCCUAAAAUUAAGGCUUUAUCAUACCUUUUCUACUUACAAAUUAUUUUAUAUUUAAUUUAUUAUUUAAAAUUGAAUUAUUAUAUUUGUAUCUCUUAAAAAUAAGGCCCCAUCUUUUGCUAUUUAUUUUUGUUUUCUAAAAAUAUAGAGGGAUAAAUAAAGUCCAAAUCAUUUUUUUUAUUCCCUACCAUCCUAGAAUUUGAACUUGGGUGGCCAAAGAAUUAGUUUAUAUUUAUUUCUUGUUUAAAAAUUUGAAUUUCAAUAUUUGCCUGUAGUUAACAAUUAAACUGGAUUAAGAUUUAGUUAAGGUUUACUCUCCAUUUUGGAAGUGAAAUUUCCAUCACUAACCUCAAUUUUUGUUUCUUUCCUACUACAACACAUCCUCUUUAUUUUUUAUAAGGCAGAUCAGCAGCCCCUAAAAUAACACCUAUUUUUACACUUUUUUUGAGCUAUUAAAUAAACAUAAAUGAAUCGCUCCAAUUACAUUGAUCAAUUAGCUAAAAUUAUUAAUCUUACACAAUAAUUUCCAAGAUUUUUCUCUCUAGAUAUCCUCUUUUUUUCAACGCUUUUACUCUUUUCUUUCUCCUCAUCACUCCAGUGUUACGUGAAAAUACUAUUAUCGAAAUAAUAAUUUGUUAGCCACGUUAAAAUUCUUAUAUAAUGUGAGCACUGAAAAAUGAUUUUGCAACAUUAUUUUAUGCUCAACCAAUAAUAUAUCAAGGAAUAAAGUUUUUGAAUUGCUUAGUUGUUAUAAUUCAAAGCAUGAUUGAUAGUAAUUUGAAUGAUCUAAAAUUGGUUGAAAUUUUGGGUUAUUUGAACAAGAGUAAUAAUAGAGUUAAAACUCAUUUAUGAACUUAUUUUGUACAAUUUGAUGCAACAUAAUUCAAUUCGUUAGAUUAAAUAUUUCUUGACUCACAUAAUUUAUUUUUUAUUAAUUUGUAUGAUCAUCCAAGUAAUAAAUUUAUACCACAUCAGUUUGUACAAAAUUAAUUUAUACAAGGGUCUAUAUAAUAGAGUUGCUAAUAUACCCUCAUUCUUUGUAAUCUCUCAAAAUUAAACAUAUUUGGACAUAACCCCAAGAAAAAGCAAAUCUUAAAAGAUAAUAAUAGUUGUAAAAAAAAACCGUUAAGGAUUUUCUAUCUAAAAAACUUAAUCUUAACACUUAUUUAUUACAAAAAUUCCCAUCAAUAUCAUUAAUUUUAAAUUAAAUAAAAAUGCCUACUUAAUUUAAUUGAGCCGGCGAGACAGAAAUUUCAUUUAGAUAGGACCACCAAAUGCAUUUAUUUUAUAAUGUUGGCAUAAUUUGAAGAAUAUAUAUAAAUACAUUCUUUUCUUAUUUAAAGCAAUCCUGUACAAAGUUGCAUUGAUUUUGUGGACCGACAUGAUAACUGGUCGCAUUUUUUUCUCUUAUUCUUUCGUGUAUCGCUGUUGACCGACUGUCCAUGAAGUGACUCGUGAGUAGGAUCUCCACUUCCACCGCAAAAUUUCCCUCUACGUCUCUGAGCCUUUCAAAUUUCUUAUUUAAGCAUAUAUUUCGACUUUUCUCUAUGUCGGUCCUUUUCGAGUUUCGCCAAUUUCUGUGAAAGGUUUGUUAAUGAAAUCAGUAAAUUGAUAAAUGUACCACCAAAAACAGCUAAUUACGUAAAUUUUAUGAUAUUAACUCCCCCAUUUUUCAGUAUCUUAAAAAAAUAAAAAAUAAAAAAUAAAAAAUAGAAGGCCAACAUUUUUACCCCUACAGGAUUUUAAUUUUACUUUUUUUUAUAUAACUUUCAUGAUAAAUCAUCAAAUCAUUGAGAUUAAUUUUUUUAAAAAAAAUUAUUAAUUAUUUGUAAUUGGGAUAAGAGGAGGUUUUCAAUAAAAGUUUUUACAAAAGGGAUAACUGGAUAUUGUAAAAAGUAUAAAUCAUAAGUCACCUAUAGCAACCUAAAAACUGUAAGGGAAGAAGUCAUUUUCCGAAAAUAAGAAUUUUAAUAAUAAUUUUAGUAAAAUAAAGAAUAAAACAGUAAGAUUAAAAAAAAAAGGAACUCUAAGAUUGAAACAAUUUUUCAGUAUGAAAAUCACCUAACCUUGUAAAUGCAAAAAAAAAAAAAAAUCUCUUUCAUUAUGAUUAUAAACUGUAUUAUCAUAAAAUCAGUGCAUAAAAAUGGUAAUUAAAAUGCUUUUGCUAAGAUCAAUUUUGAUUCUCGUGGAGGUCAUUAAGGCCCAAAGAAUGAACUAGAUUACAUAAAUCAGCUUCUAUGUAAUUAACUAAUAUGCUUACUUAUGUUAUUUGAAGAAUCAUUUAAUAAUAAAUAGGUAAAAACCAACAACAUGGAAAGCUGAUGAAACGAAAACGUAAACGAAACACAAGUUUAUGAAUAACAAACUUUUAUUGAAUAAAUCUCAAUUGAAAAAUUUAGGGUUUUGGACAUGUUAUAUAAUAACCCUAAAUAUUAAGAAUUUACCAAAAUACGUAAAUCGAAAAUAUUAUUUUAUAAUAAAAUUCUCCUAAUCUAAAUAAGAAAAGGAAAAUAAACGGUGUUCAAAUUUGAAUUCUAGAAAAAAAAAUUCCUAAGAGAAUAAAAAAAAUAGAAAAAAAUCUUAAAACUGAGAACGACUAAGAAAGAAGCGGAAUUUCUAGCUCGACCAUGCGGUAAAAUGGCACAAGCAUUAUGGGUUUGGUUUGUUUGACCGCAAACUUCAAAAUGGUAUAUAAUACGCAGAAAACGAACACUUAUAACUUAAGUUAUGCCCUCAAAAAGAUAUCUUGCUCAUACUACACAACCAUCCUAUAUCAAACAGUAGGGAUAUAUACAAGAAAAAGAGAAAACAUAAUACUUCAAGGGUCUAAAUGUAAAAAUUCUUAGUACUUGUUUUCCUGAUAUAAAUAAAGAGCAUUAAAGAGUCAUCGUGUUGAAAGUAAAGCGCCCAGCGUGGAAUCAUUGUGGUAAUUUAGCUAGGCAAAUACUGGAUAGGAGGAAAAUGAGGACGGCCAUUCCAGAAGAACCCUUGGGCUCAACAGGGAAAUCGAUUCCUCUUGUAGGCUUUGGAACCGUUGAAUAUCCAUUGAAUGAAGCCUUUAAAGAACGCGUUCUGCAUGCAAUUAAGCUGGGGUAUAGACACUUUGAUACUGCUGCAGCUUACCCAUCCGAGCAACCUCUUGGCGAAGCAUUGGCCGAAGCUUUACGUCUUGCCUCGUUCAAUCCCGCGACGAGCUUUUCAUCACCUCAAAACUCUGGCUCACCGACUCCUAUCGCGGCCGUGUCAUCCCGGGCCUACAAAAAACUCUCAAGUAAUUGUAGGAUAACUAUAACUUAAAAAUUAUAAUAUUAGGUUCGAUAAGCGCUAGCUAUUAUGGUUUUAAAACUAAAUUAUGUAAUCCACUACUUCCAUGAUGAAAAAAUUAUAAUAUCAUUACUAUUUUUGUUAAAAUUAUUAUUUAAAAAUCAUAUUUACUACAUAUUAUGAAAAAAUUCAUAAUGAAAUCAUAUUUACUGCAAAAAUUCAUCCUGCUGUCAAUCAGGUGAGUUAAUGAAAUUAAAAUAUUGGGACGAAAUAUUGUUUUAUGCCUCUAUAUAUAAAAUCCAUUUUGUUUGGUAAGGUAGAGACGAAUCCGAUUUGGCAGCAAAAGAAGCUGCGAGAGUAUCGUAAGGAGAAGGGGAUUCAUUUUUCAGCUUGCUCACCACUGGGAGCCGUAGGGACUAACUGGGGACACAAUCGAGUUAUGGAAAAUGAGGUGCUCAAACAGAUCGCCGAAGCUAAUGGAAAGACUGUUGCUCAGUUAAUUCAUAAUUCAUUUUUCCUUUCAACUUGAGAAUUAAAAUACAACAACGAAACCUAUCAAUCACUUUCAUCUGCAGGGUUAAAUUGAAUGCUAACAGUAUUUAUUUUGUUUCAAAAAAGUUUUUAUAUUCGAGAAAUAAUUCUUUUUAGAGGCUUAAUUAGAAGUUGAAGAAAUGUAAAAGAUUAUUCAGUUCAUUGCUGCUCAGUAAAUUCAAUAAAAAUGAAAGUAGGCAAAAUUGUAUUAUUAUAUGAACCUAUAUAUCUAUCUGUAAAAUCUCAUAAGUUCAAACAAGAGAGUUAGGAUUUGAACCCUACUCAGAUGGGUGGGAAAAGAGUUUAAUUACCAAUAUACUAUUCAUAAAUAAUACUAAUAAUAAGAAGCUAUGUUUUAAAGUUGUAUGACAUAUCUAAUUGCAAGUUAUGAAAUUUUAUUAUUGAAUAGAUGAAUGAACAUCAUACAUUAAUUGAGAUGAUUUCUUGUAAUAGAAGCGACAGAACAAUACAAACAUCCUAUAUAUAUAGAGAGAGUCAUUCUCUAGUGUGGGUGCUUACUUGUUUUAGAAUGCAGAUUUGAAAUUUCACAAUAGUGUCAACAUGCCUGAGAAUAAUUACAUAUUUCCUCAUAAAUAGUUGAUUUUUUUUCCUCUUUUUAUUUUUUCUGGUGCAUGUAAAGGUUGCUAUUAGGUGGUUUUACCAGCAAAGGGUGAGUGUCAUUGUGAAGAGCUUUAAUAAAGAACGAAUGGAACAAAACCUUGACAUAUUUGACUGGGAGCUAAGUGGGGAAGAGCUUCAAAAGAUAGAACAAAUUCUGCAGUACAGAGGAAGCCGUGCUGAGGCGUACCUAUCAGAGAAUGGUCCUUUCAGAACUGUGGAGGAAAUAUGGGAUGGAGAAAUUUAAUAUAAUAGUAUGCCUUUGUUUUUCUGUUCUGUAAUGCCUAUUCUAUUUACAUUAUGUAAUUCUUGUUUCUAAAAUAACUCUUCACAUUUUAGGCUUUUCUUUUUGGUGUGUGUCUAUGGUUGGGGGUGCCGGGGGGAUUCAGCCUUGAGCUUGAGAAAAAUAAAGUUACAGAAGUACACCAAAUAUUCUUAAUUCUAGUUUCUUGUGCAUCACAACACCAGUAGCAAACAUGAUAGAUUUAGCACCCUUGCAAUCAACAAGUUCUUUUGCAUGAGUACACAAGGAAGUAAGAAACAUACAGACACAUGAAGGAUUUCUGAUUAAACAAAUGACUUUAAGAAUAAUAAUAAUAAUAAUCACAUCGUAGUUGGACAGAACACGAAACAACAUCAGCAUCUCCCAAACUGUUUUAACACACCUUUCACUCAAUAAAUUAAACAUAAAAUAAUAGUAAUCACAAACUUAGCUGAAAUAUCAGCAAUACCAGCUUCAGUUUGUUUACAAGAACAAAGUACAACAAGGAAACAUUGACAGAUUUCUGCAAAAUUUUGCACACUACAAAUGAAGAUACGCAAUAAAAUAAAAACAACUGCAAAGAACAGAAAAUUAAUUUUCAUUUAUCAAACAGAGCAUAGCAGAAAGUAUCAAGAACUAAAAUAAAGCAUUACCCACACUGCAAACCUACUCGUUUGAUGCACAUUGUCCAUGUACUUGUGUUGGAAACCCUACGAGCCAACAGUAUUACAAAUACAAAUUAAAUUGCAUGUAGAUGAUACCAAAUGCUCAAUCUAAAAGAACCCCCCGCCCCUCCUUCCAAAUUACUCAAACCAAUAGUCUAAACUUAGCCUAACAAACUUUACUUAAAUAUCUCGUCCAAUUCGCAGCUGCACAAUAAAGUGGUUACACGUCAUCAGACAAAUAACCUUGCUUUCAUGCAUACCCACAACCAGGAGAAGGCCAUUCCUUACAAGUCUGUGGGCUUCUUGUAAAGAACAUUCCAGUGUCACUAAAAUCAUAGUAUAAGUGGAAUGCAAAACGCCAAACACAUUACAAAAGAAGAAUAAUGAGCCUCUCAAGCUCUCGUGAGCUUUUAAAGAUCUUAUACCAUGUGUUUUUAAGUGAUAGUGUUGAGUAGGAUUUAACUUCUUCAUUUUCUUUAUUUAUUAUUAAUUACCAAUCAUAUUUUUGCUGAUGAGAAUAUCAAAUCAUGAGAGAAUCCUAAUCCACAAAAAAAAUAUCUGCAGAACCAAACGCACUUAAACUAUUGUUUUAAUAUAUUUAUUAUUUAAAAUGAAAAAUUAUAACUUUAUUUAUGUAUUUUUGAAAAUCACGAAACUACCUUCCCAUUAGUAUAAUAUUUUUGUUUCUUAACUUCUUCUCUCCAAGGGCGUAAGCCGAAAACUUUUGUUACGAGGGCAACAUGAAUAAUGUACAAUAGUUAAGUUAAGAUUUCAAAGAGUGAAACGAUAACAAAUUUAGAGGCGAGCUAUUAAAGCUUGCUUUUGAAUUGAAUAUCGAAUUAGAGAAGAAAAUUAUGAUUGUUUUACCACCUAUUAAAAAAAAAGUUAUAAUGAAUACGUAGGAUUUUUGGUAUUGUGAAUGGUUAGACCAUUUACCUUAAAUAUUAAUAAUUACUUCAGAGAUAUUUUCAAUUUCAAUUGUAAUUUAAUACAUAACAUGAGUACUGGAAAAAAUAAAAUUCUGAAAAUUUUCCAAGGUCGUGUAUCAUGUCCGUUACGCUCUGCCGACAGCCGCUCAGCCAUCUUUUUUAAUUAGCACGAAUCAUUUUUUCAUCUAUUUGUCUUUUCUUUCUUUUUCUUUUUCUUUGUUUCCUAAAAGCAAUGACCGAUAAUGCGAGGAAAGCAUGCUGCAACAUGCAAAUAUUGUGCAGGAACUUUACUCUGUCACAAUGGGACAGAUCAAUUUUGAUUUAGAUGUCCAACUUUCAAUUAUCUUUUUUAAUUGUAUUUUUCAAAAGGUAAGAGAGUAGAUCACAAACUGAUUUUUUUGUCCGCUACUUCCUCAAGAUUCAGAUAUAGUGAUCAUCAAAUAAAACUGUUUGAAGCCACUCAUCUAAUUCCGUAGAGCCCCAGCUCUCAGUAUAUAUCUUCAUUACUCAGACACUCACUUCUUUUUUAUUUUCCUUAUUUCGUCAUCCGGCUAAUCUUUGAGAAUUGGCUAACUCAAAAGGCUAAGGGAAAGAAAAUGACAUAAGGCAGUUCCAUCAAUUUCAGUUGUUUGUGGCUAAUUGCUCAACUUCAAUGGAGCAAUAUUAGGCAUAGGUAAUGGGCUACUGUGUUGAGAGAGAAAGUUGCUACUGUUGCUGCGUUGAGAGAGAAAGUUGCUUCUGCAUCUCAACUUUGUGUGAUGUUGCUGUCGUAAUUGAGGAUCGAUUGCUGCGUUCAGAGAGAAAGCUGUUGCCACUGCGUCUCAGAUGUGUGGUGGUGCUGCGUCUCUGCUCUGAUUCGGUUGGUGAUGGUGCUACUGCUGCUGCUGCGUCUAUUUCGGUAAAUUUUGUUGAUAUGAAUGUUAAUUGAUUUUCUUUUUCUGGGUUUUUUUCAUAUGAUUUAAAUUGAUUUUUUGUUUCUAUGUUUUGUUCAUAUGAUUGUUAAUUGAUUUUUUUUAUUCUUUCCUUUAUUUGCUAUGAUUUCGUUUCUUUUUGGGUUAAAUUUAGGAAGUAUGAGUCUAAUUUUUAUUGAAUGUAUGAUAUGUGAUGGCCCUACCUACAGUUAUUUUGGGCUAAUGUGUCAGCUACAGGCUCUGUGGAGAGUAAGGUAGAAUAGUUUAUGAAUAAAUUAAAAGGAUGGUCAUAUAGAUGGUUAAGGCUGAAAUUGCAUAAAAGUUCUCCUCAGCUUUUACCCUAUAAGUAAGUGUGAUAUUUUUGAAACCAAGGUUAAACACAAGAGUUAGGAUUAUGGUAUUGCAUGUUCUUUCUGGAACUUUAAUUGCUAUCUCCAUUAUGGUUCUCUUAUAUCUUUUUGUUUACAUCAAAGAAAGAUGGGUUAUGGAAUAGGGACUUUCAGGUUUUUCUGUGAACUUCCCUUGUGUUCACAUGUUUAUGCUUCACUCUAUGCUUUCAUUAUUUCCUCAUUUUAUUUUUCCACUUUCAAUAUCAUUGGUUCAUCAUAGUUUCAAGGAUUUUGCAAUGAAAUUUGCGUAUUGAUGCAUUCGCAACCUUUUCUUUUUAUGUAUUUCUUAUUGCCAACUUCUAUGCUCCCAUUCGAUAUAAUGAUGUUGACUGCAAAGACAUAAACGGGUGAAGAAAAUAUUUGUUGUGACGCAUGAGGAGCUAAAGGUGAUUCAUUAAAAUACUCUCAACCUUGAACCACAUUCAAUUUCUAUUUUCCAGUCUGAUUUAUAUGUGCAUAUUCUUAUAUUGUAGCAUCUUAGGCGGAGGAUAAAAGACUUUGCAUCUACAUACAUGAAGAAUUGAAGAUUAAUAACUAUACUACUAUUCUUGUGAUGGGCUUGCUACACAGCAGGGGGCAAAAUGUCUAAAAGCAAACAGCGGGGGGCAAAAAGUUUAAGUGGCUUUGCUCUCGCUCCUGUAAAAUUAUGGAAGUAUUUCAAACAUUUUCAAUACAUCAAAAGAUAAUGUUAAAAGAUUUGGGAAUUAGAUAAAAAGGCAAGAAUGUAGCACUAAUGCAGAUUAUUGAGAAAUGAUUCAAUUUUUGGGGGUUUAAUAGAAUCAUUAACCUUCUUGACAUUCCUCAGUUAAGCAUGAUAUAAGUAGUCAAUUUUACAACGCAGAUGAACUCAAAAAUUGGCUAAUCAAAUAUGAACUUCCUCGUCAGAAGUGAAUUUUGCUCGUGGAAGGGUAAAAAAGUAUCAAGAGUACGCAGCCAUGCAGGGCGAGGAUUUGAUGGUUUGAGAGCUGUUAAAGUGUCGUCUCCCUCUCAGCAAACUCUAACAGUAAUUUUUAAUAAAUAUAUAUUUUAUUUAAAUCAUGUGCUGUAAAAUACAAAAAAAAAUCAUGUGCUGUAAUAUAUAUUUUAAUUAUAGGGUAAAAUAAUGAAAAUGUGAAACUUUCUUUUUUAAUUAAUGUUAAUACCAAAAUAUUUAUGGUAUGUUUGUGUAUGUAUUAGUUAAAACAAUUACUUUGUAGGUAUAAGUAUGACUUAAAUAUUUAUGCAUAAGUUAGAUAUUAUUUAAUUGUUCUUCAGAUUUUCAUUUUAAAUUAUUUGCAUCUAUUUAAGUGAUAAUCCUAUUUUGCACAAAAUGAAUUAUAGAGUAAACUAAGUAUAAAUUUAUGGAAUGAUUUUUUGGAUUAUUGUUUAAAAAUAGGAAUAAAAUAAGCUACCGUUUAAAAUACAAGAUGAAAUGAGUUAUUGUAUCAAAUCUCAUAGGUGAAAACAAGAGUAAACUAAGUAUAAAUUUAUGGAAUGAUUUUUUGGAUUAUUGUUUAAAAAUAGGAAUAAAAUAAGCUACCGUUUAAAAUACAAGAUGAAAUGAGUUAUUGUAUCAAAUCUCAUAGGUGAAAACAAACUUUUCCCUUAAUUUUCCAGCUUUUAUUGAGGCAAUGUAUUACCUGAUCAUUUGCAAAAAUUUUGGACACUAGUUUGGGAAAUUUCAUGUUAUUCUUAGCCUAACUCAUACUUGCAGGCUUCAACAAGUUGUAUUAAACCAUUAGUUGCAUACACCCGUUCACUGUUUGUUAAAAUGCAUUAAAUGUGUUCUUUUAUCAGCAGGUGACCGGCUCAUAGCCUUUUCCUUAGGUUUCUUCCAUUUGUCUUUGUGUCUCAUCUACAGCCGUCAGAUCAAAUCCACUGCUCACUUUGCUAAGAGACAAAUGACUGGGGUACCAGAGGCAGGACGCAAUGUAGUUAUGCCCUGUGUUUAUAUAUAUUGCAUAUUCUUUAGAAUUAUUUUGUUAUUAAGUUAUCUCUAGUUCAUUAAAUUUAUGUAGCAAGUCAAAUGUUUUUUAAUUGUUCCCAAAUUUUUUUUGCUUUAAAAUGGUUUCCAUUUAUUCAACUGAUCUUCCUAUUAUGGACAACAUGAACUAUUGGGUAAACUUACUGUAAAUUCAUGGAAGAAUAUGUUUUAGUUAUUAUUUGAAACAUAGCAUUGAAAUGAAGUAUUGUGUAAAAUACAAGGAUGAAUUGACGUAUCCAACCUUCAUAGUGACAAGGAUUUUUUUCCCUUAUUUUUCAACCAAUUAUUUAGGGAACGCAUUGCCUGAUUUUGUAAUAAUGAUAUUUCAGACACUAUCUUCGAAACUUUCAUAUGGAUCUUACCCCAACCGGUACUUCCACACUUCCAACAAGACGUUUUCAACCAUUAGUUGCAUACGCCAAUUUGUUGUUCCUUGAAAUGCGUUGGUUGUUAACAAACCUCCUUUCUAUUACAUGUGUUCUUUUAUCAAACACUUGUUUCCCUUACAGGUGACUGCCGCAUUACCUUUUCGUCAGGUUACUCCCAAUUGUCUCUAUGUUCCUUCUGUGGCAGUCAAAUCAAAUCGAUCGAUCGCUUUACUAAAAAAUCUCUAACAUACAAUAAAAAUUACAACUCGUACAAUCUGAUUAAAACACAAAAGAGUUCACAUAGCUUGUACACAUCCUUUCCUCCAUCUAUUUUUCCCCUUGCUAAAUGUUUUUUCGUCCAUAUAGCUAGAUGACAGCUAAGUGUGGUUUGUAACUACUGAUGCAACAUAGAUGCAGCCUGUUCUUGAACACCUUUUCCUAGUUUCAAAUAGAAGUGAGAGAGAGUUGAUGCUGAAAAGACUGCCAGACUUAUAUUUUUCCACGAGAAUUAUGUGUUACGUGGAACUAAUUUUCAUUUACUUUCGUGAUCUUGUUACAAUGUUAGCUCUUUGUUCAUGAAUUGAUUAAUACGCGUAUGUUUUUUACUCAAAAGUCUUCAUCUUAUUAAGUUGGAUCAUAAUUUUCCUCUUCUUUUUAUCCGUGUUGUCCUCUAUUACCUAGUAUCUCUCCUCUAGGAUGAGCAAUAAUACCCAUAUGAAAAUUCAUUGAUUUGUCAGUGUUUGAUUUAUGACAAGCGGAUUUCUAAUCCUACAAUUUUUUUGGGCCAAAUGAGAAUUAAUAUGGUAUUAACUUCUGUAUCUUGACUGGUAGUGUUUUAAGAAGUAGCAUUUGCUCAUGAUUUGACUUCACAAAACAAUAUCCAGUGCGCUUGUAUUAACCCUGCUGCGUUUUUUCUCAAUAUCCGUUUCUAUUAUUUAUUAAAGACUUUUGUGAAUAUCCAAAUUUAAUAUGAGAAAACAGAUCCUCUAGCUAGUCGGCUUAACACAGAUCGAAUAUUAAUAAUAAAAAUGAUAUUACUUUUUAAGCUUUUAUGUCAAAUUACGCAUGCAAAAUAAUAAGAAUUUUUUUUCCCAUACGCGUAUGUAUUUUGGAGGAGACACGUCCUCGAGUUCAUCUCUAAAAUCGAAAUGUGGUAUGGAAAGUGUAUACAAGUAUUUGCCCAUAUCACAGCCACAUAAACGGCGCAGUCUCAUUCUAUCAUUUUUUUGCCCUCUUCUCAAAUUUUUUUGAUAAUAAUUUUUUAUAUCACUCUUUAAUUCACCAUACUCUGUUUUAGUUAAUUCUAUUUAUUUCUCAAAUUACUUUCAUUAAAAAUUGUUUAUCUCUAUUGUUUCUCAUUUGCUCUUCUCAAUAUAUUUGAAGACUAUUGGUAUGCUUACUAACCCGCAAUCGGAAUGAGAAUUCUAGGAUUGGAAUGAAUAAUGCAUUUACUUGUAAAAUUAAGACUUGAAAUCAGAAUCAAAAUAGUGUUAAAUCCACAAAUUUGAGAAUCACUAUCAUAGUUCUAAUCCCCAAGCGAGGAGUUUGGAAUCAGAAUUUGAUUUUUAUAACUAACCAUUUUACUCUCGUUAAAUUUUCAUAAUCUCUAAAUUGCUCCCAAUUAUGUUCUGUUAUUUUUUCUUUUUGAUUCCCAUAAAGUUUAUCAAAAAACUCAAAAAUUUGAAUUAUUUGCAAAUAGGUCCUUUAUUGUUUAUUAUAAUAAUAAUAAUAAUGACAAUAAUAAUAGUAACCAAAUCCUCCCAGGAUCCUCCACCAAGAUUAAUCAAGAUGCAUUCAACAAAUAAGAUCAGGUUUAAAGAAUCAAUUAAACCUAACUAGACUUGAUACAAAAGAUUAUUCACCAACACAGAAAACAAGCAAUAAGAAGAAACCAAUAACAAUGAACAGAACGCAGAGCUCUUAACGUGGUUCAGCCAUUAAUGGCUUACAUCCACGGGUGAAUUCAUCAGCAGGCUUUAUUGAAGGAUUCAAGAAGCUUAUUACAGAGACUUUGAGAACAAAGAACAAGUAUUCACUUUCUCUCAGAAUUCUCUCAAUCUCUCACUCACGUUACCCCUCAUCCCUGAAGGCCAGCAGCUUAUAAACCAGUUUCUUUAACAGUUUAGCAACCCAGAACGCACAGCUUUUCGACACGUGUGUGUUGAGUCUGUUUAUAACGAACUUGGCUUCAAUCGAUGGUCACGUGAUUGCUCCGUGAUCUAACAAAAACCAAGUGUUAUCAAAACGAUCACACACGAUGCCGUUUCGGUUCAAUGACGAGCCGUGCUUGUCAUGUGAGUUACUUAAGGCUUGAAACAACUGAAAAACGCUGCCGUUUGCUGAGAGGUGUUUGUAUUCGCCUUACCGCCAACAAAUUUUUUGUUAGGUUUGUUUUCGGUGUGAUUUUUUUAGAUUUAGGGUUUUACUGGGGAUUUUAUGAAAUGGGUAUGUGAUAAAAUUUUAGGUUUUUCUUAGUUCAAUUUAACAAUCUGGUCAGAUUCAUCCAUCGUGCUUCAGCUGCUGACCCUACAUAUUUGAGGAUAAAUUUAUCUUCUGCCUGUUUUUUUAUAGAAUUAGCAUUCGUCUGUUCUUUUUUUUAAAUUAUGAUAUGUUUGUUAACCAUGCGAGUCUGUAUAAACCAUUCAUUGAAAAAAGAAAUGUAACUUAAGAUGAUGACUUAAAUUUUCAUCCGUUUCAUUUCAUUCAAUCUAAAAGUGUAUAUUUUUUUGUCAAAAAGCUGCAAUGAGUCACCUUUAUUCUUCUAUUAUUGAAAUGAAUAGAUCAACCGAAUGAAGUUUAAUUAAAAUAUUGAAUAGAUUAAAUGGAUGAAAAUUGAAGUAAAAUGUUGAAGUUAAGGAGCCCUAAAAUUUAUAGAAGAAACUCGAUAAGAGUAACGACCGUUGAAAAUACGUUAUCCUUUAUUGUAAUAAUUUAAGGAUUUUGAUAUUAGAAAAUUGCUUUAUAUAUAUGUGUGUGUUGAAAAUAUAUUAUUCCUUACUUUAACAACUUAAGAGAAUUUUUAGAAAAUUAUACACACACACCCCCCUUCUAAUAAAAGAAUUACUUAAUUUCAUGUAAAGUAAAGGACAAUUUAAAAGUAAAAAACACAUAUUUUAAUAUACCAAAAAAUAAAAUACACUAUUUUGGAGUAUGUUUUGUAAACUUUCAAUUUGUCUUUUACUUGAUUGACGUAAGUGAUGCCUUAGUGUAAAAUUACUUCAUAUAUAAUAUAUAAUACACUACAUUAGAGUGUGUAUUUUAAUUCUCUUUUAGUUUAUCCCUUAUCUUAAUGAUUUAAGAGAUCGUUUACUAGAUAAUGACUCGUAUAUUUUAUUUUGACUUAAAUUUUUUACAUAAAUAUUGAGUUAUUGGUUUUGCAAAAUUUAAUCAUAGAUAAAUUGGUAUAAUUAGUGGUAGUUUAUAUGUGUGUGUAGUUCUUUUCUAAUGCGGGUGUCUUUAUUUUUUUCACCUAGAUAUAUUUUUAAAUCAUAGGAUUUAAAAGAAUUAAUUUUUAAUUCUUUUAAAUCAUAUAGUUUAAGAGCGUGUCCACAUUAUAAAAAAAAAUAUAAAUGCCGGCACUUGAAAAUAAUUAUAUAGAGGAGUACGCGUGGAGUGGAAGGAUAUAAUUAUCAUAUCCUGAUUGAACAAAACACCAGGCUAGCUCGAUUCUUUCUGCUAACACUAAAUAAUUAAUUAAUCAUGUUUCAUUUUUAUUAUGAUAAUUCCCAGUUUAUAAUCAUGCCGUUAAAUAAGAAAUUUACAUUAUAUGGCGGGGCCUCAUAACAAAAAAAAAAAAACUUUAUUUUAACUAGUGGAAAAGAACAAUAUAUUUAAAUUGGUCUUGGAGAAUGGCAGGUGAUUGAUCCCCAAUUAAAUUUGCACGAAUAAUUAAUCCAAAAACAUGUGACACUUGCUCAAUUAUUGUAUUAUGUGUCCUACGCUAUAAUUAAAGAAAAUGAAAUCCGUGACAAUGUAUAUGUAAUCAAGUAGCUGGUCCAAGAACCGCUAGAGCCACUCACUCCUUCACACAUUUGUGAAUUGGUUGGAGCUCCCGCAGACGUAUUGUAGGGAGCUUAAUUUAAAUUUUUUUUUUAGUCUCAGAGCUUGAGUGAAUGUAGUCUUUCUCUCAGGAGGGGAGUUGACGUUCCUCAAAUAUUUGAGAAGGUUAAAAAUCUGAGCGGUGCCAUAUCAAAAUUGAUAUAACAAAAUUAAUAUAAACAGAUCUCAGUAUUUAUAUGAUUGUAAAUAUCAUGAGUAAUAAUUCUCAUUUUAAAAAAAAGUAAUUGGUCCAUGGCGUAUUAAAAAAAAAGGGGGGUAGUUGGUCCAAGGGCAAGUUGUGAAUUAUUCCAAUAAAAAAAGUUAGUUCUCAUUCAAAAAAAAAAGUGGGGGUAGUUGGUCCAAGGGCAAGUUGUGAAUUAUUCCAAUAAAAAAAGUUGGAUUGUGACAGACACUACAUAUACUAAGAGGAUGGAUUAGGCCUUUUAACUGUUAUAAAAUUAUUUGAUUGUUAAUGACGUUUAUUAUUUAAAAUUAUAAAAUUAUUUUAAUAGAUAAGUAUAUUAAAAAUAUAUUAUUAAAGGAAUGAAAUAAAUAAGAGUAUUUUAAAAAAAAUUAUUUUUUAAAAAAAUCUACAACCUUAAUGGCCUAAAAACUUAAACUUUUGUUAAUAAAAGUAAAAUAAUUUAUUUAAUCUCUAAAAGUUCAACUCAAAAUACAACCAAACAGCACAAAAAAUUUUAAAAAGAGCUUUAAAAACGAAAUAAAUAUUUUUAGACAUUAGAUAAGCUAUAUUAAACAUGCACUUAUUACAUAUAUAGAUGGAUUAUAAUUUAAUAUCUACUCCCAUAAUUAUUAGGGUUAAAUCUUCUCUUAUACUAGGAACAUUACCCACCCCUUGGUGACUUGGAACUCAUAUCCUAAAUGUUGAGGGCAUGAGUUCUCACCUAUACCCUUAGAGGGAAGUCACCAUAAAUAUCUGUUUGCGGAGGAGCAAUAUUCACCAUACAAAGCCUCUAGUUGGACAAGCCCUCUUCUUUUAAUUUUUUUUCCUUUUUUUGAAUAUAUAUAUACAUACACGCACACACACAAAAAUCACAAUUGAAGCGCCAUAGAUAUAAUUAGGAGAACUUGCAACAAGAAGCUGCCGGCAUCUCCCACACAAGCUUGAAAAAGUAGCCAGUAAGAGUUGUGCACGGGGGAAAAAAAAAUGGGAAAUAAUAAUGUGAUGGGAUUGGCAGGUGGUGUCUUAGCAGCGAUCAUAGUUAUGAUGAUACUCUUCUUCACCGCGGAUCAAUCUUGUGCAGCAGGCAACGGCACCGCCAUUACUAAUUUCCAUAUUGAUCCUGAUGUGUUGUUCUUUUAUGAUGAUCCGGAAUCGGAAUUGGCUGCUGCUGCUGCAACAAACGUAUUGAAUUUGAAUCCCUUGAAGCGACGUCCAGUGUUCGAUUGCGGAAAAGGCCGAGGCCGAAGCUAUCGCUCUUGUACCCCUCCUCCCCAGGGUUCCAAAAGGGGUGAACAUUGCAAACCUGCACCCGGCGGCACGUACAAUCGAGGGUGCCAUUAUUAAGCCUUAAGUUUGUACUGCUGCAUUCAUGCAUAUGCAUUUAUAAAUAAAUUAAUUGAAACUUCUAAUUUGAUUAGUACUAAUUAAUUCGUUGUUAAAUUAGCUAGGUUACUCCAUCUUGAUGCUAUCGUUCAUGUUCACUCAUUUAAAUUCUACCAUACUCGUCCUGAAUUUAUUACUUUUCCAUGCGCGUGCGUGUUAACAGCCUGGAGAAGUAAUUAAUUAAUUGAUUAACCAUUGAUGGCAUUUUACAUCGAGCUGGACCUACUCUUAAUCACCGGCCUCUUGAAGGGAAACCCGCUACGAUACAAAUCAAACAACUGAACGUACAACUUCAUUACAUUUCCUGCAAUAAUGCAUUAGAUUUCCUACAAUAAUGCUAACAUUCAAUGAUUUAUCUGCUCCCUCCGACCAUGCCUUAAUUAAUUGUUACCACGACAUCAUCCCGAAUGUGGUAAUUACGUACAAUUAUAUAUGUUAGCUAUUUUUCUUUUUAAUAAAUAAUUUUACAGACACAGAUACAAUUAGCGUGGCAUAUGGGAGGAUGUUAGUUGAAACUUGGAAGCGAUAUCAGUUAAGCCAUCAUGCAUUUGUCCAACUUCUAUCUUCACGAUUAUGAAACCUAUUGUUUCUUUUCCAUUCACUUCUUGUGAUAUAUUGUCCGCCCCACGUUUUAGCCUUUAAUUAUGCCAUCUUGCAACCUAAUCAUUAAUUAUCAAUUAAAGAGGACAGUUGAGAACCUAAUCAUUAAUUAUCAGUUAAAGGGGCAGUUGAGACUUGAACCAUGAACUUUGAAGGUCAUGUGGGUGUGUUUGUAUACAUCAAGCAAACUUAAGUGAUUAUUAGUUGGGUGAAAAUGAAAGCAAAGUGCAUAUUUAUGACCAACUGUAGAAGAGAGCGAAAGCGCCGAACGAUCGGAUAUAGGGAGCUUUUGAUGACUUGGCUCAAAUAAAGCCAGUUAUAUAUUUAUGCAUGGAGAAAUUAUGGAGAAAUUAUGAAAGUACAAGUUGUUUUUUGUCAUUUUGAUUUUUUCCCGAGGUGUAGUCAAAUGUUUUUCCAAUAAUUUUAUUUAAGUGGUCAUCCAAGUUCAAAUUCAUGGGGAGAUUAGUGAUCAGAAAAGAAAUUUAGGUUUUACCCACCCCUUAUUUUUUUUAGGAAAAAAAUGAAAUUAUAAUUUGACUAAAUACGUUAAAACUUAUCGGAGAGAACAAAUUCGGUAUAUUCUGAAGAAUGAAAAUUACAAUUAAGAGUACAAAUAAUUAUGAAACUCUCUCUGCAAGUGUAGAUAUCUUUUGAAACAUGGAUCUCAAUCGAAUAAGAAUGCACCUCCUACUCCUCUUCUGACUCCUAUAAGAUAUUUGCAACCCGAGCGAACACACCACACUGCUCGAGUUAUCACACCGGUGUCGGUGCACAAGGCAAUUCGGUUAUGAUUUUUUUUUAAUUAAAGAAAAAAAUCAAGCCUUACCUAAAAGCAAUUAGUAAUAAAAGUUUAGUGGAAUCUAAAGAAUAACAUUACUAGCUGGCUACAACUCCUUGGUCGUGCAUAUAUGCAUCCAAUAUAUGCUGUAUAUGGUCCAUAUCCGUCAUUUUCUUAUGAUUUCUAUGAGGACUACUUAAUUUAUUAUUAAUUACUUGUGGAUUACCAACUAAGGAUGAUGAUGGUGAUGAUGAUGAUGAUGAUGGUAUGAAAAUAUUAAAGCGCUAAAACUAUAAACAAAUAUAGUUAAAAGACAGUAAUUUCAUUUGGAGAGUAAACAUGAUCUAUCUAGUCAAUGCAGCAAAGGUAUUCAAAUCAAGCCCAACAGGAUGAUAGCCUACAUGGUCUAGAGCUCAACAUCUGCAUUUUCCAAAAGACUGCUAUAUGUAUGUAUGUAUUUAUGUAUGUAUGUAUGCAUGUAUGUAUGUAUAUGCAGUGUUAGUGCACCGCUCCUGAACCUGUCAUGUGUAUAUGUUUCUUUGUGUGUGUGUGUGUGUGACUUUGAGCAGGUAUGUGAAGAUUGAUUUAUUCAAUAUUUGCAUUUUCUAAAGACUGUUAUAUGUAUGUAUGUAUGUAUGUAUGUAUGUAUGUAUAUACAGUGUUAGUGCACCGCUCUUAACCUGUCAUGUGUAUAUGUUUCUAUAAAUAUGUGUGUGUGUGUGUGUGUAACUUUGAGCAGGUAUGUGAAGAUUGAUUUAUUCAACAUUUUUCUUCUUUUCAGAAGGAUUAAAUCCAUUUAGAUUUUAGCCGCUGGGCUUUAGCCAGUGGUUAGAACUCAUAACUCACAAUUGUGAGAUCAUGGAUUUUGAGCCUCACAAUGCAUUGUGCAGAUUUAAUUUUCUUCCUCAAUUUUAGUGAAGGUAGUGUCUUCUCCCUAUCGAAAUGUGAGUGGACUAGACGUCCCUCAAAUAUUAGAAAUGGUAAAAAUCUGGGCGGACUUCAUAAGAAUUGAUGUAAAAUAGUCCUAGUAAUAAUCUGAUUUGUAAAUGUCAGUUGUAAUCUCAUGUAAUAUGAGUUUUACUCUUGAGCAAUAGUCUCAUGUAAUUAAAAAAAAUCAAUUUAAAUUUAUAUGUAAUUGUAAAACAUUUAAGUAAGGAAUGAUUUAGAGCAGUUGAAUUUUUAAGUCUAUAUCUGGGCCCUACCUGUGAGUAGGUUUAAGCAUGUGUCUCUCAGUUCAAGAAUUGUGUUUCUGUUACUUGCUUAUCUUCUGAUCUUCAUUCAUCAUUUCCCGAAUCAUCAUGGAAAUAUACACUUGCUUUAGGUUAUUUAUAAAAAAUAAAUUAUGCAUAUAAUUUUGGCUGCUGACUUGUGAUUAAUGCUUCAGUUGGUAGAUUGAGAGAUGGGAUAGAAAGUCUUCCAUCUUGAUUUGCCUAAUAUGAUUUUCUUCUUUACCUGCUGACAAAGAAAGGGGAAAAGUUUCUUGAUCGUCCUUAUGUUGUAAAAUGGAUGAAUGUCUCUUUUAGCGGGAUAUUGAGCUAGCGAUUUGACCGCUAUUGCGUUGACAACGGAGCAAUGAUUGCGUACACCAGUCUGCUUGCUUUUGCUCAUGGCUCAUCAACUCCAUUAGAGGAAUUAACCUUUACCCAGCGAUUUAGGACUGACAAAGUGCAUGCAGUCUGGAGAGAAAAGAAGAUUCAGCUUGCAAGAAUGGUGUCAUUAAGGAAACUAGCUAAAUCGGAUGGUAGAUUUAGAGGUAGAAUCAUUCUGGCAGUGCCAACAGUAAUUUAGUACUUAGCUCGCGAAUGAAUUUUGAUUAAAGAUGUUGUAAAUUUAAAGUAGGAAGCAAAUUAUUUUGUGUUCAAGCAUUUAAAAUAGUUUUUAUUUUGCUCUUAGUAAUGUACAUCCACGAUUUUGCUAGUCGAAGCUUUAGAAUUUACAAUAUUGAAGAAAAUUCUAGGGAUGAGUUAUAUAAAGUACUCUUAAUUAUAACGAGUGAUGGUGUAGUGGACGAUGUUAUUUAUGUUUUCGUAUUAUCAUGAACAUACGUUGGUUAAUUUACAACUUCAACUUGUGCCGAUCGAAAGAAGUUGUUCGCCAAAUCGUAAAUCCGAAAAAAUAUUUCAUGGGCUAAUGGGCUUGCUUAGUUGAGAUGAGAUGGAGAAUGAAGGAGGGUUUUUAAUUAAAUAUUCUUUAAUAGUUAUAAAAUUAUUUAAAUACCUCUUUCUUUCUUUCUUUUUUUCAUAGAUACCCUAAUAAAUAUGUGCAAAGUCUAAAAUGUCCUUAAUGAAUACAUGGAAUCCACUCUUUUUCACUAUCUUCUUAGUUCUUACACUUAAAUCUCUUCUUACCAAAAUUCUUUCAAAAUUAUAACCUCUUAUGCAAAUACAACUAUGUAUUCACUUCUUCUUUUUUUAAUAAUUAAUUGAUUAACCAUUGAUGGCGUUUUGCAUCGAGCUGGACCUACUCUUAAUUACCGGCCUUGAAGGGAAACCCACUACGAUAUAAAUCAAACAAUUGAACGUACAACUUCAUUAGAUUUCCUGCAAUAAUGCCUAACAUUCAAUGAUUUAUCUGCUCCCUCCGACCCGCCUUAAUUAAUCGUUAUCACAACAUCAUCCCGAAUGUUGUAAUUACGUACAAUUAUAUAUGUUAGCUAUUUUUCUUUUUAAUAAAUAAUUUUACAGAGACAGAUACAAUUAGUGUGGCAUAUGGAAGGAUGUUAGUUGAAACUUGGAAGCGAUAUCACUUAAUCCAUCAUGCUUUUACCCAACUUCUAUAUUCAAGAUUAUGAAAUUUAGGAGAAGUCUAUGUUACAGAUUCCGUAACAUACAUCCCCCACUCCAUGCACUCCACGUGUCCCUGCGUGUGGAAACAAAGCAAGCAAAUGACAAUCUUGGGGAGCUGGCUAACCUGGUCUGUCUGUUAACGAAACUGUACCGUAGCCAGCUCCUGAAAUCUAUUGUUUCUUUUCCAUUCACUUCUUGUGAUAUAUUGUCCGCCCCACGUUUUAGCCUUUAAUUAUGCCAUCUUUCAACCUAAUAAUUAAUUAUCAGUUAAAGGGGCAGUUGAGAACCUAAUCAUUAAUUAUCAGUUAAAGGGGCAGUUGAGACUUGAACCAUGAACUUUGAAGGUCGUGUGGGUGUUGUUGUAUACAUCAAGCAAACUUAAGUGAUUAUUAGUUGGGUGAAAAUGAAAGCAAAGUGCAUAUUUAUGACCAACUGUAGAAGAGAACAAAAGGGUCGAACGAUCGGAUAUAGGGAGCUUUUGAUGACUUGGCUCAAAUAAAGCCAGUUAUAUAUUUAUACAUGGAGAAAUUAUGGAGAACUUAUGAAAGUACAAGUUGUUUUUUUUCAUUUUGAUUUUUUCCCGAGGUGUAGUCAGAUGUUUUUCAAAUAAUUUUAUUUAAGUGGUCAUCCAAGUUCAAAUUCAUGGGGAGAUUAGUGAUCAGAAAAGAAAUUUAGGUUUUACCCACCCCUUAUUUUUUUAGGGAAAAAAUGAAAUUAUAAUGUCACUAAGUACGUUAAAACUUAUCGGAGAGAACAAAUUUGGUAUAUUCUGAAGAAUGAAAAUUACAAUUAAGAGUACAAAUAAUUAUGAAACUCUCUCUGCAAGUGUAGAUAUCUUUUGAAACAUGGAUCUCAAUCGAAUAAGAAUGCACCUCCUACUCCUCUUCUGACUCCUAUAUGAUAUUUGCAACCCGAGCGAACACAACACACUGCUCGAGUUAUGACACCGGUGUCGGUGCACAAGGCAAUUAGGUUAUGAUUUUUUUUAAUUAAAGAAAAAAAAUCAAGUCUUACCUAAAAGCAAUUAGUAGUAAAAGUUUAGUGGAAUCUAAAGAAUAACAUUACUAGCUGGCUAUAACUCCUUGGUCGUGCAUAUAUGCAUCCGAUAUAUGUUGUAUAUGGUCCAUAUCCGUCAUUUUCUUAUGAUUUCUGUGAGGACUACUUAAUUUAUUAUUAAUAACUUGUGGAUUACCAACUAAAGAUGAUGAUGGUGAUGACGAUGAUGAUGGUGAUGAUGAUGAUGAUGAUGGUAUUUUUCGUAUUUUUACAAAAAUACGAAAAUAUUAAAGCGCUAAAACUAUAAACAAAUAUAGUUAAAAGACAAUAAUUUCAUUUGGAGAGUAAACAUGAUCUAUCUAGUCAAUGCAGCAAAGGUAUUCAAAUCAAGCCCAACAGGAUGAUAGCCUACAUGGUCUAGAGCUCAACAUAUGCAUUUUCCAAAAGACUACUAUAUGUAUGUAUGUAUGUAUGUGUAUGCAGUGUUAGUGCACCGCUCCUGAACCUGGCAUGUGUAUAUGUUUCUUUGUGUGUGUGUGUGAUUUUGAGCAAAGUAUGUGAAGAUUGAUUUAUUCAAUAUUUGCAUUUUCUAAAGACUGCUAUAUGUAUAUAUGUAUGUAUGUAUGUAUGUAUGUAUAUGCAGUGUUAGUGCACCACUCUUGAACUUGUCAUGUGUAUAUGUUUCUAUAAAUAUGUGUGUGUGUGUGUGUGUGUAACUUUGAGCAGGUAUGUGAAGAUUGAUUUAUUCAACAUUUUUCUUCUUUUGAGAAGGAUUAAAUCCAUUUAGAUUUUAGCCACUAGGCUUUAGCCUAGUGGUUAGAACUCAUAACUCACAAUUGUGAGGUCAUGGGUUUCGAGCCCCACAAUGCAUUGUGGGGAUUUAAUUUCCUUCCUCAAUUUUAGUGAAAGUAGUGUCUUCUCUCUAUCGAAAUGUGAGUGUAGUAGACGUCCCUCAAAUAUUAGAAAUGGUAAAAAUCUGGGCGGACUUCAUAAGAAUUGAUGUAAAAUAAUCCUAGUAAUAAUCUGAUUUGUAAAUAUCAGUUGUAAUCUCAUGUAAUAUGAGUUUUACUCUUGAGUAAUAGUCUCAUGUAAUUAAAAAAAAAAUCCAUUUAAAUUUAGGCUUUGGCUAAGUUACGUUAAACAUAACUUACGCCACAUACAACAACAGUGCACAUUGAUAGGACCUGCUACUGUUGUUGUGCUUGGCGUAAGUUACGUUUAACGUAACUUAGUCGGCUCCUUAAAUUUAUAUGUAAUUGUAAAACAUUUAGGUAAUGAAUGAUUUAGAGCAGUUGAAUUUUUAAGUCUAUAUCUGGGCCCUAACUGUGAGUUGGUUUAAGCAUGUGUCUCGCAGUUCAAGAAUUGUGUUUCUGUUACUUGCUUAUCUUCUUAUCUUCAUUUAUCAUUUCCCGAAUCAUCAUGGAAAUAUACACUUGCUUUAGGUUAUUUAUAAAAAAUAAAUUAUGCAUAUAGCUUUGGCUGCUGACUUGUGAUUAAUGCUUCAGUUGGUAGAUUGAGAGAUGGGACAGAAAGUCUUCCAUCUUGAUUUGCCUAAUAUGAUUUUCUUCUUUACCAGCUGGCAAAGAAAGGGAAAACGUUUCUUGAUCUUCCUUAUGUUGUAAAAGGGAUGAAUGUCUCUUUUAGCAGGAUAUUGAGCUAUAUUGAAGCAACUGCUGCAGAGAAGCUCAACAAUAAUGAGUGCACUCCUGCAAAUUUGUGCUAUUCCCUACAGGUUAGUUGCAUUUUUCAUCCUUCAAUCCAUUGGAACAGCACGAGCCAUAGCUUUAAAGACUGCAAUUAUAUGUUGCCAUUUCUUCAUGGAUCGUUAUAUGAAUUGUGUGUUAACGUAAUUGGAAAUUUACAUUUUGCUUGAUGAUAUGCGUUAUAGGAAACUCUUUUUGCAAUGCUUAUGGAGAUCACGGAACGGGCAAUGGCACAUUGUGACAAAAAGGAUGUUCUUAUUGUAGGCGGUGUGGGUUGUAACGAGCGCUCGCAAGAGAUGAUGAGAACAAUGUGCUCUGCGCGGGGUGGAAGGUUGUUUGCAACAGAUGACCGCUAUUAUAUGUUGACAACAGAGCAAUGAUUGCGUACACCGGUCUGCUUGCUUUUGCUCAUGGCUCAUCAACUCCAUUAGAGGAAUCAACCUUUACCCAGCGAUUUAGGACUGACAAAGUGCAUGCAGUCUAGAGAGAAAAAGAAGAUUCAGCUUGCAAGAAUGGUGUCAUUAAGGAAGCUAGCUAAAUCAGAUGGUAGAUUUAGAGGUAGAAUCAUUCUAGUAGUGCCAGCGGUAAUUUAGUACUUAGCUCGCGAAUGAAUUUUGAUUAAAGAUGUUGUAAAUUUAAAGUAGGAAGCAAAUUAUUUUGUGUUCAAGCAUUUAAAAUAGUUGUAUUUUGCUCUUAGUAAUGUACAUCCACGAUUUUGCUAGUCGAAGCUUUAGAAUUUACAUUAUUGAAGAAAAUUCUAGGGAUGAGUUAUAUAAAGUACUCUUAAUUAUAACGAGUGAUGGUGUAGUGGACGAUGUUAUUUAUGUUUUCGUAUUAUCAUGAACAUACGUUGGUUAAUUUACAACUUCAACUUGUGCUACUGCCGAUCGAAAGAAGUUGUUCACCAAAUCGUAAAUCCGAAAAAAUAUUUCAUGGGCUAAUGGGCUUGCUUAGUUGAGAUGAGAUGGAGAAUGAAGGAGGGUUUUUAAUUAAAUAUUCUUUAAUAGUUAUAAAAUUAUUUAAAUACCUCUUUCUUUUUUUAUUUUCAUAGAUACCCUAACAAAUAUGUGUGAAGCCUAAAAUGUCCUUAAUGAAUACAUGGAAUCCACUCUUUUUUACUAUCUUCUUAGUUCUUACACUUAAACUCUUCUUGCCAAAAUUCUUUCAAAAUUAUAACCUCUUAUGCAAAUACAACUAUGUAUUCACUUCUUUUUUUUUAAUAAUUUUUGUUGACAUUUUUUGCAUAGCAACAAAUAUAAAUUCUUAGCACAAAUUAAGUCUUUAAAGAACUAAAUUAUUCUAAUGAAUAAUGAAAUAAGUUGUGUAAUACAUGAAGCCGUGUAAUACAUGAAGGUCUUGUAAUAGUCGUGUAAUACAUGAAGAUCUUGUAAUACAUGAAGUCGUGUAAUAUAUGAAUGUCAUGUAAUAAACAACUAAAGGUCGUGAAAAUCCCGUAAUACAUGAUUCAAGAUUGCGUAAUAAUACAAAAAGUCAUGUCAUAUACGACUGAGGGUCAUGUAUUACACGACCUUAAAUCUCAUGUUACAUGACCUUACACGACAAAAUCGUAUGUUACAUGACCUUACACAACUGAAUUAUAAUCGGCCCAAUCCAUCAAUUUUUCACCAUUUAUAUAGAGCAAACGGCUAGAAAUUUGUAUGUUAUAAGAGACCCACAACUAAUUUAAUCUAUUUUUACAAUAUAAGAUCUUUUUUUCUUUAAAUAUAAAAAAGAAAACUAAUUACAAGGAAUUAUUUUCCUCAAGUAGUUAGAUUCCGACAAUUUUACAGCAAAGAAUUAGCUUUCACCGACGAUUGUACAGCGACGAACCAAGCUUCUCUUUCUCAGUUGCAGCAACUUCCCCUUCUCAAGCUCGGUUUGCUCAUGUGUUGAUGUCUGGUUCAAUAUGUAUGAGUGUUUAUUUGAGUCAUGCUAUGUUUGAGUUGUGUAAGUGUUUUAAGAUAAGGAUAGUUUAGUAAUUUUAUGUGAGUUUUUAGAGAGUAUUGAAGAAAAUUUUGGCAAAUUCUGUUUUUAGAGUAUUGAGAUAAUUUUGAAUGUAUCAAGGUGUAUCUAGGGCUGGGUAAAAUACUAAAAUACCCAAUCCGCCCCGAUCCGACCCAAAAAAAUAUUGGAUUUGAAUCGGAUCAUAUUGUUAACAAAAUCCGAUCGGGUGUAACUUUGCCAAUCCGAUCGGAUCGUGAUCGGAUUGGAGGAAACCUAAUCCAAUCCGAAAACCCGAUCUGGUUGGCUUAACAAAAAAAAAAAACUAAUGAAACAAACUAACAAAGUGGCAAACAAAACAAAAUCGGAUUUACACUACACACAAAGCAAAUCUUAGAUCUAAAUUAAAAAAAUCUGUAAGAACACAGAGACACUCACACCAUACACAAUCACACACAAAUAGAGGUUGGGCCUCGGAGAUCGGAGAUGUCGAGAUGCCAAAUAGUAAAGCAGCAGCGAGCAGAUCGGAGAUGCAACCUCGUGAAGCCGCGAAUUAGCAGCCAGUAGUCGCUGACGCGAUCAUGCGAAGUCAAGCCAUCGGAGAUCGGAGAUGUCAGCGAAGUCAAGCCAUCGGAGAUCGGAGAUGUCAGCGAAGCAGUGGCGAGCAGAUUGGAGACGCAACCGCAAGAAGCAAUAGCCAACAGAUUGGAGAUGCAACCGCGCGAACCAACAGUCAACAGUCACCGACGCGAUCGUGCGAAGCCAAGCCAUCGCUGCAAUUAUGACAUGCUGAUGGAAUCUGCUGCACCUCGACUGCUACCGCUUGCUGCCGCUGGCUUCACCGGUUACCACAACCGCUGCAACUUAAUUCACCUCCACAUUCACUGUCACCAAGUUUUUCAUGGUAUUGACUAUAUUGUUUUUAAAAAUUUAAUUUAAAAAGCUUAAAACAAAAUUUAUCUUGAGAUAAGGUUGAUUGUUUUGCUUGAUUAUUUCUAAAAUUAACCCAUAAAUAUAGAAUGGAUAUAUAACCCGAAUGCUUUUAAAUUUAAAUCCGAUCCGAAUUAAUCUGAAUUUUUUAUCCAAUCCGAUCUAAAUAUAUUCGAAUCAGAUCGGAUGGGAUUAAUAAUUCGGGUUGAGUUCGGAUGAUUUUUUUUUCCAAUCCGAGUGACCCGAAAUCCGAUCGGAUCAACCCAAACCAGAUCCGAAUCUGAUUUUGCAACCCCUAGGUGUAUCUGCUGCAAUUACCUCAAAUGAAGGCCAGGCCCAAUCAAGCCCAAAGAUACACAACGCAGCGAACUAAACCAAAAGGGCACGAUCAAUUUCGCAGUUUCCAUAUUCCACCACACGACUGACAGAAGAAGACGAAGAAGAAGCAUCGAUCGAAAGGGUUAGCGAUCGUUGACAAAACAAGUGAAAGGAUGGGGCACACAGGCGAGUUCUUCAGGCGAAGAGAUGGGUGGAGAAAGCAUCCACUGCUGACGAGUAAUCUGCGUCAAGCCACUCCAGGCCUUGGCAUCGCUCUCGUCGCUUUUGGAAUCUAUCUUGUUGGCGAACAAGUCUACAAUAGAGUCAUCGCUCCUUCUCCUUCUCAUUCUCACCACACCCACCACCAGCACUCCACUGCUUCCUCUUCUCACUGAAUCUCUUCAGCUCUCCUGCUUCUCUCGGGUCUGUUGUUGAAUUGAAUUGCCCCCACAUUUGACUGCAAAAAUCUCUCUCUCUCCUUUUUUUUCCUCUUAUGGCUUAUGUGCUUUUCAUAACUUUUUGUUAGGUUUUGUUUUUUGUGUGAUUUUUGGAGAUAUAGGGUUUUGUUGGGGAUUUUAUGAAAUGGGUAUGUGUAAAUUUUUAGGUUUUUCUUAGUUUAGAUUAGCAAUCUAGUCAGAUUCAUCCAUCGUGCUGCAGCUUCUGACCUGCAUAUUUGAAAAUAAAUUUAUUUUCUUGCCUGUUUUUGAAGAAUUAGCAUUGGUCUGUCUUUUUUUUAAAAAAAAAUUAUGACAUGUUUGUUAACCAUGCGAGUCUGUGUAAAAUUUUGGAUUUUAUGGGUUUUUUGUGAAAUGAAUAUGUCUGAAAUUUAUGUUUUUAUUGAUAUUUAGAUCUAGUCGGGUUCACCUGCUCUCUGGCCAGCUGGGUAGUUCGCUUGAUUUCUUUCACUUUUUAGGUAUUAUGCUUAUUUUCUUGCUAUUGGUGCUAGAUUUAGGAUUUUCUGGUACUUUAUGACAUGUUUGUAUAUAGUUUAGGUUUUUAUUUGUAUUAUGACCACAUUGGUUUCAUUGCUCUCAUGAUUUCUGGUUGCUAAAUCAUACUCUUUUGACGUGCAUCAUAUGGUUAUUGUCUUGUUUUAUUCACAUGAUCUUUAGUUGAGCGGAACGUGUAGAGUUGUUACUGUUCAACAGGGGUUUCUAUUUACUAAUUGCUCCAUGCGAGGCAUUCCCACUUUUUCCUUCUACAAUGUGGCUGCUAUUUCAUUCAAUUUGACUAUGAUUUUGUUGUUGUGGCUAAUUGAUCAUCUUUGAUGGAGGAAUGUUAGGAAAUUAAGUUGUAUUAAAUACUAAAUAAAGACAAUUUGGUUAGGCAUAAGACGAAUGAAAAACGUUUGUUCUUAGAUGCAGGGCAGUAAGUUAUUUACUUACACCGAUGAAGUUAUAACUAACACUAGUUUCAUAUGGUUGAGUGAUUUACUUAUAUGUUUAUUUGAUCUGUUGGGAAUGCAGUUGUGGGGAUUAGCUAGUUCAACCAGCAAGUUCUUUUUCACUUUUAUGGGGUGUUAAGAAUGAAUGACAUUCAAACUGGGGAUUUGAUGCCAGGGGCUUUUUAACUCUAUGGAGGGCAGGGGAUAAGGGUCGAAAAGAGCACCUUGUAGAUUGUCAUUUCUAGGAUGAGCAAUAAUGCCCUUAUGAAAAUUCAUUGGUUUGUCAGUGGUUGAUUUUUGACCAUCCGAUUUUUUAUCCGACAAUUUUUUGGGCUAAUUGAGAAAUCAUAUGGUGUUAAAUACUGUAUCUUACUUGGUAGUAUUUUACGAAAUAAUAGUUGCUUAUGAUUGACUUAACAAAACAAUAUCCGGUGUGCUUGUAUUAACCCUGCUGUGUUUUCGGAAGGCUUGCAAGUAAUUUCACAGCACAGAGGGCUGUUUUGUUAUUCUGUUUAGUUGGUUAUUGAUGUAGAACAGGCUGUAACUUGGACAGUUUUAAGUUUUUCUUUAUUUGUUCUUUAUUUUAAGUUUUUUUAAAAUUCUGUCUGUAGAACUUUAUUGUGUUAAAAUAAUUUGAAUUUACCCAGUUUGGGAAAUUCAUGUUAUUUAGUGUUUUAGUAUAAAAGGGAGCUGAACCCUAUUUGUUUUGGUUGGUUGAUUCAUAAUUAAAAAAAAAAAAACAAAUCUUUUGGGGAAGAUUUGUUCUUUCUUUACUUUCGUGUUGUGUCAGUUAUCCCUAUUAAAGUUUACAAUUGCCCUUUAUUAUUCUUUGACGAGGAGCUUUUGUGAAUCUGUGAUUUAAGCUGGCAGAAUUGUUACAUGCAGAUUUAAUAUGACCAAACAGAUCCUCUAUCUAGUCCUCUAAGUACUAUCUAUCUUGAUUUUUUUUUUCUUAAUUGGUGGCUGAAGAUGGUGGUCACAUGUUGGAAGAGAAUUGAAGUUUGGACUUAUUUUCAUUUCCCAUUUUGUUGUUUGAGUUAAUAAGAUCAACUUUGCCAUGUUUAGUGUUACUUUGUUGUGUAUUAAGUUUAGAGUGUGAGACUUGAUCUGUUAUGUAGGUCUUUAAUCUUUUGCUUUUGAUAUGGUUAUGCAUUCAAUGGCUCUACAUUUGGUGCCUGAAAUGUUUCUAAUAAAGAAGUUUCUUGUUAUAAAUAUAUUGUCUUAUUUAUUUAAUUUUUUUUGGUCAAGUUCCCAAUUUUUAUGCAUAACGUUUUUAUGGUUCGUUUCCUGAUCUUAAAUUUUUUGUACCAUUCAUUGAAAAAAGAAAUGUAACUUAAAAUGAUGACUUAAAUUUUCAUCCGUUACAUUUCAUUCGAUCUAAAGGUGUAUAAGUUAUACCUUACUUUAAAGAACCUAAGGAUUUUUAUAUUUGAAAAUUACUCCGUGUGUGUUGAAAACAUAUUAUCCCUUAUUUUAAUAACUUAAGAGAUUUUUUAGAAAAUUUUAUAUUUAUCUCUCUCUCUCUGUCUCUCUCUAUAUAUAUAGCCCUUCUAAUAAGAGAAUUCCUUAAUUUUAUUCCAAGUAAAGGACAAUUCAAAAGAAAAAAAAUACAUAUUUCAAUAUAUUAAAAAAUAAAAUAUACUGUUUCGGAGUGUGUUUUUCAACCUUUUAAUUUGUCUUUUGCUUGGAUUAAAAUAGGUGAUCCCUUAUUGUAAAAUCACUUCAUAUAAUUAAUAUAAUACACUAUAUUGGUGUGUAUUUUACUUCUCUUUUAGUUUAUCUCUUAAUUAUUCAACAGAUCACUUACUAGAUGACUCAAAUUUUUGGCAUAAAUAUUGAGUUAUUACUUUCGUACAAUUUAAUGGUAAAUAAUUGGUAUCAUUAGUGGUCUUUGUGUGUGUGUGUAUAUCUUCAUUUUUUUUAUGGAAACAUUUUUAAACCAUGAGAUUUUGAAAGAGUUAGUGUACGCAUUAUGAAAACAAAAAGAUAUAAGCGCCCGCACUUAGGGAUGGCAAUGGGGAGGGGAGGGGAGGGGACCAAUCUCCCCAUACCCAUCCCCGAUAUUUUGUUAUGUCCCCGUCCCCUCCCCGUCCCCGUCAGAAUUACUUAAGUGAAUCCCCAUCCCCUCCCCGAAUACUAACAGGGGAUCCCCGAGGGUCCCCGGUCCCCGAAUAAUUAAUAGUCUAAUACAUUUUUUUUUUCGAUUUUAAAUUAAUCAUAUUAAAAUAAAAAAUUCAGAUAAAAAUAAAGUUCAAAAUAUAUCUUGCAUUAAUAUUGAUCCAUUUCAAAGUCACAUUCAAAAAUAUAAAUUAUUAAAAUAAUUAUCUUUGUCAAUGACUCAAUCUUCAUAAUCCUACAAUAAAAAGAAAAAAAAUUAUUUUUAUAUCGACAAUAAAAUAAAUGUAGAUACUUAAUUAAUAUUUUUAAUAAAACUAUUUACCUCCUGCUCCUCCAGUUCUUCCUCGAGAAAUGUGGCAAAUUGAGAGCUAACCUCAGAUUUCAAACCUAAAACAAUGAAAAUGAUAUAAGUAACGUAACUUAUAAGCGCAAAUAUUAAUAACUGUAUAAUAUAAUUACAAUGUAAAAUAAACUCAUACUGCUAUUGUAAGCUCGUAACCAACUUUGACAGCAUAUUAAGGCCUCCAAUGUGCUUGGAUGAAGUUUGUUACGGUGUGAGCUCACAACUCUACCACCGGUGCUAAAAGCUGAUUCAGAAGCAACUGUUGUAAUUGGAAUUGCCAAAAUAUCUCUAGCAAUUCGAGCUAAUGUAGGAUACGAAUUAGGAUUAGAACUGUUGUAAAUUAUAAUUAGGCAGCUCUCUCCUGUAUCAUUGUGGUUUGGAUUAAAAAUUUAAGACUUUAAUUAGUUAAUUAAGUUUAAAAGUUUAAUAAUAUAACUAUUUUAAUAUUUAUUAUUUUUAACAAUAUUUAUAAUUUUGUUAUUUAUUUAUUAGUAAUUUUAAAAAUAAAAAUAAAAUUAAAAAUUAAAAUGGGGAAAUGGGUAGGGGAUGGGGAUUCCACCUCAUCCCCGUCCCCUCCCCGAAUAAAAAAUUGGGUAAAAAAUUUUCCCCGUCCCCUCCCCGAAUAAAAAAUUGGGUAUAAAAUUAUCCCCGUACCCUCCCCGAAUGGGGAAAAUCCCCGAGGGUACCCGUCCCCGUGGGGAUUUUUGCCAUCCCUACCCGCACUUGAUAAUAAUUAUUUAAAGGAGUAUGCGUCGGGUGGAAGGAACAAUUAUCAUAUCUUGAUUGAACAAACCACUAGGUCAACUCGGUUCUUAUCUAAGGACACGAAAUAAUUAAUUAAUUAUGUUUCAUUUUUACUAUGAUAAUUCCCAGUUUAUAAUCAUGCCAUUAAUUAAGAAAUAUACAGUUUACGACUGGGCCUCAUAAAAAAAAGAACUUUAUUUUAACUAGUGAAAAAGAACAAUAUAUUUAAAUUGGUCUUGGAGAAUGGUAGGCGAAUGAUGCCAAAUUAAAUUUGCAUGAAAAAUCCAAAAGCAUGUGAGACUUGCUCAAUUAUUGUGUUAUGUGUCCUACGCUAUAAUUAAAGCAAAUGAAAUCCGUGACAAUAUAUAUGUAAUCAAGUAGCUGGUCAAGGCGCCAACAAAAAAAAAAGUAACUGGUCCGAGGGCGAGGACGGAUUAGACCUUUUAAUUGCGACAGACAUUAAUUUUUUUUAAAAAAAUAAAAUUAUUUGGUUUAUUUUAUAAUUAUAAAAUUAUUUUAAUAAGUAAAUAUAUUAAGAAUAUAUUAUUAAAAGAAUGAAAUAAAUAAGAGUAUUUUAAAAAUUUAUUUUAAAAAAAAUCUACAGCCUCAAAGCCUAAAAACUCAAACUUUUGUUAAUAAAAGUAAAAUAAUUUAUUUAAUUUCUAAAAACUUCAUUCGAAAAACAACUAAAUAAUAACAAAAAUUUUAAAAAGAAUUUUAAAAACGAAAUAAAUGCUUUUAAGCAUUAGACAAGUUAUAUUAAACAUGCAUUUAUUACAUCUAUAGAUAGAUUAUAAUUUAAUAUCUACUCCCAUAAUUAUUAGGGUUAAAUCUUGUCUUAUAGUAGGAACAUUACCCAACCCCUGGGGACUUAGAACUCAUAUCCUAAUGUUGAGGGCAUGGGUUCUCACCUAUACCCCUAGUGGGAAGUCAUUUAUCCAUAACAGUUUCUUUGCCAUAAAUAUCUGUUUACGGAAGAGCAUUAUUCACCAUACAAAACUUCUAGUUGGAUAAGUCCUCUCCUUUUAACUUUUUUAUUUUUUUGAAGGGUAAAUGUUUAUUUAGUUAUUAUAUUUUAAGAUUAGUGUCUAUUUAGUUUUUAUAUUUUUAAAAAUACUUUGAAAUAUCCCUGCUGUUAAAGUAUUGAUACUCCUACCGUUACUUUUUAUUUCUUUUGGUUUACUUUUACAAUAUUACCCUUUUAUAAUAAUUUUUUUAGACAUUAAUAAAAAUUAAAUUAUUAAAUUAUUAAUUUAACCCUAAAAAUAAAAUAUAUAUAUAUAUAUAUUAAUUUUUUUGCAAGCACCAUUUGCACACUUGGUAGUUUUCAUACAAUUGUUGACAAUUUAAUUUUUGACAAUUAAAAAUUAAUAUAAAUUUUUUAGGGUUAAAUUGAUAAUUUAAUUAUUUUCUCGUUAUUAAUGUCCAAACAAAAAAAUAUUAUAAAAUGAUAAUAUUAUAAAAGUAAGACAAAAGAAAUAAAAAAUAACGAUAGAAGUAUCAAUACUUUAACGGCAGAGAGAUUUCGAAAUAUUUUUAAAAAUAUAAAAAUUAAAUAAAUACUAAUCUUAAAAUACGGAAGUAAAUGAGCUUUUACCCUUUUUUGAAUACACACACGGAUCAUAAUUGAAGCGCUAUAAAUAUAAUUAGAACAACUUGCAAGAAGCUGCUGGCAUCUCCCGAGCAAGCUCGAGAAAGUAGUCAGUAAGAGUUGUACACAGGAAAAAAGCAUGGGAAAUAAUAAUGUGAUGGGAUUGGGAGGCGGUGUCUUGGCAGCGAUCAUAGUUAUGACGAUACUCUUCUUCACCGCAAAUCAAUCUUGUGCUGCAGGCAACGGCACCGACAUUACUAAUUUCCAUAUUGAUCCUGAUGUGUUGUUCUUUCAUGGUGAUCCGGAAAUGGAGUCGGCUGCUGCUGCUGCAGGAAAAGGCAUGGUGAAUUUGAAACCCCUGAUCCGCCCUCCAACUUUCGAUUGCGACAGAGUCGUUUAUCGGCCAUGUGUACCUAAUCCCCAGAAUUCCAAAAAGGGUGAACAUUGCGCACCUGGUCCUGGCGGCACGUAUGCCCCAAAUCGAGGGUGCUAGUAGCAAAUGAUACAUCUUUAGUCUCCAAUCUUCAUCCUCAACUAUGUCAUGAUGUGGGCUUAUUUUGCGUGUUGUAUUUAAUUUAUAAGUAGCUAAAAUUAAUUAAUAAUCUCUCUUUCCCUUCCCUUCUUAAUUCUCUCUAUCUGUAUAUUAUUAAUUAUUAAGCUUUAAGUUUGUGCUGCUGCAUCCAUGCAUAUGUCCUAAUAAAUUAAUUAAGAUUCCUAAUUUAAUUAGUAUUAAUUGAUUUGUUGUUAAAUUAGCCAGGUUCCUCCAUCUUUUCAUAUUCUCUUUUUUCAAUUAUACCAUAACCUUCCUGAGUUUAUUGCUUUUCCAUGUGCGUACGUAUUAAAAGCCUGGAAAUUAAAAGUAAUUAUGGCAUUUUAUAUUGACCGGUACCUACUCUUAGUUACCAGCCUCUUGAGGGGAAACCGGCUGCGAUAUAAAUCAAAUGCUUUUGUAAAUAACAUUCAUUGAUUUAUCUGCUCCCUCCGACCCGCCUUAAUUGAUUGUUACGACAACAUCAUCCCAAAUGUUGUAAUUACAAUUAUAUAUGUUAGCCUUUUUUUUUUAAAUAAAUAAUUGCACAGAGACACAGAUGCAAUUUUUUAUCACAAAGUAGACCUUUCAUUGCUCGCAACACAUCAAAUACAUUUUGCACUUCAGUUGGUAUUGAAUCAAGCCAAAUAGCACCUGAUUUUUCUUCUAAGCCAAAUUUGGCUAAGAAAUGGGCAUGAGCAUUGCAUUACAAUUUCUGGGAACAUACUGAAAAAUAAUUUUAUGAAGCUCCUUACUUUGUUUUUGGAUCUCUGAAAUUACCCAGAAAAUUUCUAUUCUGCUACCCUUAGUCUUGUUAACUAACUCGACUACCUCCACACAGUCCGACUCUAUAAUGCAUGAGGUUAUGCCUGCUUCUCUCGCCACUUGGAUGCCCCACUGGACAGCUUCAGCCUUUGCAAAACUUACACUUCCUUUAAAUUGAGACUGAUAAAAACUAGCUGCAACCACCUUGCCAACCGAGUUUCUUACCAAAGCUCCCAGACCUACCCUGUGAUCCUUGCUACUUAUGGCUGCGUCAACAUUGAUCUUAUACAUGUUUUCAGGAGGGGCGACCAGUUUUGUAGCUUCUCUCUUCUAGAAAUGUCAAGAUGCGAUGCAUUAGGAUUCCUUACUCUUUACACCCAGUCGAGAUUGCUAGCUAGCUUAUGAUACAUCUUUAAUCUGCAAUCUUCAUCUUUAUCCUCAACUAUGCCAUGAUGUGGGUUUAUUCUACAUGCUUGUUGUAUUUAAUUUAUAAGUAUAACUAUAAUUAAUUACUAAUCUCUCUUUCCCUUCCCUUCUUAUUUCUAUCUAUCUAUCUAUAUAUUAUUAAUUAUUAAGCUUUAAGUUUGUACUGCUGCAUCCAUGCGUAUGCAUUAAUAAACUGAUUAAUUAAAAUUUCUAAUUUGAUUAGAACUAAUUAAUUCGUUGUUAAAUGAGCUAGGUUAAUUACUCCAUCUUGAUGAUACCGUUCAUAUUCACUCAUUUCAAUUCUACUAUACCCUUCCUGAGUUUAUUACUCUUCCAUGUGCGUGCGUGUUCACAGCCUGGAGAAGUAAUUAAUUAAUUGAUUAACCAUUGAUGGCAUUUUGCAUCGAGCUGGACCUACUCUUAACUACCGGCCUCUUGAAGGGAAACCCUCUACGAUACAAAUCAAACAACUGAACGUACAACUUCAUUACAUUUCCUGCAAUAAUGCAUUAGAUUUCCUACAAUAAUGCUAACAUUCAAUGAUUUAUCUGCUCCAUGCCUUAAUUAAUUGUUACCACAACAUCAUCCCGAAUGUGGUAAUUACGUACAAUUAUAUAUGUCAGCUAUUUUUCUUUUUAAUAAAUAAUUUUACUGACACAGAUACAAUUAGCGUGGCGCAUGGGAGGAUGUUAGUUGAAACUUGGAAGCGAUAUCAAUUAAACCAUCAUGCAUUUGUCCAACUUCUAUCUUCACGAUUAUGAAACCCAUUGUUUCUUUUCCAUUCACUUCUUGUGAUAUAUUGUCCGCCCCACGUUUUAGCCUUUAAUUAUGCCAUCUUGCAACCUAAUCAUUAAUUAUCAAUUAAAGGGGCAGUUGAGAACCUAAUCAUUAAUUAUCAGUUAAGGGGGCAGUUGAGACUUGAACCAUGAACUUUGAAGGUCAUGUGGGUGUUGUUGUAUACAUCAAGCAAACUUAAGUGAUUAUUAGUUGGGUGAAAAUGAAAGCAAAGUGCAUAUUUAUGACCAACUGUAGAAGAGAGCGAAAGCGCCGAACGAUCGGAUAUAGGGAGCUUUUGAUGACUUGGCUCAAAUAAAGCCAGUUAUAUAUUUAUACAUGGAGAAAUUAUGAAAGUACAAGUUGUUUUUUGUCAUUUUGAUUUUUUCCCGAGGUGUAGUCAAAUGUUUUUCAAAUAAUUUUAUUUAAGUGGUCAUCCAAGUUCAAAUCCAUAGGGAGAUUAGUGAUCAGAAAACAAAUUUAGGUUUUACCCACCCCUUAUUUUUUUAGGAAAAAAAAUGAAAUUAUAAUGUGACUAAGUAUGUUAAAACUUAUCGGAGAGAACAAAUUCGGAAUAUUCUAAAGAAUGAAAAUUACAAUUAAGAGUACAAAUAAUUAUGAAACUCUCUUUGCAAGUGUAGAUAUCUUGUGAAACAUGGAUCUCAAUCAAAUGAGAAUGCAUCUUCUACUAGGGGUGGGCAUGGGUUGGAUUGGAUAGGGUUUGUAAAAACCCAACCCAAUCCAUUAUUAAAUGGGUUGAGAUAAAUUCAACCCAACGUAAUUAAAUAAACAUGUUCAACCCAAUCCAACCCAACCCUUAAAUUAUUAGGUUGGGUUGAUUAGGUUAAAGAUUUAAAGUCAAAUUAAAAUUAAAAUUAAAUUAAAAAAAAAAGAUUCGAGAGUUGAAAUAAAACUUAUUGAAAUCAAAUAUAAAAAUAUUAUAUUAUGAAAAUUCUAUUCACUAUCUAGUAUUUGAUCAAGAAAACUAAAAGAAUAUAUAAUGAAUAAAUCAGAAAAGUACCUUAGUUGAUUGAAAAUUGAGAUUUAAGAGAGUGAUUUUAGUUUUGGAAUUAGAAUCUAGAGUAGUAGACAUAAGAACUAGAUAAUCUCUUUUAUAAAAGAAUAAAAAGAGGAUAAAAAAUAGAUUAGCCGUUUCGAUUUUUAGGAUUUUACAAUUGAAAAUUAUCUUCUUCUUCUUAUUAUUAUUAUUUAUGUGGGUUGAGUUGGGUUAUAUGAGUUCAUCAUAAUUAAUCCAAGUCAACCCAUAAUAACUCACUCAACCCGUUAAAAUUAAAUUGGGUUAAAUUGAGUUGGAUUGGGUCAAUCGAGUUGGAUUAGGUUUGCCCACCCUUACCUUCUAAUCCUCUCCUGACUCCUAUAAGAUAUUUGCAACCCGAGAGAACACACCCACUACUUGAAUUAUCAUAACGGUGUCGUCACACAAGGCAAUUAGGUUAUGAUUUUUUUAAUUAAAAAAAAAAUCAAGCCUUACCUAAAAGCAAUUGGUAGUAAAAGUUUAGUGGAGAAUCUAAAGAAUAACAUUACUGGCUAGCUACAACUCCUUGGUCGUGCACAUAUGCAUCCAAUAAUAUUACUAGCUAGCUAUAUAUGGUCCAUAUCCGUCAUUUUCUUAUGAUUUCUGUGAGGACUACUUAAUUUAUUAUCAUUUAUUAAUGUCUUAGUUAAGCUUUUUAAUUUUUUUUUACUGCUUGACUAAUUUAUAAAUUAAGACGUCGUUUUUAAGAAGGGAAUAAUUUCUCUUUAUUUUUUUACUGCUUGAUUGGAAAUCGGGGAUUGAAAAAAGGAAAGGAUUGAUGUUGAAGGAAAGAAUUGGGUAUGGAAAUAAAGUUGUGUGCCUUUAAAAUAAACUCAUUAAAAAUAAAAUUGAAUGAAUUUAAUUAUUAUUAAGAGUAAUGAUAUAGCCACAAACUCUUGUACAAACUUAUUUUGUACAAACUGACGUGGCAUGAUAAGAUUGGUUGAAUUAAAUAUCACUUGGCCCACAUGAUUUGUUUUUAUUAUUUUAUAUUUUCAUUCAACCAAUGAAUUAAUGCCAUGUUAGUUUGUACAAAAUAAAUUUGUACAAGAGUUUGUGGCUGUAUCAUUACUCUAUUAAUAAUUAGGUUACAAUAUAAAAUGAAAUCUUAACCUUUCAAUUUUUUUCUGGAAAUUAAAUUAUAAUUGGAUUAUUGAAAGCUAAAAAAAAAUUAGGAGGGGGAAAACUAGUAGGGAAAGCAAAUCCUAUUCUUAUUAAUUAAUUAUAAUCUCUACUUUUUUUAAUCAAGUCCAAAAAUUUUCCCUUUUUUUUUCUUUUCAACUACGCAAAACUAAAAAACAGGGCAUACACUCUGUUCAUAUUUCUAUGAAAUCGUUGUUCAUUAAGCAAAUUUCUUCCUCUAAGUACAGAAAAUUUCAUGAUUUGUCACUGACUGCACCCAAUAGAAAGAAAAAGAAUCAAAAUGACAUCUUUUAUGUGUAAAUACACAUCAAAUCUCUUUUAUUAAUCAAAAUUUUUUUGACUAUUAAUAAAAUAGGCUACAUAGCAUAUUCUAUUUUCUCCCUCAGCUAAGAUACUAAUAUAUUACCAAAUUAAUUCGUAAACCGGAAAUUAAGAAAGUUAGAUCUCCAGUGAUUGUCCAUGCAAUCUUUGACUUGGCGGCACUGGAUUUUAUCAAUGCUGCAUUGUUAAAAUUUCCUGUGAAGGGCGUAUAAAUUGCUGCCAUGAUGACCUUUGCAAAGGAAGUGACCAUUGCUGCGCUGGAUAAGACUCCUGGGGAUGUGAACAUUGCGGUGUUGGGUAUAAAAUGCAAGGGAUAUGAAUGUAAAUGGAGAUCGUUUUCAUUUUUGUUAAUCGUUUUUGCUUUUUCAAUGUUGGUAAAUGGAGAGUAAAGAAACAGCAGAUCACCAAGGAGGAUUCACUAACAUUGGUGAAUUUAGAGGUUUCCUUGAGAUUACAUGUCUGUUUGGUAUGACUUAUUUAAUAGUCACAAGUGUUUAUUUAAUCUCAUAAACGCUUAUCAUAAUUUUUGUUGUUGUUUGAUUAUUUUUAAAUAGAUUUUUUGAAGAUUAAAUAAGUUAUUUUACCUCUACUAACAAAAGCUCAAAUUUUGGGUUUUUUAGGAGUAGAUGUUAAAAAACUUUUUUUAAAUGUUAAAAUAUCUAAAAUGUCAUCCACUUAUUUGACAAUUUUAUUUUCUUCUUUUCAUAACAUAACUUUACAAAACUUACAUAUUAAAGUAAUUUCAUAAAUUUUUAAUAAAGGCUUUUAUUGACAAUUAAUUUUUUUUUUGUAAAAACUUUACUAACAAAAAUUCUAUUUAAAUAAGUUUUACUUAAAAAGUUAUACCAAAUAGAGUCUACUUCUUUUGUUGAGCUGAAUGUGUAGAGUUGUUACUGUUCAACUGGUUGGGGGUUUCUAUUCAAAAAUAGCUCCAUGUGAGGCAGUCCCACUUUUUCCUUCUGCAAUGUGGUUGCUGCUUCAUUCAAUUUCAGUUGUUUGGGCUAAUUGCUCAACUUCAAUGGAGCAAUAUUAUGCAUAUCGACAAUUAAGUUGUAUUAAAUAUUGAAUAACAGAAAAUUUUGUUGGGCAUAGGAUGAAUGAAAAACAUUAGUUCCUGAAAACCUUUUCCUAGUUUCAAAUAGAAGUGAGAGAGAGUUGAUGCUAAAAAGACCGCCAGACUUAUAUUUUUCCAUGAGAAUUAUGUGUUAUGUGGAACUAAUUUUAAUUUGCUUUCGUGAUCUUGUUACAAUGUUAGCUCUUUGCUCAUGAAUUGAUUAAUACGUGUAUUUUUUUUACUCAAAAGCCUUCAUCUUUAUUACCUUGGAUCAUAAUUUUCCUCUGCUUUUUCUCCGCGUCAUCCUCUAUUACCUAGUAUCUCUCCUCUAGGUUGAGCAAUAAUACCCAUCUGAGAAUUCAUUGAUGUGUCAGUGUUUGAUUUAUGACAAGCGGAUUUCUCAUCCUACAAUUUUUUUUGGGCCAAAUGAGAAAUAGGAGACUGUUAUAUUAUACAAUCAUUAACAAUACAUAAUUAUAUAGCAGCCGUUAAAUUUGCAUCCAACGGUUAUGGAAAUAUAAAAUAAUAAAAUCAUGUCAUUCUCACAACCGUUAGAUUUUCAUCUAACGGCUGCUACAUAAUCAUGUAUGUUACAUGAUUAUGUAACAUAACAAAAGCCUGAGAAAUAAUAUGAUAUUAACUACUGUAUCUUGACUGGUAGUAUUUUAAGAAGUAUCAUUUGCUCAUGAUUUGACUGAACAAAAUAAUAUCCAAUGCGCUUGUAUUAACCCUGCUGUGUUUUUUCACAAUAUCCGUUUCUAUUCUUUAUUGAGGGCUUUUGUGAAUCAGUGAUAUAAGCAGAAAGAACCGUUGCAUCCAAAUUUUAUAUGAGAAAACAAGAUCCUCUCGCUAGUCCGCUUAACACGGAUCGAAUAUUAAUAAUAAGAAGGAUUUUACUUUUUAAGCUUUUAUGUCAAAUUACGCAUGCUAAAUAAUAAGAAAUUUUGUUUUUCCCAUAUGUACAUAUUUUGAGGAGACACGUCCCCGAGUUCAUCUCUAAAAUCGAAAUCGGGUAUGGAAAGUGUAUACAAGUAUUUGCCCAUAGUUGAUGAUUACACUCGUUAUUCAUUGUGAUAUUUGGGGACCUUUUCGUACUGCAACUCACAUAGGGGCACAUUAUUUCCUGACUAUAGUUGAUGAUUACACUCGUUUCACUUGGAUUUUUUAAUGAAAUUUAAAUUCGAAACCCAAGGAUUAAUAAAAACAUUUAUUUCUUUUGUGAACGCUCAGUUUAAUUGCCAAGUCAAAUGUCUUAGAAGUGAUAAUGGUUCAAAAUUUCUUUCCAUAAAACUUUAUUUUUUCUUUCCAUAAAACCUUAUUUAUCCAACCUGGGUAUUUUAUUUCAAAUCUCAUUUCCCUCUACACCUCAACAAAAUGGUGUAGUUGAACGAAAACAUUGUCAUCUCAUUAAUGUUAGUCGGGUUUUGAGAAUUGAUGCCAAUCUUCUUUUAAAAUUUUGGGGGUAGAGCUUACUUACUGUAGCUUAUCUUAUAAAUCUUCUUCCCACUCCCUUAUUGCAAUAUAAAUCUCCAUAUGAGUUGUUGUGUAAUAAGCCACCUAACUACACUCACGAGUUUUUGGAUGUCUCUGUUGUGCAACAAAUCUACAACCGUCUAAUAAGUUUGAUUCUCGAGCUCGACAAUGCACCUUUGUUGGUUAUCCUAUAGGCCAAAAAGCCUAUCGGUUAUAUUAUCUCAACACUCAAUAAUUUUUUUUCCAACCGUGAUGUCAUUUUUCAUGAGUCUAUUUUUCCUUUUCUUUGUAUUGAAAAAUCAUUAGAUAGCACUCUUCCCUCGCCUGAGAUAUUAGAUUAUAUCGAUGAUCCAUCUCCCCCUAAAUCUCAUCCUGUGCCUCCAGCAUCUGAGACCAUUAUUCCCUCUCCUAAUCCUUUAUUGUCAUCAACUUCUUCCCCUUCUUCCUCUAUAUCUUCUCCUGUACCUUCUAUUCGUAAAAGUGACCGUCAGGCAACUAUCUGUUCUCCUUCGUGACUUUCAUUAUGGACAAAUUAGUACAACACCAUCAACUGCAACUUCAAGUCAGUCAUUUUCAACUAAAUUAGGUACUCAAUAUCCUUUAGGUAAAUACAUUUCCUAUGAUUCUUUGUCUUUUACUCAUAAACACUUUGUUAACACCAUUUCAAGUGUCCUAGAACCAACCUCUUACGCUCAGGCUGUAUUGGAUCUAAAAUGAAAAGAGACUGUGCAACGUGAACUUGAUGCUCUCAAUUCACAGAAGAUGUGGUCCUCGGUCCCUUUACUUGUUGGUCAUCACCCCAUUGGCAGCAAAUGGGUUUAUCGUAUCAAAUACAAUUCUAAUGGUACGAUUGAAUGUUACAAGAAGACCUGGAUUACAUUGAGGCGUUUGCUCUUGUGGCUAAAUUGACCACUGUUCGUUGUUUACUUGCUGUGGCCACUGCAAGACAUUGGCCAUUGUAUCAAAUGGAUGUGACCAAUGCUUUUCUGCAUGGAGAUUUAGAAGAAGAAGUAUAUAUGACUCCACUGUCGGGACUUUGUCGAUAUGGGGAAAAUCUUGUUUGUCGACUUCAUAAGUCCCUUUAUGGGCUUAAACAAUCUCCUCGCAGUUGGUUUACUCUCAUGCUGUUAAGAAAGCUGACUUUAUUCAAUAAUAUUCGGAUUACUCGUUGUUUGUGAGAAAAAGGCUCAUUUAUAACUAUGGUUCUUAUUUAUGUAGACGAUAUGGUGAUAACCAGAAAUGAUGCAGUUCCUAUACACAAUCUCAAACAAUUUCUUCACCGGUAAUUUUAUAUCAAAGAUCUUGGUCUUCUUAAAUAUUUUCUUGUGUUGGAAGUUGCAAGGUCCAAAGUAGGUCUUGUUAUCUCUGAACGAAAAUAUACCUUAGAAAUCAUAGACGAUGUUGGAUACUUGGGUGCUCAACCGGUAAGUUUCCCCAUGGAGAUUAGUUUCAAGCUCACAAAUCAUCAAGAUAAUUUGCUGCAUAAUCCAUCUCGCUACCGGUGAUUAGUUGGCCGACUAAUAUAUCUCACAAUUACGAUACCAGCAUUACAUACUCAAUUAAUAUCUUAAGCCAAUUUAUGCAUGCUCCAAGAAAGCCUCACUCGGAUGCUGCUCUUCGUAUUGUUAAAUAUUUAAAGGGCAGCCCUGGUUUAGGUUUAUUCUCCUCAAGCAAUUCCUUUACUUUAAAGACUUACAGUGAUGCUAAUUGGGCAAACUGUCCUAUAACAAGAAGAUCAACAUCAUGUUAUUAUGUGUGCUCAGGGGAUUCGUUGAUUUCUUGGAAAGCAAAGAAGCAGAAAACAGUCUCAAGAUCAUCAUCAGAAGUUGAGUACAGGUCCAUGGCAGCAGCAACCUGUGAGCUCACUUGGCUUAGAUUUUUAUUCAAUGAUAUGCAAAUUUCUAUAGGACCAGCAAGGCUAUUAUGUGAUAACCAAGUUGCUCUUCACAUAGUAGCAAAUCCGAUAUAUCAUGAACGCACCAAACACAUAGACCUUGACUGUCAUUUGGUAAGGGAGAAAAUACAAGAUGGUCAGAUCAUCACCAAAUUUGUUCCAUCUCAUUCACAGUUGGCAGACAUUUUUACAAAAACUCUUCGAGGAAAGUGUUUAAGAGGCUAACAACCAAGUUGAACAUGCUGGAUAGACAUGCUCCAACUUGAGGGGGAGUGUUAGGAUUUUGUUGGCUUCAUUUGACUAAUUGAGAGAGAUUGUUUCCUUAUAUGUGGCUGAUUUGUAAUCCCUUUGAAUAUGGGAUCGUUAUUUGCUUUCCUUUGAUUUAGCUCAUAAUGUGUGAAUAUUUGCUCUUGUAAAACUUGCAUAUAAAUUCUCUCUAAUUCUACUGUAAGAAACAUAGAAGAAUAAAAUCAAAGUUCUUUUCGAACUUCAUUUUUUCAAAAACAAAAUACUUAGUUCUACAUGAUCAAGUCAUCACGCGGCCGCAGAGUCUUUACUUCAAUGUAACAAAAUAAUGAAAAAAAAAAACCUGAAGAAAUGAAGUUUCAUAUGGGAAGAACAAAUUUCAAUACGAUUAAAAAAUCGCAACAUUUAUAUAGAGGGACAUCAAAUGCAAAGAAAAGUUGAGUCAAUUGAUUAAAGCAUUCUUGGGCAUUAUGAGUUAUGACUUAGAGAGUGAUGAGAUGAGAUAUUUUAUGGGCAUGAAAAGAAAUCAAUAAUUGUUAGUGCGAGUUUAAUAAAGGACUAGUUUGGUAUUUGAAAGAGUGCGCGAGUAAAAAUUAUUUUUAAAUUUUUUUCAAUAAAUGUGCAGAGAAAUAAAGUAUUCAAAAUAAAAUUUAAAUAGCAAAUAGUCCAUCCUUAAAAAGCUAAAGUUAUAUAUGCAGUGCUUUACACGUUCAAUGCGCACUUUAGUGAGAUCAUUCAAUCUUCAAUGAAAUCAUACUUGUUAAUAACCGUCAUGAUUGGUUAAUUCAAAAUUGAAGAUAUAUUAUGGAAAGAUGUUAUUACUUUUACAGUUACACAAAAUGUGAUAGAUAUGCUCCAUUUUGCACACCAUACAGCCAGUGGACUAUGAGCCUCCCUUCUUCAGUGCCGCCUAUAUGGAUGCAAGCUUACAAUCGAUGGACGAAAUAUCCUUUAGAAAUAGGGAUAGGGAAUGUGAAAUUCAAGCAUUUUGAAGUAGUUGUUAAGGGGAUGUAAGCUAUUUUGUUUAGUUAAAUUAAAAUAUGAUGAUGAGUUAAUACUUAUAAGAAUGACUGAGGAACCAAAGCCUGAUAAAAGAUUAAUAAAAACACAUUCAAAAUGAUGUCAUUUUGAUUAUGUUUUUGUCAGACUUUAGUUUAAAUGUUAGCACUCUAAUACUUGGUUAAUAUUUUUGUUCCAAAAAUUUAAUUCAUCUCUAUUUCUUUUUAAUUUUAUUUUAUGGUGAUAAUUUACAGAUAUAAAAAUAGGUGUUAUAUUUGUGAGGUAACGACUUCGGGCAUGGCCAGCUCCCAUAGUGUGACGGGCGUGUGUACAAGGCCCGGGAACGAAUCACGCGUAUGGCUGACCGGCGAUUACUAGCGAUUCCGGCUUUGAAAAAUGACAAUAUUGAUAUCAGUACAUCUACCAAAAAGAAAACUAGCAGGGUAAUUAACUAGUUAAGCUCCUUGUAGUGAUGGAUAAAUUUAUAUGAGGUUGAGUACUGUACAAAUGAGGGUACAACAAUGCAAAACAGGAGUAGAAGAUUUCUUCAUUUGGUCCACUAGGCUUGCCUUUUUGUUAAUCAUUUCAUUUUUGGGCUAAUUGUGAAAUCAUGCAUAUGGUGUUAAAUACUGUAUCUUGCUUGGUGGUGUUUUAUGAAACAAAUUUUGCUUAUGAUUGACUUAACAAAACAAUAUCCAGCGUGCUUGUAUUAACCCCGCUGUGUUUUCGGAAGGCUUGCAAGUAAUUUCAAAUACAGAGGCGCUGCUUUUUUUAUUUUGUUUAGUUGGUUAUCCCCAUUAAAGUAUACAAUUCCCCUUUAUUAUCCUUUGAGGAUGAGCUUCCGUGAAUCUGUGAUUUAUGCUGACAGAAUUGUUGAAUGAAAAUUAGAUCCGCUAUCUAGUCCUCUAGUUAUGUAUCUAUCUUGAUUUUUUUCUCAAUAAGUUGGCUGAAGAUGAUGGUGACAUGUUGGAAGAGGAUUGAAGUUUGGACUUGUUUUCAUUUCCCAUUUUGUUAUUUGAUUUAAUAAGAUCAACUUUGCCAUGUUUAGUGUUACUUUGUUGUGUAUUAAAUUUUGAGUGUGAGCCUUGAUCUGUUAUGUAGAUGUUUAAUCUUUUGCUUUUACUAUUGUCAUGCAUUCAAUGGCUUUACAUUUGGUACCUAAAAUGUUUCUAAUAAAGAAGUUUGCUCAUAUUAAUAUAUUGUCUUAUUGAUUUAAUUUUUUUGGGGUCAAGUUUUCGAUUUUCAUGCACCACGUUUUUAGCGCUUGUUUCCGUAAUUUAAAUUCCCUGUAACAUUCAUUGAAAAAAGAAAUGUAACUUGAAAUGAUGACUUAAAUUUUCAUCCGCUUCAUUUCAUUCAAUCUAAAGGUGUAUAUUUUAGUCAAAAAGCCGCAAUGAUCAUUUUCACAUCUCCAUUGUUCUCACUUCUUAAUUGCCCAAAGGUAAUUAUCUCACUUCUUCGUUGUUCGGUCUCUUAAUUUUGCAGUCGAUUUCUUUAUUUUUUUAAAAUUAAUUUAAGGUUAGAUUGAAGUUAGUUUUGGAUUAGUUUAUGAUUUCCAUCAGUUGAUAAUUUUAGGGUUCCAAUCAGAGAUCUCUUCACCUUGCUCAACAGACACAUCGAACAAUCCGACUUCGAACAGGCUAUUAAAAUCGCAUAUCAAGGUCCAGUUUUCAUAUUUCAAUACUCUUUAAUUUUAUUAUCAUAAUGUUGAACAUUUAGCUCUCUUCUUUAAAUCAGUAAGUUACCUUAUGAUCCUGAUGCAACUUUAAUUAGCUACUCAAUUUGAGCAACUUUAAUUAACGAACCCGAGCCUAGGAUAUUAUUCCAAUAUUAGCUGACUUCAAUUAGAUUAAUAAAGCCUAGCUCACUGAUUUAAAAUUAUUAUUUAGCUCAACUGAUGGUUAAAACAUAUUAAUGGAAAAAAAUAUAAGGUCUCCUUUAUCUGAUUUCAAAGGAUUCUUCAAGCUAUUUGUUGAAAUGCCUGAUAGAAAAAAUGAAUGCUAUUUAAAUAUUGCUGGGGCUUAGUCAGUGGAUAGUAAACUAUCAGAUUCAUGGAGACUAUAAUUCUAGUGUAUAAUUACAACUUCGCAGCAUCAUUUUUGCAUUUUUGUAAUUUUCUUUUUUCAGAAAGAAUAUUGAUUCUUCCAUUUAGUUGAUCAAGAAUCAUGUGAAUUAUUUAUCAAUGCAUGCGUGUUUGUCAGCACAUGUUAUUAAUUAAUAGUAUGGCGUAAUGAAAGCAAGAAGGAUAAGAUAUAGCAUAAGUCUAAUUAAGAUGACUCAAAAAAUCAGAAGCAGCAGCACAUGCUUGAUUUUCAAAAGCUAAUUAGGAAUCAAAUCCGGUAGGGAAGAAUAAGAGAAUAACAACCAAAAGAAAAAAAUAUUGAAUCAGAGAGCAGGCCUAGCUACAACUAGUUACUGUAUUUUUAGUUUGUAUUUUGUUAGUUACUGAAUUUAAUUUACAGAGCAUGUGCCGCCACUGUUUAUUUGCUUUCAUGGUAACAUCUAUAUGUAAUAAGUUAAAACCUUUGAAAAACUUUCCUUGCGGGUAUACAAGGACUAUGGACUUUGAAGCUUUGUCCAAUUUUUGUUUUCCUUAUUGAAUUUCUUAGUUGAUAUAUGGGGACUGUGGACUCUGCUAUUAAAUUAAAGAGUAAAGUAGCACAUGCUGCAACUGCUAGAGAAUUUAAUAACAAUGUUCCUUAUCUGAGAGUGCACAACGAGGUCGAAACUAAGGUAACUAACAUAUAACUACUUAAAUCUCGAACGAGUUUUCUUUUAUUUUCUGUUUGGGUUCUAUUUACCGCAUAUUAUUUGAGUCUACAUUCAAAGCCAUGCAUGCUGAGUAUUGGAUCAUUAGGAAAAUAAUACUACUAUGUUUAAACUAUAUUUUCUCUUUUUUUUUUAAGGUUAAUUUGUAUGCACAUAUAAUUUGACAGUUGAUGAGUUUUCAGUUGAGCUAGCUGAAGGGCUUGCUUUUGUUGCUGUUUCUGAUGAUGAAUCCAAACUCUUCAUAGUAGUUUUACUCUCUUUCAAGGUUUGUGAACAAUUUAUAAUUGGCGAUGGUUCAUGGUUGAUACUUCAAGUAGCAAUUAUUUCAUGCUCAUUGUUUGGCAUUCUUCAUUGUAUUAUAGUUUUUGGAUAAGGAAGUGAAGAAGUUGAAAAGAAUAGUGAAGCUCGUUCUUGGAAACUCACUUGUUAAUUUUCUUGUUAAUUUUCAUUUACUUUCAAGCCUUUUUUUCAAUUUGCUUUUCACUUUCUAAUGUAUAGAAACUAACCAUAACAGGGUUUUGUAACUGAUAGACUAGAUUAUCGCAAGCACAUAGAUCUUUUAAUGGCAGUGUUGCAUUUUUCUACCUCUCUAAACUUGUGUACGGACUAAUGUACAAAUUUAUAGGUUAGUAAAUACUUGCUAAAUUUAAAAUCCAACUCUUGCUGCUGACUCCAAGUAUAAGCAUAUUUGCUUUUUGUUACAAAAUAUUGCUCUAAUGAUUAUUAUCCAUUGCUCCAGUAUCAUAUUUUGUUAGGUUUCUUAACCAUAUUUUGGUUAUAAUACUUAUGCUCAGCUUUAUACAAAGCGAUUGUUCGAAUAUAACAUAUUAUUAUGCUAGUUACUGAUUUGAUAAUUUACUGAUUAAUAUUUCUUCAUUCAUCUAGGAUAUUAUUUGGUCUACUAAUGAUGAUGUGGGGAUGGAGCAGAUUAAUAUUUCUUGAUUUAUAUAGGAUAUUAUUUGGUCGAAUGAAAAUGAUGAUGGGGAUUGAGAAGAUGAGGUAGAAGCGAACGCAGGUCUCAGAGACUGAAGAAGACGUGUUGGAGGAUGAUUGAAAUAAUUCAAGCUCUGAGAUCAUACUGCAUAUACAUUUGGGAUUUUUUUUUUUCAAAAUAUACUAUUGAAAUUGAUUGUGUUGUAUUGGCAUUACAAAUACUUAAAAAAAAUAAAAACAAAAAGCGUAAGAAACAAUAAUAUUAAAUAAAUUAAAUGGGUCACUAAAUAAAAAAGAAGCAUAUUUCCAAUGUGUUUCUUGCAUUUUCGAGGGCAAAUUACUGUUAGAAUAUGCUAUCAUUUAUGUUAUCCAAUCUCAUUUCCAAGGGCAGUUGAUGCCAUUUUCAAGGGCAAAUGCAAUUGGAAAUAUGUAAUUUUUUGUUUUAUGGGGAUUAUUUCUGAGGGCAUUUGGUGUCAUUUAUGAUGGCAUUGCUAUUGAAAAUAAUUUUUUUCGCCGACGACCCAUCGAAAAUUGUGCUUUUUCGAUGCGACUUAAUACGAUGACAGUUGACGGCAUGACUUCAUUGGAAAUGAGUUUUUCCGAGGGCAUUUGUAUAUUUCCGAGAGUAUUUGCCCUAGGAAAUAACCAUUAUUCUUGUAGUGAAUGUUAGAAGUUAAGGAGCCCUCCAAAUUACAGAAGAAACUCGAUAAUCUCGAUAAGACUAAUGUUGAAAAUAUGUUAUCCCUUACUUUAAUAAUUGAAUUAUUCUUAUAUCAAAAAAUUACUAUAUAUGUAUAGAGACUCGAUAAAAGUACUGCUGAAAAUAUGUUAUCCCUUACUUUAAUAAAUUAAGAGAUCUUUUGUUAGAAAAUUUCUUUAAUUUAAUACAAAUUAACAGAUAAUUUACAAAAAAAAACACAUAUUUUAAUAUACUAUAAGAUAAAAUAUAUAAUAUUAGAGCAUGUGUUUUUCUUACCUUCUAGCUUGACCCUAAAUCAUUUUAUAUAUAUAAAUAUAUAAUACACUAUUAGAGUGUGUGUUUUGCUUGCCUUUAGUUUAUCCCUUACUAGAUAAUGACUCAUAUAAUUUAUUUUAACUUAAAUUUUUUAUAUAAAUUUUGAGUUAAUGGUUUAGUGCAAUCUAAUUGUAGAUAUUAAAAGUCAAAUUAGCAUUUAAUGAUGCCAAUUCAUUCACUAUUUUAUUGCAUGAGAUUAAUGACUCAAAAUUUAUGUAAAAAAAUUAAGUCAAAAUUUCAAGUUGAAAUAUUGCUCCUUAUAUUAUAUAUAUAUAGUGAGGUGAGAAUGCCCAAAAUAAUAUAUACAUAUAGAUUUCAAAUAAAAAAGAUAUAGUUUUCAAUGUAUUGACAUUUGUUUUUGUAUUUUAGUGAAAUUCUUAUUUUAGUAAAGAGAGGAUAUUCUUAUUUUAUAUAUGUGCGCGCGUGCGCGCGUGCAUGUAUGUUUUUGUUGCCAAAAGAGUACAUGUCGGGUGCAAAGGUACAAUUAUAUUGAACAAACCACCAGACUACAUCAAUUCUUUCUACUAACACUAAAUAAUUAUUUAAUUAUGUUUCAAUAUUUUUAUUAUGAUAAUUCCUGGUUUGUAAUCAUGCCCUUAAUUAAGAAAUAUACAGUAUUAAAAAAAACUUUAUUUUAACUAGUGGAAAAGAACAAUAUUAGUUGAAUUGGUCGGGAGAAUGGUAGGUGAAUGAUGCCAAAUUAAAUUUGCGCGAAUAAUUCAAAAACAUGUGAGACUUGCUCAAUUAUAGCAUUACGUGUCCUACACUAUAUAUAAUUAAAGCAAAUGAAAUCCGUGACAAUAUAUGCCAUGGUGUGGGUUAAUUCUGCAUGUUGUAUUUAAUUUAUAAGUAGCUAUAAUCUCUCUUUCCCUUCCUUUCUCAAUUCUAUCUCUCUAUAUAUUAUUAGUUAUUAAGCCUUAUGUUUGUACUGCUGCAUCCAUGCAUUUGUAUUAAUAAAUUAAUUACGAUUUCUAAUUUAAUUCAUAUUGAUUAAUUUGUUGUUAAAUUAGCUAGGUUCCACCAUCUUCAUGAUAUCAUUCACAUUCACACGUUUCAAUUAUACCAUACCCUUCCAGAGUUUGUUUCUUUUCCAUGUGCGUGCGUAUUAAAAGCCCGGAGAAGUAAUUAAGUAAUUAACUAUAAAUGGCAUUUUAUAUCGAGCUGGACCUACUCUUAAUUACCAGCCUCUUGAAGGGAAACCGGCCACAAUAUAAAUCAAACAACUGAACGUACACCUUCAUUAGAUUUCCUACUUAAACAUAUACAUUUAUGCUAGCCUUUGUACGUAACAUUCAUUGAUUUAUCUGCUCCCUCCUAUCCGCCUUAAUUGAUGGUUACGACAACAUCAUCCCAAAUAUUGUAAUUACAAUUAUAUAUGUUAGCCUUUUUUUUUCCUUAAAUAAAUAAUUACACAGAGACACAGAUACAAUUAAUGUGGCGUAUGGGAGGAUAUUGGUUGAAACUUGGAAGUAAUAUUAGUUAAUCCAUACCAUCAUGUUUUUAUCCAACCUCUAUCUUCAGUUCUUCACGAAUAUGAAAUCUAUUGCUUCCUUUCAUUCACUUUGUGUGAUAUAAUGUCUCGCAACCUUAGCCCAUUGUUUGAGAAGUUAUCUCAGUUAAAGUAGCAGUUGAGACUUGAACCGGGAACUUUGAAGUUCAUGCAAGUGUUGUUCAUGACUUCACGUACCAAAUAUACAUCAAGCAAACUUUUGACCAACGGAGCUACAUCUAAGUAAGAGAGCACAUAGAGCACUAGGGAGCUUUUUGUCACGGGACGAGAGGUUUCGAGCCCGUGCGGCACUCCCGCAUCGCAUACUACGAGAGUAAGCCUAGUGGAAGUGGCACAAUGUCGACUGGUUUCGCCCUGCCUUGGGCUCGUCAAGAGAACGGCUUCAGUUCCCAACCAGUGUGCGUCAGGAUUUUCCUAGACCCCUCUUCAACAUUAAGUCCUCGACUAGCGACAAGCUCCCCAAACUCAACCGGGUCAGCCUGCUUGAACUCCAAAGAGUCUAGGGCAUUAUAUUCCCCACACACACAUUCCUGAAGCACGUCUCCAACAAUUAGCACAACCAUCAUCGACACUAGCGUACAAGCGCAUAUCUUGGGUGCCACGAUUGCGGUCCGUGACAUUCUCCCACCGCCAUAACCAUGCACGUCCUCGUGCAUGAGGAGUACGCCUCUCAAGUGUGCACUUCCGCGCGAAAACGUGAAGAUCGGCUUGUCAAUCUCAACCCAUGAACUCCUUGCCUACUCGUCCUCAAUCCGGGGAGAGGACCCGCGUGCAGACACUGUCCACUUAGUGCGAACACUUGGGGGUGUGAGAACCCGCCUGUUCGUCCCGCUUGUCGACCCUUGCGCCCAAAAGGGUGGGGACCUGCGUGGUGCGGCAUUGGAGCGCUUGGCGAGCUCGCAACGAGGACUUCGAGAGAUGACAAGCGCGGCUCUGAUACCAUUUGUCACAGGAUGAGAGGUUUCGAGCCCGUGCGGCACUCCCGCAUCGCAUACUACGAGAGUAAGCCUAGUGGAAGUGGCACAAUGUCGACUGGUUUCGCCCUGCCUUGGGCUCGUCAGGAGAACGGCUUCAGUUCCCAACCAAUGUGCGUCAGGAUUUUCCUAGACCCCUCUUCAACAUUAAGUCCUCGACUAGCGACAAGCUCCCCAAACUCAACCGGGUCAGCCUGCCUGAACUCCAAAGAGUCUAGGGCAUUAUAUUCCCCACACACACAUUCCUGAAGCACGUCUCCAACAAUCAGCACAACCAUCAUCGACACUAGCGUACAAGCGCAUAUCUUGGGUGCCACGAUUGCGGUCCGUGACAUUUUGAUGACUUGGCUCCAAUAACGCCAGUUAUUUAUACAUGGAAAAAUUAUACAUCAAGCAGACCUAACUAAUUAUUAGUCGGGUAAAAUAAAAGCAAAGUGCAUAGUUUUGACCAACGGAGCUAUAUCUAAGUAAACUUGAAAACCCAGCAAUCGUAGAAGAGAGCACAAGGCAGAAAGAGAGCAUAUAGAGCACUAGGGAGCUUUUGAUGACUUGGCUCCAAUAACGCCAGUUAUUUAUACAUGGAGAUAUUAUACAUGUACAAGAAAUAAUGGGAAAUUUUCGGUCAUUUUGAUUUUUACCCCGGUGGUUUCUCCAUAAUUUACAAUUUAUUAUUAAAUUAACGGUAUAUAAGUUAUUUUACUUGAUUUAUAUUAUCAAAAUAUUUAAAUUUAUAAAAAUAAACUAAUUUUAAUUUUCUUGAAAAGAAUAGUGAAGAAGUUGAAAAGAAUAGUGAAGCUCGUUCUUGGAAACUCAAUUGUUAAUUUUCUUGUUAAUUUUCAUUUACUUUCAAGCCUUUUUUUCAAUUUUUUUUGCACUUUCUAAUCUAUAGAAACUAACCAUAACAGGGUUUUGUAACUGAUAGACUAGAUUAUCGCAAGCACAUAGAUCUUUUAAUGGCACUGUUGCAUUUUUCUACCUCUCUAAACUUGUAUACCGACUAAUGUCCAGAUUUAUAGGUUAGUAAAUACUUGCUAAAUUUAAAAUCCAACUCUUUCUGUUGACUCCAAAUAUUAGCAUAUUUGCUUAUUGUAACAAAAUAUUGCUCUAAUGAUUAUUAUCCAUGGCUCCAGUAUCAUAUUUUGUUAGGUUUCUUAACCAUAUUUUGGUUAUAAUACUUAUGCUCAGCUUUAUACAAAGCGAUUGUUCGAAUAUAACAUAUUAUUAUACUAGUUACUGAUUUGAUAAUUUACUGAUUAAUAUUUCUUCAUUCAUCUAGGAUAUUAUUUGGUCUACUAAUGAUGAUGUGGGGAUGGAGCAGAUUAAUAUUUCUUGAUUUAUAUAGGAUAUUAUUUGGUCGAAUGAAGAUGAUGAUGGGAAUUGAGAAGAUGAGGUAGAAGCGAACGCAAGUCUCAAGAGACUGAAGAAGACGUGUUGGAGGAUGAUUGAAAUAAUUCAAGCUAUGAGUAUGAGAUCAUACUGCAUAUACAUUUGGGAUUUUUUUUUCAAAAUAUACUAUUGAAAUUGAUUGUGUUGUAUUGGCAUUACAAAUACUUAAAAAAAUAAAAACAAAAAGCGUAAGAAAUAAUAAUAUUAAAUAAAUUAAAUGGGUCACUAAAUAAAAAAGAAGCAUAUUUCCAAUGUGUUUCUUACAUUUUCGAGGGCAAAUUACUGUUAGAAUAGUAAUCAUUUAUGUUAUCCAAUCUCAUUUCCAAGGGCAGUUGAUGCCAUUUUCAAGGGCAAAUGCAAUUGGAAAUAUGUAAUUUUUGGUUUUAUAGGGAUUAUUCCCUAGGGCAUUUGAUGUCAUUUCUGAUGGUAUUGUGGUUGAAAAUAAUUUUUUUCCCCGACGACCCAUCAAAAAUUGUGCUUUUUCGAUGCGACUUAAUACGAUGACAGUUGAUGGCAUGACUUCAUUGGAAAUGAGUUUUUCCGAGGGCAUUUGUAUAUUUCCAAGAGUAUUUGCCCUUGGAAAUAACCAUUAUUCUUGUAGUGAAUGUUAGAAGUUAAGGAGCCCUCCAAAUUACAGAAGAAACUCAAUAAUCUUGAUAAGACUAAUGUUGAAAAUAUGUUAUCCCUUACUUUAAUAAUUGAAUUAUUCUUAUAUCAAAAAAUUACUAUAUAUGUAUAGAGACUCAAUAAAAGUACUGCUGAAAAUAUGUUAUCCCUUACUUUAAUAAAUUAAGAGAUCUUUUGUUAGAAAAUUUCUUUAAUUUAAUACAAAUUAACGGAUAAUUUACAAAAAAAAACACAUAUUUUAAUAUACUAUAAGACAAAAUAUAUAAUAUCAGAGCGUGUGUUUUUCUUAUCUUCUAGCUUGACCCUAAAUCAUUUUUUAUAUAUAAAUAUAUAAUACACCAUUAGAGUGUGUGUUUUGCUUGUCUUUAGGUUAUCCCUUACUAGAUAAUGACUCAUAUACUUUAUUUUAACUUAAAUUUUUUAUAUAAAUUUUGAGUUAAUGAUUUAGUGCAAUCUAAUUGUAGAUAUCAAAAGUCAAAUUAGCAUUUAAUGAUGCCAAUUCAUCCACUAUUCAAUUGCAUGAGAUUAAUGACUCAAAAUUUAUGUAAAAAACUUAAGUCAAAAUUUCAAGUUGAAAUAUUGCUCCUUAUAUUAUACAUAUAUAUAGCGAGGGCAUUCUCACUUUGUUAAAGUGACAAUGCCAAAAAAAAAAAUUACAUAUAAUUUCAAUAUAUUAACAAAUAAAAAGAUAUAGUUUUCAAUGUAUUUACAUUUUUUUGUAUUUUAGUGAAAUUCUUAUUUUAUAUAUGUGUGUGUGUGUGCGCGCACGCAUGCAUGUAUGUUUUUGUUGCCAAAAGAGUACAUGUCGAGUGAAAAUGUACAAUUAUAUUGAACAAGCCACUAGACUAGAUCGAUUCUUUCUACUAACACUAAAUAAUUAUUUAAUUAUGUUUCAAUAUUUUUAUUAUGAUAAUUCCUGGUCUGUAAUCAUGCCCUUAAUUAAGAAAUAUACAGUAUUAAAAAAAACUUUAUUUUAACUAGUGGAAAAGAACAAUAUUAUUUGAAUUGGUCUGGAGAAUGGUAGGUGAAUGAUGCCAAAUUAAAUUUGCGCGAAUAAUCCAAAAACAUGUGAGACUUGCUCAAUUAUAGCAUUACGUGUCCUACACUAUAUAUAAUUAAAGCAAAUGAAAUCCGUGACAAUAUAUAUGUAAUCAAGUGGCCAGUCCAAGGCCAAGUUGUCAACUAUUCGAACCAAAAAAAUUGGAUUUUGACAAGACAUUACAUAUAAUACAAGAAGCUGCUGGCAUCUCCCAAACAAGCUCGAAAAAGUAGUCAGUAAGACUUGUACACAGGAAAAAAGCAUGGGAAAUAAUAAUGUGAUGGGAUUGGGAAGCGGUGUCUCGGCAUCGAUCAUAGCUAUGAUGAUACUCUUCUUCACCGCAAAUAAAUCUUGUGCUGCAGGCAACGGCACCAACAUUAAUAAUUUCCAUAUUGAUCCUGAUGUGUUGUUUUUUCAUGAUGAUCCGGAAUUAAAGUUAGCUGCAGCUGCAACAAACGUAUUGAAUCCCUCCAGUCUACCAUUCGGUUGCGGAAGAGGCGUAAACUAUCGCUCUUGUACCCCUAAUUCCCAGAAUUCCAAAAAGGGUGAACAUUGCACGCCUGCCCCUGGGAGCACGUAUCCCCCAGCGAAUCGAUUGUGCUAGCUAGCUUAUGAUACAUCUUUAAUCUCCAAUCUUCAUCUUGAUCUUCAACUAUGCCAUGACGUGGGUUAAUUCUGCAUGCAUGUUGUAUUUAAUUUAUAAGUAGCUAUAAUCUCUCUUUCCCUUCCUUUCUCAAUUCUAUCUCUCUACAUUUAAUUAGUUAUUAAGCCUUAUGUUUGUACUGCUGCGUCAAUGCAUUUGUAUUAAUAAAUUAAUUAAGAUUUCUAAUUUAAUUCGUAUUGAUUAAUUUUUUGUUCAAUUAGCUAGGUUCCACCAUCUUCAUGAUAUCAUUCACAUUCACACGUUUCAAUUAUACCAUACCCUUCCAGAGUUUGUUUCUUUUCCAUGUGCGUGCGUAUUAAAAGCCCGGAGAAGUAAUUAAGUAAUUAACUAUAAAUGGCAUUUUAUAUCGAGCUGGACCUACUCUUAAUUACCAGCCUCUUGAAGGGAAACCGGCCACAAUAUAAAUCAAACAACUGAACGUACACCUUCAUUAGAUUUCCUACUUAAACAUAUACAUUUAUGCUAGCCUUUGUACGUAACAUUCAUUGAUUUAUCUGCUCCCUCCUAUCCGCCUUAAUUGAUGGUUACGACAACAUCAUCCCAAAUAUUGUAAUUACAAUUAUAUAUGUUAGCCUUUUUUUUUCCUUAAAUAAAUAAUUACACAGAGACACAGAUACAAUUAAUGUGGCGUAUGGGAGGAUAUUGGUUGAAACUUGGAAGUAAUAUCAGUUAAUCCAUACCACCAUGUUUUUAUCCAACCUCUAUCUUCAGUUCUUCACGAAUAUGAAAUCUAUUGCUUCCUUUCAUUCACUUUGUGUGAUAUAAUGUCUCGCAACCUUAGCCCAUUGUUUGAGAAGUUAUCUCAGUUAAAGUAGCAGUUGAGACUUGAACCGGGAACUUUGAAGUUCAUGCAAGUGUUGUUCAUGACUUCACGUACCAAAUAUACAUCAAGCAAACUUUUGACCAACGGAGCUACAUCUAAGUAAGAGAGCACAUAGAGCACUAGGGAGCUUUUGAUGACUUGGCUCCAAUAACGCUAGUUAUUUAUACAUGGAGAAAUUAUACAUCAAGUAGACCUAACUAAUUAUUAGUCGGGUAAAAUAAAAGCAAAGUGCAUAGUUUGACCAACGGAGCUAUAUCUAAGUAAACUUGAAAACCCAGCAAUCGUAGAAGAGAGCACAAGGGCAGAAAGAGAGCACAUAGAGCACUAGGGAGCUUUUGAUGACUUGGCUCCAAUAACGCCAGUUAUUUAUACUUGGAGAAAUUAUACAUGUACAAGAUAUAAUGGGAAAUUUUCGGUCAUUUUGAUUUUUACCCCGGUGGUUUCUCCAUAAUUUACAAUUUAUUAUUAAAUUAACGGUAUAUAAGUUAUUUUACUUGAUUUAUAUUCUCAAAAUAUUUAUAUUUAUAAAAAUAAACUAAUGUCCUAGUUAAGCUUUUUAUUUAUUUUUUCUGCUUGACAAAUUUAUAAAGACGUCAUUUUUAAGAAGGAAACAAUUUCUCUUCAUCUUUUUACUGCUUGAUCGGAACUCGGGGAUUGAAAAAAAGGAGAGGAUUGAUGUUGACGGAAAGAAUUGGGUAUAGAAAUAAAAUUGUGCGCUUUUAUAAAGUUUUUUUUUUUUUGAAAGGAAGAAAUUUUAUUAAUCAAAGCUUACAAAUUGUUUAACAACCAUACAGGUGGAACAAUAUUCCACUCCUGGAGACCUGACAAAGAACCUGAAGCCCUCGCUACGGAGUGAGCGGCACAGUUCGCAGAUCGACAUACAAAUGAGAAUUGCACUUCUCCUAUAAACUUAACUAAAGCUCGACAGUCUUCAAUAAUCAAACCAAAUCCAUUUGGGCUGGAGAAUUCCUCAACCAAAGCUCGGAACACUUGGAGGCAGUCCAUCUCUAUGAUAACACAUGGGAAAUGCAGUUCUUUCAUCCAACUAAGAGCCUCUCUUAUGCUAAGAGCUUCAGCCUCCCUUGCUCCAAAAUUUCCUACCACUUCCACACACCUUGCUGCCAAAAAACCUCCUUGUGAAUUUCGAAUCACACAGCCGAUCCCAAUCUUCCCUUGAGAAGCAAACACAGCUGCAUCCACAUUGCACUUUACCCAACCAAACUUAGGUUUCUCCCAACACAAUGCCCCAUGAACCAGCCGCUGAGUAUCAUCAUUAAUAUCAAAGACUUGCCUCUUUGCCGCUUGCCACUGAUAGAGAAAUUGCCCAGCAGAGUUGAGAAUUUGACAAACUGAGCAGGCUGUGUUAUUCCAAACUUUAUUGUUUCGAUUCACCCAAAUCUGCCAACAAAUCAUCAUUGCAAUAUUACACUCCUCCUUACUGCACCUUAUAAACACUUGAGCAAGCCAGUCCAAAAAAGUAGAGCAAUAGCCAACAAAACCAACCGAUGAAGAAUUCCAACAAGACUGAGCAAAACUGCAUGCAACCAAGGAAUGUAACAUUGUUUCUUCAUAGGCAUUACAUACAGAACAAGUAGAGGGAACAUCCACCCUUUUAGAGAUUAAAUUGGUUGCUGUAGGUAACACAUUGUGUGCAGCUCUCCAAAUAAAAUUCUUAACUUUGUUCGGCACCUGCAAAUUCCACAGUUUCCGCCACACAUUCGCACCAGAAUCAGGAGUGAUAGGAUUUAAUACCUUAUAACAGCUACGAACCGAAUAACAUCCCCGGGGAUCAGCCAUCCAUUACCACAUAUCCUCUUCACGGCGGGAACUAAGGGGAAUCUUUAGGAUCAGUUCCUUAUCUCUUAAGUUGAAGAUGUCCGAAACAACAUCAUAGUCCCAAACCCUUUGGUGAGGCAUCAUUAAGCUGCUGACAGGAGCUGCAGCUAGCUCCUCGUUAAGAUUUGUAGAUACACACCCAUCUUGGAGAUCUGGAAGCCAAGGAUCUUUCCCAAUUGAGAUCGAAUGCCCACUGCCAACCUGCACUCUACUCCCUUGGACCACCACUUCCUUUGCAGCCAGAAUGGAACGCCAUACAUAGCUGGGAUUAUGCCCCAAUGAAGCUCGAACAACAGAUGUUCGCGGAUAGUAACGAGCUUUGAGGAUUCUCGCCAUUAAAGAUUCAGGGCAGGUUAAUAGCUUCCACAUCUGUCUUCCUAACAUCGCAAUGUUAAAUAAAUGAAGCUGCUUGAACCCAAGUCCACCACACCCCUUUGGGUUGCACAAGUAUUCCCAUUUAACCCAAUUAAUUCCUUUCCCACUACUGUGAUUGUUACGCCACCAGAAUGAAUUCAUCAACCCUUCUAGUUCUCUACAUAGCUCUUUAGGCAGCAAAUAAAUGCUCAUAGCAUAAUUAGGCAGAGCAAGUGCCACAGUCUUUAACAAAAUCUCCUUCCCAGCCCGCGAAAGCAUCCUCGUACUCCACCCUUGAAGUCUUUGCCAUAACUUGUCUCUAAUAUAUUUAAAUACUUCUUUCUUUUUCCUUCCAAUGGCUGAUGGCAGCCCAAGGUAAGCCCCAUGAUUUGCAGUAGAAUUAACCUCAAGAAUAGCACAUAUCUCCCGAGAUACACUUUCAACUACAUUAGCACUAAAUGAGAUUGAAGAUUUACUAAAGUUAACUACUUGGCCAGAAGCUCGUCCAUAUACUGCCAGCAAAUGCUUGAUUAAGUUAGCUUCAUUAUCGUUUGCCCGAAAGAACAGGAAACUAUCAUCCGCAAGAAACAGAUGAGACACCGAUGGAGCUCCUCUCGCAAUUCUAACUCCGUGAAUCAAUCCAUUGCGCUCUUGCCUUCGAAUCAAUGAACUUAAUCCAUCCGCACAUAGAAUAAAUAAGUACGGGGAUAAAGGAUCCCCUUGGCGAAGGCCUCUACAGGGAACAAUCGGACCAAGCUCCUUACCCUCACGAAGCACACGAUAUCUAACAGUAGAAACACAGAGCAUCAUUAACGCCACCCACUUUGCAUCAAACCCCAUCUUAAGCAUCAUAUCUUGAAGAAACUUCCACUUGAUCCUAUCAUAUGCCUUAGACAUAUCAAUUUUCAAUGCAGCUACCCCAUUUUUUCCUUGCCAUUUUCGCUUCAAGAAGUGCAUAAUCUCAGCUGAUAUGAUUAUGUUAUUUGUGAUAGCUCGUCCCGGCACAAAGGCGCUUUGUGAAUCUGAAAUAACCAAAUCAAGCACUAAUUUCAUACGGUUAGCUAACAUUUUAGAAAUGAUCUUAUAAAGAACAUUGCAUAACGCAAUGGGUCUCAUAUCCGAUAAAAAUUCAGGCCUUUGCUUCUUCGGAAUUAAUACAAUUGAAGUAUCAUUCAAGCCUACCGGAAAGGAAGCAUCCUGAAGAAAUUUAAGGCAAGCCAAAACCACAUCCUCACCAACGAUAUGCCAGAAUUUUUGAUAGAAGGCCGGGUUCAUCCCAUCAGGACCUGGGGACUUAUCCGGGUGCAUACCAAACACUGCGUCUUUCACUUCAAUGGCUGAAAAGGGAGCUAACAACAUUGAGUUAUGUUCACUUGUAACCUUUGUAGCCACACAUUGAAGAACUUCGGCAGUUUGGACCUCUCCAGCUGUAAACAAGCCCUUAAAGUAAUCAACUAUCAAUGCAUCCACCUCAUCAGAAUUAGCGCACCAUUCUCCUUGAUCAUUGCGAAGAUUCCCCAAGGAGUUUUGCCUUUUCCGUGCUGAAGCCGAGGCAUGAAAGUAACGAGUGUUCUGAUCUCCUUCUCUGAGCCAAAGCGAUUUUGCCCGCUAUUUCCAAAAUACCUCGUGACUAUGCAGCAACUCAUUAUAACGAUUCCUAGCCUCUGUAAACUCAGCCACACCAUUUCUAUCACGACGCCCUCAUAAGGAAGCCAUUCGGUUCUUACAGUCCAUAAUACGCUUACGAAAGUUUCAGCCUAGGUGACUCCCCCACUCCGUUAAAGCAGACCCACAAGCCAGAAUUUUGUUUUGGAUAGAGUGCCCCGAAUUAGAAUGCCAACUUUCCCGAAUAACCUCGCUGCAAUCCACCUCCCGCAACCAAACAUUUUCAAACCGAAAAUGCCUAUUCCUCGUAAUAUAUUGGCCUGGACUAGGAUCCAAAAAUAUAGGGAGGUGAUCAGAACAGGACGAUUCUAAAGUAUAUACCUUCGCUCUGGUGAAACGCUGCAACCACGCCUCAGAAGCAAAGGCUCUGUCAAGUCGUUCUUCAACCCAUCUAUCAGUUCCCCUAGCCCUCUCCCAAGUAUACUGAUAUCCCUCAACACCUAGAUCAAUCAGAUUGCAAUCUUCAAUAGCUUUUUGGAAACCCACCAACUUCCAAUUAGGAUGAACAAUUUUACCCCGCUUAUCAUUUGCCGCCAAAAGAUCAUUAAAAUCCCCUAUGCAUAGCCAUGGAAGAGAGGAUGAAGAAGAAAGUAAACGGAGCAAAUCCCACGAUUCCCGCCUCCUGCUAGACUCAGGAUAGCCAUAAAAGCCAGUCAGUCUCCACUUUCCUAUCUCCUGAACUUCAAUUUCAGCAUCUAUAAAAUUGGUAGCAUACUUUAGAAGCCUCACAGAACUAGUUGCCUACCAAAGAAGCGCGAGUCCUCCACUUCGGCCCACACGUUCAACAACAAAGAGCCCAUCAUAGCCCAACUGUCUUUUAAUACUUUCAAGCUUGCUUUUACUACAUAACGUUUCUAUAAGGAAUAUGAAGGAAGGUUUUUUUUUACGAACCAGUUCUGUUAACAUUCGAACUGUCCGUGGCUGGCCCAAACCACGGCAGUUCCAACUCAAGGUACUCAUUGGUCUCGGUGGGCCUGAAAACCAGGUCCCACCGCUAGCCCGUUUUUUGGAUCCACUACCAUAGAUUGCACAUCACCCUCUGAUUGCCCAAGCCCAUACACCACCAUCUCGGCCCGUCUCCUUUUAGUUUCCUUUAGAACGAUGCCUUUCUCUCUACAGCUAUCAGCCACGUGAACAAUAUCCAGCUCAUUGGUAAACCAAUCCACCCCUUUUCCUUUAUCAUUCCUUUGAUUCUCACGAAUUUUGACAACUGCCAAUGCCUUUGAUAUCUCCAUAUUUUCCAUAUGCUCAUGCCCAUCCCUUCCAAAAUUGUUAGGCAUUUUCCUAUUAGUGGUAACUCCCGAUUUUUUGGCAUUUGUAUCAUUAAUCUCGGCUCUACUUACGAAUUUCGUGGGCAUACCAAAAGUGAACCCACCUUUGUUCGGAGGUACUGAACGUAGCCACCGUUCACCGGAGGUCAUUGCAUUCCGACGAGUUGGAGCCUUCAUCUCUGGUCCAUAUAGCCUAACCAUAUCAGUAGCCUCACAAUCAUACAGCUUCGGACAUAAUUUUUCGGUGUGCCCAAGCAGCCCACAAAUGAAACAGAAAACAUUCAACCUUUCAUAUUUAAAGUCAACCCAAAACCACUCCCCCCCCCCUCCUUCUUCAGACGCAAUCUUUUCUUCAAUGGCUUCUUGACAUCUAUUGAGACUCUUAUGCGCAUAAAAUUCCUCCAUACUCCCAUGAGAUUGUUAGGAUCUGAAGAUUGGAACUCACCAAUGUAGUUACCAAUGUUUGUCAACACCUUCUCCGAUUGGAAUCUAAUAGGUAAGUUAUACACUUGAAUCCAAAACAAAAUAUGAAAUAAAGGGACCCUAUGUGGCUUAUCAUUCUCCCCCAACCUCUGUAGAAUUAGAAUAUGUUGAUCGAACGUCCACGGUCCCGAAUCAAUGACACGUUUUAGAUCAAUCUCAUGAAAAAAUUGAAACAAGAAAAGGGUGGAUGAUAAAUCUUUAAUACAUACUCCCUUCCCUGGCCGCCAUAAUGCUGCCAUUGUAUUCUUCAUUGCUAGAAAAUUAAUCACCUUAUCAGUUAAGAACCGCCCCACCAAACAGAAUCUAACAUCAUUCAAUCCUUCCUGCCCCGUUGCCAUAUCAUCACUUUGGAAGACAAGGCCAUCCUCCUCGUCCUCUCCGAUGGAUAACGAAUCAUAUGCGGCAGUCAUCUCAGGCAUCAUUGAAUUGCUGUUGGAUGCCAUAUUACAUGUAGUGAACAGAAUGACCCCUCCCCAAACAAAUAAAAAGAAAAAACUUAAACCAAUCCUUAAAGUAUACCAAGCAAACUUGUCAGUAGGACAAGACAAAACAAAACUUGCCAGAGGGCAAGACAAUUCCUCGUCCUUUAUAAAGACUGACGUUAACUUAUAAGCAAAUAAUCUCCCUUGACUAACAACUUAUAAAUGCAUUUUUAUAAAGUUAUUAAAGUAAUUUUAGGGUUUGUUACACACUGCAACCAAUAAAAAGAAAAAGAAUCAAAAGGACAUCUUUUAUUUGUAAACACACAUCAAAUCUCUUUUAUCAAUCAAUUUUUUUUUAUUAUUAAUACAAGAGGCUACAUAGCAUAUUCCAUUUUCUCCCUCAGCUAAAAUACUGAUAUGUGAAUUUGUAAAUCUAAAUCCUGUUAGAAAUUGUUUUACUUAUUAAUAACCGGAAAUUAAGAAAGUUAGAUCUCCAGGCUCCGCUGGAUUUUAUCAAUGCUGUAUUACUAAAAAUUCCUGCAAAGGACGCAUAAAUUGCUGCAAUGGAGAUCUUUGCAAAGGAUGUGAACAUUGCUGUGUUGGAUAUAAAAUGCAAGGGAUAUGAAUGUAAAUGGCGAUCGUUUUCAUUUCUGUUUAGCGUUUCUGCUUUUCCAAGGUUGGUAAAUGGAGAGUAAAGAAACAGCAGAUCACCGAAGAGGAUUCACUAACGUUGGUUAAUUUAGGGGUUUCCUCGAGAUUACACCUUUUGUUGAGCUGAAUGUGUGAGGCAGUCCGACUUUUUCCUUCUGCAAUGUGAUCGCUGCUUCAUUCCAUUUGAGUUGUUCGGGUGGGACUAAUUGCUCAACUUCAAUGGAGGACUAUCAGGCAAAUCGGCAAUUAAGCUGUAUUAAAUACUGAAGAUAGAAAGUCUUGUACUCUUGUUGGGCAUACGACGAAUGAUGCUAAAAAGGCUGCCAAACUUAUAUUUUUCAACGAGAAUUAUGUUUCAUGUGGAACCAAUUUUUAUUUCGUGAUCUUGUUACAUUCUUACCUCUUUGUUCAUGGAUUGAUUGGCACAUGUGUAUUACUAUUAUCAUCUUUGUCCUCUUCUUUCUCUCCUCGUUGUCUUUUAUUACCUAGUAUCUCUCCUCUAGGAUGAGCAAUAUUGAAGUUCGUUGAUUUGUCAGUGUUUGAUUUAUGAUAAGCGGAUUUCUCAUCCUACAAUUUUUUUGGGCCAAAUAUGGUAUUAAAUACUGUAUCUUCACUGGUAGUACUUCGAGAAAUAGCAUUUGCUCAUGAUUUGACUUAACAAAACAACAUCCAGUCCGCCUAUAUUAAUCCCUGCUGUGUUUUUUUUUCACAAUAUCUGUUUCUAUUCUUUGUUGAGGACUGUUGUGAAUCUGUGAUACAAGCUGACAGAAUGGUUGCAUCCAAAUUUAAUAUGAGAAAACAGAUCCUCUAGCCUGUCCGCUUAACACGGAUAGAAUAUUAAUAAAAAGAAUGAUUUUCCUUUUUAAGCAUCUUUUUUCCAUAUGUAUGUAUUUUGGAGGAAGCACGUCCACGAGUUCACCAUACUCUAAUUUUUAAUUAAUUCUAUUUAUUUCUCAAAUUACUUUGGUUAAAAUUAAUUUAUCUCCAUUGUUUCUCAUUUCCUCUUCUCAAUCUAUUUGACCACUAAUGGUGUGUUUUUUUAGCAGCAAUCGGAAUGAAAAUUUGGAAAUUGGAAUCAAUGAUGAAUUUAUUUACAAAAAUUUAGGCUUGGAAUCAAAAUAAAAAAUAGUGUCGGGCCUAUAGAUUUUGGCAAUCAUUACCAUUGUUUUGAUUCCUAAGGGAGGGGCUGGGAAUUAGAAUCUGAUUUCUAGAAUUAUUCAUUUUACUCCCAAUACAUUUUCAUAAUCUCUAAAUUGAUCCCAAUUAAAAUUUGACAUUUUUGCAUUUUAAUUCCUAUAGAAUUUAUGAAAUAUCCAAAUUUUUUGUAUUAUUUACAAAUAGGUCCUUCGUUGGUAGUAAUAAUAAUAAUAAUAACAACAAAAAUAAUAUUAGUAUUUUUAUCGUCAUUAUUAUUAUUUAUUAACAUCAUCAUUAUCAUUAAAAUUUAUUAAUUUAAUUAUUUUAAUUGUUAUAAUUUAUUAUUAUUCAUUAUAUUAUUUAUUUUUAAUAAUAUGAUUAAUGUCAUUAAUUUAUUAUUCUUAUAAUCAAAAUUUAUUUAUUUUAUUUUUUAAUUAUUAUUAUUGUCAUUAAUUUCCUUAUUAUUAUUAUCAUUAAAAAAAAUUUACAAUACAAAGAUUAUCCAAUCAAUAAAUAAUUACUAUUGAAGGCAUUUAAUAAUGUCACGCAUACACAUUGUAUAUCCCGAAUAUCUUCUUAAGUAUAAAUUACUAGUCAUCGGUAAUUAUUAAAAGCUUUUAGAGUUGUAAGAAGCUAGAUUUCAUUAAAAAUUUCAAAAAUUAAGGGUCUUCACUAAAAUUUAACCUAUAUAUCUAUGUGAAAUUUGCGUUUCGGCUCUUGGCUCCUUGGGUUUGAACAAAAAAAAUAAAAAAUGAGUAUCUGCAAAUUGAAAAAAUAGUGCAUUCACCUUUUAAAUAGAUUUUAAGCAUAGUCGAUCUGUCUAAUAAUUAGUACCUGCUCUAGCUUGUAUUAAUCAUGGCUUGGUUUCCACCCAAAAAAAUCCUACUCAAACAAUAAAACCAAUAAAUUACAAAAGGGAAAAAAAUAACCCGUAUUGUUUGUUGUUUGUUUUAUCUUGGCUUUGGUUCUCUGCAACGUUAUUUGAGUUCUUUGCAAGAAGUAGCUCACCACUAUGUGGAGCUUGUUUAAGAAAAAUAUUGAAGAAGAGACAGCAUAAUUAAGUUAACAGUAGAUAUAUGGCUAGACAAACUUAAUCGAUAUUAAAAUAUUGAUACACAACAAUUUUAUUUAUUUAUUUUCCUUCCAGGCAAACAUGGUACAUGUGAACAGCUAGACAAAGAGAAUCUCUUGUAUAUAUCAAGAGAUCUUACAAGCUAAAUUAAUUAAAACAAACUAAGACUCUCAUACAAUUGACGGAUAAUAGUCAGUACCCAUCAUUUUAUUUCCUUAACAUAAGAGAGUAACACGGCAUGUACUUAACCAGUGUGGUCAGGGUUUCUUCCAUAUUGCGGGACCACAAGAAGAUGAAUAUUUCCAUUAAUUUCAUCAUCAGCAAUAAGUGACCAUAAUGGCAUUACUCUAGACCCCUCCGACCGAUCGUUAUAACCUAAAAAAUUCAUGUUAUAAAACUUAAUCACAAGUACACAUAUUAAAAUAAGAAUUAUAAAUGAUAUUUAAUUGAAAAUGCAUGGCCUAUAUAUAUACCCGCGCAAAGGAGUUUUCAUAAUCUUCAAAUCAGAAAGGCAAAAGAUUUCUGUUGGCUUCGAAUGAACUGUAUUCACAACUCAAAAGGUAAGUAAUUGUGCUCGACUGAGUUCUUAUUUCUGGUUUGAUCUGAUAUAUAUAUAGAUCAACUGGUCGACACAACAAUGAGAACGUAGCAAAUAAACAAGUGAUGCACGGUAAAGACAAUGUAUCAACGGUGGCUCUAUAUGGCUAAAUUAUUGCACGUGCGAAACAGGGUCCAAAAAAUAAAUAAUUCUAAAUAAGAAGACGAACUGACGAUCAAAGCAAUAACACUAACCAAUAAUGCAUGGUAAGGAUAACAUAUCAUAUAUAUUAACGGCUACGUACGUUUCAAUUAAUGGAUCCACGAAAUAAAUAGUUGUACAUAAUAAAUCAAGCAAAGUAGACGAUUAUUAUUAUGGUCUUCUUAUUUCUUUCAUGGACCAUUGAUUCCUACUUCCACAUGCGUUUAUUUCCACAUGCAGUUGAAACAUUUAUAGCCAUUAAUCUUACAAUUAUCAAACUUCAGCCUUCUUUAUUGAUUAAUGAUUAUGUUAUAAUAUAAAAUGAAAUUUUAAGCUUUAUUUUUUUUUGAGAAAUUAACUUUAUAAUUAGAUCAU